rnacentral:lncRNA from 1 species
GGACAAUCAGACGAAAAUUUUCUCUUUGGUCCCUGAAAUGAGAGCGAACUAUAUUUAUGAGUUCAAAUAUGUGGACAAUGAGAACGAGAGCUACUUCACCUAUUCAAUCAAAAGCUCCUUCAACACCAUAUCAAGGUUUGUGAUGGACCUUUCUGGGCAGAUCAAGCAGGAGUCCUGGUUGCCUUCCCAGGCGUGGACCAUGUUCUAGUCUAAGCCCUCGCAACAAUGCGAUGUGUAUAGACUUUGUGGGCCUUUCAGUGUUUGCAGCGAGCAGAGCGAAGUUUUGUGCAACUGCUUGCCGCGAUUUAGCAUAAGCUCUCCAGUGGAUUGGAAUCGGAGGGAUUGGUCUGGUGGUUGCAAGAGGAAUUCGAACUUAAAUUGUGCAGCGAAUGCAGAGAAAGACCAUUUCUGGCCUAUGUCUAACAUGAAAUUGCAUGAUGCUCCUCAAUCUUUAGUUGCAGAGAGCGAUCAGGAAUGCCGAACUGCUUGUUUGAGCAAUUGCUCUUGCACGGGUUAUGCUUUUGAAAAUAAUGCCUGCUCAAUCUGGAUUGGGGAUCUCUUCAAUGUGGAACAGCUCAAACAAGGCACUACCCCUGGAACGAGUUUCUAUGUUCGGCUUGCUGCCUCCGACAUUAAGGAUCCCAGCAAGAAGAGUAAAGUAACUGCAAUAGUGGCAGGGUCUGUUAGUGCCGCGGUAGCGAUAUUAGCCAUUGUCUCGUUUGCCAUUUGGAGAUGGAGGAGAGGGGCAACUGUAACAACAAAAGAAGUGGAGGGUUCACUGAUAGCCUUUGCAUACCGGGACUUGCAAGUAGCAACAAAGAAUUUCUCAGAGAAGUUGGGUGGGGGUGGGUUUGGUUCAGUUUUCAAAGGAACAUUACUUGAUUCAAGUCACAUAGCGGUCAAGAAGCUUGAAAGCAUAAGCCAAGGUGAGAAGCAAUUCCGAAUGGAAGUAAGCACAAUCGGCACCAUCCAGCAUGUGAAUCUUGUCAGGCUUCGCGGAUUCUGCUCUGAAGGUGACAAGAGGCUGUUGGUCUACGAUUUCAUGCCAAAUGGUUCCUUAGACUAUCAUCUCUUUCAUAGAAAGGACUCGAAGGCCUUGGAUUGGAAAACGAGGUACCAAAUUGCUUUGGGAACGGCUCGAGGUCUGGCUUAUCUCCAUGAGAAGUGCAGAGAUUGCAUCAUACAUUGCGACAUCAAGCCAGAGAACAUCCUUCUAGAUGCUGAAUUCUGUCCAGAAGUGGCAGAUUUUGGCCUGGCAAAGCUUGUUGGCCGAGAUUUCAGCAGGGUGUUGACAACCAUGAGAGGCACAAGAGGGUAUCUUGCGCCAGAGUGGAUCUCUGGAGUGGCCAUAACAGUAAAAGCUGAUGUUUAUAGCUAUGGGAUGAUGCUUUUUGAGUUUGUGUCGGGAAGGAGGAACUUAGAGCUAUCGGAAAAUGGGGCCAUCGAGUUCUUCCCAACAUGGGCUGCUAGCAAGAUAGCUAAAGGUGGUGAUCUGCUCGAUCUUUUGGACCCAGACUUGGAGAAAAACGCUGAUACUGAAGAGCUAAAUAGGAUAUGCAGAGUUGCUUGCUGGUGUGUCCAAGACGAGGAAACUCACAGGCCAUCGAUGGGGCUGGUUGUUCAAGUACUCGAGGGGUUGUUGGAUGUGAACCUGCCCAGGAUACCGAGAGCCCUUCAACUGCUUCUUGAUAAUCAGGAGCAUGUAGUUUUCUUCACUGAGUCGUCAUCAUCGGACCAGAAUUCCCAGACGAAUAGUAAUACCUCAACUUCUUCCUUGCAGAACCCAAAUAGUUCAUCUUGGACGAAGUCCGAGUCUUGAGGAUGAUAAGAUAAAUGCUUAGUACAAGAAGUGCUUCAGUUAUAUAGUGCAUACGCUCCUCUGCUUUUUCUGUAGUCAAGAGCGAAUCUCAGCAUUUGGGGAUUGGCUUUCUUGGGGCUUUUCCCCCUAGCUAUUUAUGUUGCACGUAGAUACAAGCAAGCUUGGAAUAAGUGCGCGGCCAGACCAGUUGUAAAGAUUCUUAAUUCUAUAUAAUGAUCUGUUGUCUGCUUUUUGAGAUCCCAGGUGAGAUCGGUAGUCAGCAUCGAAAACUGUCAUCUCCAUGGGAGCCCGAGAGGGAGAGAGUGCGAGCGAGAGAGGGGGAGAAGCACCCAGAUCCGCGAGUUGCAGAGAGAAAAAAUGGCUCCGACGCCGUCGACGGCCCACCGGACCACCCACCGGACGUUGCAUCCCCUGUUGCGGUGAGCUAGGGUUGUCCGCCUUUGUUUGUUUGUUUGUUUGUGCAUGCUGGGGUCGUCGGGCCAGGACUCGCAGCCGCCGGCUUCACGCGAGUUCCGGCCCCCGACCGUCCGUAGUCCGCCUCCCCGCCGGUCCCCGUUGUUCGCCUGUUCGGAGCCCUGUCGCGAUCCCGAGCCUGAAGGGCUCCGCCUUGUCCUCCUCAACCGGUGCCCGCCUGGCGUUCGAUGGAAAUCCCAGGCGAGCGCCGGAUCUGCAGUGACCGGCGGUGACGGGUGGCGACAAGCGACGGGAUCGGCUGCAACGGCCGGCCGGACGGAGGUCAAGGCGGUGCCGGCGGAGGCCCGAGCUCGGACCGAGACGAGCUCGGCCGCCUCCGCCGCAGAUCGUCAAAUCUCGAGGGCUCCCGCGGCGAGGGAGAAGAUGGGUCGAAAUCGGGCGGAUCCGGGUCGUCGAUCGGGUAGGUUGUUUAGGAUUCGGGUCGCGGUUACUGAGUCGGGUCGAACCCGAGUCGUCGUUCGGGUAAGGUUCCGCCUGGGUUGGGUUUGUACGCGUGGGCCGGGUAGCCUUUAGGCUGUAGUUUUUUUUUUUUUUUUUUAUAUAUGAAAACGGGCCAAAUCGUUUGGGCUUUUAUGUUUUAAGAAAAGAAAAAAUCCCGGGCCGGGCCUGCGUUGCAGGCCGUCCGGGUCUUGGGUGGACGACCCGGGUCGGACCCAACCCGGGGAUCCGACCCGGGUCAUUUUUUUUUUUUUUUUUUUAUAUAUAUUAUUAUAAUAAUAUUUUAAUAAAAUAAAUUAUUAUUAUUAUUUUCAGAAAAUAAAAAAAAAUCCCAAAAUAUCCUAUGUUUUACACAAUUUUCCAAAAAAAAAAAAUCAGAAAAAGCCAAAAAUGAUUUAUAUCUUCAAAAAAGACCAACAAAUCCAAUAAUCCCUUUUAUGUUAAAAAAAUAGAAAAAGACCAAUGUUUUUCCUCCACACAUGGAAAAUCCCUCGAGAAUCCAAAAAGUCUUAGGGUUUAAACAUGAUUAGGUAUUGGAAUGACAUUAGUGAUUAACUAGUGUAAUCGAGUCCCCGAACUUAGUUUCUCUAGUGUGAAUAUUCCUCCUAAUAUUUCGCUUGGGUUUCUAAUCGACCACCCUAAAUUGAUUAGUGGUGACUACAUUUUAAAAUUAACUUAUAGGCAAAAAAUAUCAAACCAUUAAGUGAGCUUGGGAGAGCCCAAGCUAAGCCUAAUAAACUUAGCCAAAUCAUUAGCCUUCGCAAGCACCCGCGCAUAAUCGAACGUCGAAAAAAGAGGUUGCGAUGGUACUUCCAUUCAUUUGUUUUUUGCUUACCCUUUAAUAUUUGUGACAUUGCUUUAAAAGUUUUGUAAAACCAAAUUCAUUAUCUCAACGUUGCUCAUUAAAAAUCUCCACUUUGUUCAGGUUGGAAAUUUAUUGAAUUCUCAUUUCAAUUAGGUUGAUCCAAACGGUAUUUUCCAUUGCAAUAGGAAAUUGUUUUGGAAGGCCUAGCUUUUAUUUUCAGUUCAUAAUCCAUCCAUAUCAAGGCUAAUCAGUGGACCUUUGCGGUACCAUAAACCCCUAAGGGUGCGUUUGGGAAGCCUUUUGGGAAAAGUCCUUAAGAAAAUGCAAAGGCAUUUGAGUUAAGGGUGUUUUUCAAAAUGCAAAGUGUGUUUGGUAAAUUUAUUUGUGAAAGUCCAUUGUGAAAUAUCCUUAUGCAAAAUAGUGUUUGGGUAAAUCAAAUUUGUAAAAGGCUUUUUAUUAUUAAAGAAAAAAAAGGGAACGUUGGCCGGCCAAGGCUUCGCCGGUUACCGCCGGCCAAGGGCUUCACCGGUCACCGCCGGCCAAGGGCAGGCGAUCUGGCGAGAGUCGCGGCGACCCUCGUCGCGCCGCGGAGGUCGCCGGCGAUCCAUCUGGUAGCGCGCGAAGGUCGAAGGCCGACGACCACAUCUGGUCGCGACCAGAUCUGCGACCAGAUGGGUCGCGACCUUCACGGAGGUCGCCUGAAGCAUGGCCGGCGACGCAGAUCUGGUCGCUACCAGAUUUGCGUCGCGACCUCUGCGAAGGUCGCGGUGGCGACCCAUCUGGUCGCAGCGCGAAGGUCGCGACCAGAUUGGGUCGCGCGAAGGUCGCGACCUCCGCAGAGGUCGCUUGAAGCACAGCCGGUGACGUAGAUCUGGUCGCUACCAGAUCUGCGUCGCGACCUCCGCGAAGGUCGCCUGAAGGUUGCGGCCGGCGACCCAUCUGGUCGCAGUGCGAAGGUCGCAGCUGGCGACCAGAUCUGCGACCAAAUGGGUCGCGGUCGCGACCUCCGCGGCGACCUCUCGAGCGGGGUCUUGCUUUCAAGCGCAGAAGGGUCGCGCGGCGGCGACGAAGGUCGUGGCACGACGGGUCGGCGUGGCGGGCGCGACGGUCGCCGGCGACUGCGUGCCCUUCGUCGGCAACCGCCCACGAAGAAGAAAGAAGAAGAAGAUGAACAGUUAGGGCAAAAAGGGAAAAACGAAAAAUCAACGAGGACAAUUUGGGAAGAAAUUUUUCUUUUUUAAGCUUAGCUCUCAGCAUGCCGAGAAGGCUGAAAGCCCAAGGCAGCCCCCCACCUGCCUUGGGCUUUCAGCCUUGAGAAGGUUUGGCAUUCCCCAAAUGGGGCUUGAAAUUUUUUACCAAACACUCAUCAAUUAGCCUAAAGAGCUUUGGGGGUUCAAAGUGGCUUCCAAAUGCCACUCCCAAACGCAGCCUAAGUUCUUCCAAGCUUCCCCUCAUUUGUUUUUCCUUUAUACCAUUGCCACUUUUUCUUGUACACAAUUCUUAAAUACUUUUCGAUCUGACGCAUUGUUUCACUUUUCUUUUGCUGCAGUUAUUUUACUCUAAUCGUGGAUCCUUCUCUGGUGCUAGAGGUGCUACUAUGAUGUCUUGACUUCCUUCAACAAUAAAAAAGGGUGCAAUCUGCUUAUAUCUUUAUUUAGUGGUGUUUCUAAAAAAGGGUAGGCAAAUAUCUUUGGGAAAUGCAAAUACAUUUAGGUUAAAGGAGUCUUUCGAAAUAUAAAUAAUAUUUGGUAAAUUAUAAUUUUAAAGUGUAUUGCAAAACAACUUUAACUUAAAUGCAAUUUGGUAAAAACUACAUUUUGCAUAUGACUUUUAUUGAUUUUUUUUUAAUCUAGCCACCGGUGGGUUUAUCUAGCCGCCACCAGCCUCGCCUGAGGUUGUGCAACCUCAGGCAACACCUAGGGUUCGCGACCUAGGUGGCCAUCUGGGUAGUGACGCCUAGGUUUGCGCGGCCCAAACGGCUGUCUAGGUUGCGAACUCCAAGCAAUCAUCACUUGGGUCAUGCGAACCCAAGCGAUCGUCACCUGGUUCACGUGAAUCGAGGAGACCACCUCCUGAGGUCGCAUGACCUCAAACGGUGGCCACAACCCUCAAGCAGCAGGUUGCUAGGGUUGAACGACCCCUCAAGCAAUGGUCGCCAGCACAGGCAACUCCUUGACCGGCGGUUGUCGGCCUCCGUUUGUUUCCCCAGAGAAGAUAAACAGUUCCUGUGGGACUUGCAUUCCAAAGAUGCAACUUCCCAAAGUAACUCCAAAACUAUUUUGGUUAAAAGCCCUUAGAGCCAUCUGGAGUAAUUAUAUCUUGCUAAAGUCGUCCAAAAAAUUGAACCAAACACGUUUACAUUUGGUUAAACCCCUUUAGAGUCCAAAAGCCCCUUCCAAAUACUGAACCAAACGGGCCCAUAGACUAUCCCUCCCUCCCUCCCUCCUAUAGGUUCUUCUUCAUUUUAUUAUGAAAAUAAAAACCCACAAAAACUAUUAUUCGUACCGACUCACGACUAGCAAUUGAGUAGUUAUGGUCAAUGAGCUCCGUGGCUCAUGACUUGAGCGAAUGAAAACGCUACAAGAUUAAAGCUCAUGUGGCAACGCGGCAUGCUCAAAGAUCAAGUAGCCAUGGCUCAAGCUUUGCAGCUCAAAUAGAUAUCAUGGCUAUGGCCAUCCGUGAGCUUGAGCAUGAAUGGGCAUGGCCAAUGCUAACUUAGAGUUGGAGCCCACGGUAAUGGCGGGUCAUAAUGGAGCUCUCUCUCAAUUGUCAUUUGUUCUUUUUAUGUUUAUGUUGUCUAAUUUAGCACCUAUGUGGUGUCAUGCUAUGUAAGCAUAAUAUAGCACGAUACAUGUGUUCCAACAUCCAUGUUAGUAAAAUUUGAUUGGUAAGAGAAAAAGUACAGCAGAUAGAUUAACCGUGACACUUUCUAUGUAAUAUAUGAGCUUUGAGAAAAAAUAAAAUAAAAGAAGAGGGUUUGAAAAGUCAACAAAAGAAGCUGAAGGAGAGGAGUGGAAGCUUCCGCUGUUUUUAAAGAGAAGAGAGAGGGAGGGCUUGGGCAUAAACGAAACAGGGGAAAGGAAGAAAAAAAGGGAGGAUAGAAAAGAGGAGAAAGGAGAAAGAAGAAAGGAGGAAGGGAAAAUUUUUGGCGCGCUCACAACCCGGAAGCCUCACCAAGCCGACUUAACCCCGUUUUGAAAUGCCGGUAGGUGAUCGAAGCCUAUAAUCAUUUAUUCGAACAAAUCGUCACAAUUAGGGCUCGAAAUUUGAAUUUCUUGGAGAUUUGUGCGGCGAAAUCCGAUUUUUGAGUUAUUGAACUGCAUAUUUGGAUAGAAAUGAUAGUUUAGAGUGUUGUGAAGCUAUAACAUUUUACGAAUUGUAAUUUGAACCUACAGUUUGCCCAGAACGGAAUUUUCAAUUUUGGCACGCAUUUUGGAACAAUAUUGAACAGUACCGAACAUUAGCUUUGGCUUUGAAUUUUAGCCGUUUUCGGUGAGGUUUUGGGACGGCUAAGUUGGGGUUGUUGUAGCGUAUCAAGAAAACUAUAAGAUGGCUCGAAAUGGAAUAUUGUAGAGGAAGUUAUGGCGCAAUGAAAUUUAGCGUACGAGCUAUGCCUAGCAGACAACAAUAGGUUUAUGCUAAAUACGAGCUUUCGUUGGCAUGUAGGUGUCGUUUUAUCAACAAAUAGGCUUAGUAUAAGCGAAUCAUUAUAAGAAUUUUUUUUUUAUUUGGCCUUUUGAUAUUGUUUUUCAGUUAAUUGUUAGGGAUCCAGGUGAGUGACACUAUUUCUUCUUUGUGUUUUAAACUCAUGUUUUGUAAAGAAAAAACAUUAUGGAUUAUAUAUGCUAUGAGUGAAUAAAUAGCAUCUUUUGUUAUAUAAAACUGGAUCGAGCUUUCACUGCCAUUUUGUUGUUGAAAGAGAUAAUUAUCCUUUGAAUUGGGUUUGAAUGAUUGUUUGAAAAUGGUUUGUGAAACCCUUUUAUGAAAGAAUUUCCAAACAUUUGUGGUUCUUUAAGAAUGCUUUAAAAUUUAUAUAUCAAAUGCCUGAGUUAUGAGAUGACUCAUUCUGAUGUUGGAUUACUAGAUAUUUGUGAUUAGUGAUUGAUUCUCAAUGUCUCUGUAGACCCUCGGCGGUGUAUAGGUAUACACAUACUAGUCUAGGAUAUCCUUGUGGGCUAAGCUACCAGCUAAUAAUAUGUGGAGACCUAACUAGGGAGAAUCUUGGUCGUCUUGUCACAGGUGUCAUGCAUGACCAUGAAUAGACAUUUGAGCAUUAGUUGGUCAAUGGAGUGGACCAUUGACAGGUGGUUUGAGUUUGGUCGAUGGAAUUGAUCAUCGACGUAUGUUUUGAUGAGAUUAAUCAAUGGAAUAGACCAUCGAUACAGGUUUUUAUGAGAUUGACCUGGACCAUUGGUGUCUUCCAUAUUUAUGUUAUGAAUAUAUAUUAUUUUAGAAUGAGUUAUGGUUGCAUUUUAAAUGCGCAUAGUGAUUUCUCAAUCCGCUUGAAAGAAAUGUGUUGCUUGCUGAGUCGUGAUAGCUCACUCCUCUCAUCUACUUGUUUUUUUUUUUGUUAGGUUCUUCAGCAAGGCACAAGAAGGCCUAAGCAUUCGUUAUCAGGCAUGACUUUUUGUGGUAGGGACUUUUUGAUAUGAGUCAUAUAUAGUUGAUAAGUUUGUGAGUAAGCUUUUGGUGGAGGUGUAUAUAUUAAUUUGGUGGUUUAUAGAAAACUCUGAUAUUAUAACCAAAUGCAUUUUUUGUCGUGUGCGUGUGCUUGUGCGUGUGCGUGUGUGUGUUGACUUUUGGCUGAAUUUUUGUUAUGUUGAGGUUGCAUCCUUUGGUGAAAGGAUGGCAGUGUCAUGCCCUUAUUCUGUUGAAUUAGGGUGUGACAUUUGUUGGUAUCAUUGUUUAGGCUAUGAUCUAUUUGGGUAGAUCUUUCAAGAUGUGGUGAGAUUGUGUGAUAGUCUCUAACGCGUUAAUCUUUUAAGUAUUAGUGGUGGACAUAAAUGGGAGGAUCCUCUAGUGAGACGCAAAGCAUUUUGAGUUUAUAUUGUCUCAAAAGCAUUUUGAGUUUACAUAGAGAUCCUCUUACUAAAGUAGUUCUAAGACAAAAACAUAGGUGUAGUUUAUGGAAAUUAUGACUAUGGUUUUGACAUAUCAAGAAGUUCAGCACUAGGAGCUCAAUGACGAGCUUGAGAUGAAGAUUAAUGAGUUAAAAAAAAAGAAGAAGAAAAAAAGCUCUUUACAAAACACAAGCUUCGCCUUUACAUAGAUCAGUCCAGCUUUGCUCAAAGGAGUAAACCUACUGAUUCCCGAAUAGCACCAGUGGUGUUGCAGCACCAGAAAUCAAUGGUCCAAGAGAUAGCUCCUGUUAAACUGCAUGUGAAGAACUUUGCAAUUGACUUAAGAGGGAACUCAGAUAAGGUGAUGGGUUUCCAUACUCAUCCAUCAAUGAAGGUGUUUGAUAAUCAGGAUGCCAAUUCUCUCAGAAGGAACUUCUCCGACCUUAGUUUCGCUGAUGAUUCUAGAGGAAAGUUUCUACGAAAAUUACAUGUUGAAAGCAGAUGCAAAGUUGAGGGAAGGGUGGGGAUUCGAGAGAGCAUAAAGGAGGCGAAACUGAAAGCCAUGCAGCAGUGACUUGAGUGAAGUUGAGCUGAAAUGAGGGCCAACUUUCCUAAUGCAGCAGAGAGACGUUAAUAACUCUUUAGUACUUGUCAACGUACUGAGAGGCUGAGAUCACUCAAUAUGCGGCCAAAAGUGAAGGAGAAGUAAACUGAUCUUGUUCAAAGUGAAGAGGAGGAAGUUGAAGCAUAUCCAAAUGAUGGUGUUCUAGGAGCUACCAGAUGAAGAAGCCUUUUCUUAAUCGUAAGUUGUCUUCGUCAACUCCUCUCAAUUCAGUAGCAGUGGCUUCAAGGUCUUCGACCAGAGCUUCCAACUCUUUUCAGGUAGACGAAGGGCGCCAUUAGAAAACCCUCUUGCGUAGUUCGUCCCCUGACUUCUUUGAUUUAAAGAAAAAAAAAACACUAAGCCCUCCCCCGACAUCAGCAAAGCAUCAAAUCGUUCACAAGCGAGAAGCUAUGCUUGAAGCAAGAGUAAUGGUGAAGAUUUGCCUCUUGUCAAGGAAGAGAGAACUCGACGAUCUGAGUCUUUUGGGAAAAGUUCUGCUGGUCCUAUAGUAUUUAAGGACAUGUUGGAUUUGCAUGGUAAUUGGCUAUUUUGGUUUCACUGGAAUUUGAUCAUGGACAGAUGGAUCAUAGUGUUCAAGACAAUUCAAAAAAAAAAAAAAAAUGGUAAUUUAUGGAGUUGUUCCUGGUGUAAGAUCUAGCAUUGCAAGGAAGGCUUAAAUGACAUCUGAAAAUUUGAUGAAUGAUCACGAUUUUGAUGACUCAGAUUUUGUGGCUGAUGAUUUGGGGGACAUGCUAAAAGAGGAAGAAGAUGAUGAUUCACUGAGAUCGAUUUCCCAAGUUGACCUUGUUUCUCUUAGUGAAUUUGCUGCCUCCAAGCCAUCAAAAUUCCAUCCGACAAGUUCUCUAAAGGAUUCACCCUGUGAAAGCCAGUCUCAUGGAAUUUACGCGUCCAAAAUUUGGUUUCCUGCCCACACGAGACUUCAGAUUUUGAUGCUUCCAUCAAUUCUCCAAUUGGAAGCCCUGCAUCAUGGAACUCUAUACCUUGGGCCAAGCAGGGGUUGAUGUUGCAUGAAUGAGAAAGAAAUGGGGGAGUGGGCCGGAACCUUUUAUUGUUGGCGAUCAACAAUCCUUGGUUCACUUUCCCUCCUUGGGCUGGAUGACAAGUGUAGAUGGGUUAAUAUUGACAGUGUAGUAAUCUCAAGAAGAACUGGUUCUGGAAAGGCUGUAUUAUUUACUAAACUGCCCAAAUGGACAUUUGAGUCUGAAUGAAUCAGAUCGGGCUCAAUAAAUACUCCAGAAAUGGAAUCUUGAAAAAGUCCGUUCAUCUGCCACUCUUUCUUUAGCAAUUCCCUAAAAGCAAUGUUCAUGAAGAAAAUAUCAAUGCUCCUCUUCAAAGAGGUAUCGUGCGCAUCUUUCAGCAACUUGGAGUAGAAACCCCUAGUGAUGAAGAUGACUUCAUUGAAGUGAGGUCAAAGAUGAAAAUGCUAAAUGAUAAGCGUGAGCAAAGAGAGAAAGAGAUCAAGACAAAGUACUAUGUCGCAAACGUGCCAAGGAAGUCUUGUCCAUUGCAAAGUACUAACCUCCCCAGUAGCUCCAAGAGGAUCUUUUCUUUGAGAAGUGGAGAAAUUGUGACCAUGGUUACACUAACUUUGCCACUGCAGAUGGAUGUAAUUUGGCAAAUAUCUAAAUAUCAAUUGGCUUCAAGGCCUCCAUAGUGUCGCAACCAUUGGGUCCAACUGGGACACUUGCAGCUAAAACAGAAGCUCAGGUUGAUUUGUUUCCCCAAAAGAUUGUGUCCUUUCCAGCUAACAUUGGAAAGAAUCUUGGGCCAGGCUCAAUAUUUUAGAGCAAGAAUAAGGUUGUGCUUUCGACAUAAAUGGAAUCAUAUUACUAUGGAAAAUAACGAAAUUGUUUGACAAUGGUUUGAAGUGUUUUGAAGCCUUAGAUGCUAUCAUAGAUGCUUUAUACUGUAAAACAUAUGUCAAGCUGUUUUAUAGUACAAAAAGAUAUUCAAACAACAUGAAUAGCCUAGGGUAAGGGGAGGGGCACUACAUGGCGGUGCUGAGUAUUCAGAGAGAUACUUCCAUCUAAUAUCUUUUGCAACAUAUCUUGAAAGUAGGUACAAGUAAUUGGGAAGAUAGUGAAAUUAUAGUUAAAAGGAUUACUACUCCAACAUCUUCUGGUUCUUCUACUUUCAAUACAACAUUUGACAUGGGCAGCAGGCCAAACAUUUCUCGGAAUAGUUCAAUAUCAAUGGAAAGAGGGAAACCUUCUACUUCAUGGAGAAGGGACGCUUUGAGACCGGGAGUAGCUCAACCUUUAGUCUCGUAGAACAAGAGGGUGGUUAUCAUGGCCCUAGACGAGAUGCAUGACAUGGAGAAAGAACAUAAUAGAUGAAAGAGUUCAUCGCAGCUGGAUAUGCCUUAUAGGAGUUGCAAUAAAAGAGGGAUGUCAGAGCCUCAGAUGGAAAAUUUCCCUCGCGUAAGAGGGCUCAAGAGGAAUCUUGUUGAUGGAGAUGCUGAUAAUAGGAAUCCUAAGCUUGAUCCUGAGUUUCAUGAGAAUUUUAGUGAGAGGUUUGCUGGUGAGGUUGGGCGGGGGCAUAGUUUGUCUCGUAACUAUUCUUGUCCACUAUCUUUUGUACAAUUUUUAUCAGAAUUCUGAGGCUGAUGGCUCUUAUUCUUUUGGGAGGUUAAGGUAUUCCAUGAGGCACCCUCGUGUUCCCCAUCCUGCUUAAUUAUCUGCCAUGCAUAAAGAUACACAUAGAGGUGAAAUUGAACAUCCAGGAUCCUCAUCUUUUUGAUAGCGAGGUGCGUCAUACAGGUUUUGUAAGAAGUGAAUCUUCUCUGAAUGUGGAUCAUGGGGUGGGUAAUCAAAAAGAUGUGGUUCAUGAAUUAGUUGGUAUCAAGCAAAAGAGCAUUGAUGAGAAGAAAUUAGAUCUAUAAAUUCCACCAAGGUGUGACUUCCAAUCCUCUCUCAAUGUCUCAAGCCCCCAAUUCUCCGAUUCAUUUUUCUUAUGAUGAUUUGGAGAAAUCUGGGGACUAUUCUAUGGACGCGCGGACCCCUGGAGUGCCUUAACUUUGGCCAAAGGGACACUUAAGUGCCAUAACUUACAAAAGGUACACUUAAGUGCCAAAAUCGGAGUAAAAUGGAUCACUUGAGUGCCAAUCCGGCGAAAAUCCGGCCAAAAUGUGACGUGGCACUUUUCCGGCGAACGGAGCUCAAAAUAACACCGUUUUUCACACUGACGUGGCCAAAACGGCGUUGUUUUGGCUGACGUGGCAAAAAAAAAUAAUUAAAUUAAAUUUAUUUAAAAUAUUUAAAAAUAAUAAUUUUAAAAUUAAAUUUAGUUAAAAUAUUUUAAAUUAAUAAUUUUGAAAUUAAAUUUAGUUGAAAUAUUAAAAAAUUAAUAAUUUAAAAUUAAAAAAAAAAGUUGGGGAGGCUCUCUCAGCCGCCGCUGCCGCCGCCGCCGCCCCGCCGCCGCCGCCGCCAGGAAGGGCCGGCGACGGCGAGGCGAGGGUCGGCCAGGGUCGCCGGGCCCUGGCCAGGGGCUGGCGACCCCGGCCGACCGGCGGCGAGGCUCGGAGCCCUCGCCCCAGAUCGANNNNNNNNNNNNNNNNNNNNNNNNNNNNNNNNNNNNNNNNNNNNNNNNNNNNNNNNNNNNNNNNNNNNNNNNNNNNNNNNNNNNNNNNNNNNNNNNNNNNGACCCUCCCCCGCAGUUGCCGGCCCCUUCCCGGCGGCGGCGGGGCGGCGGCGGAGGCAGUUGAGGGAUCCCUCAGCCGCCUCCCCCACUUUUUUUUUUUUAAUUAUUAAUUUUUUAAUAUUUCAACUAAAUUUAAUUUUAAAAUUAUUAUUUUUAAAUAUUUUAACUAAAUUUAAUUUUAAAAUUAUUAUUUUUAAAUAUUUUAACUAAAUUUAAUUUUAAAAUUAAUUUUUUAAUUUUUUUUUACCACGUCAGCCCAAAACGACGCUGUUUUGGCCACGUCAGCGUGCAAAACGACAUCGUUUUGGGCGCGCUUCGCCGGAAAAACGCCACGUUGGCGUUUUGGCUGGAUUUUGGCCGGAGUGGCACUCAAGUGAUCCGUUUUUCUUCGAAUGUGGCACUUAAGUGUACAUUUCGUAAGUUAUGGCACUUGAAGUGUUCUUUUGCCCUAUUCUAUGAAGUCGUUAGCUGGAUAGGACGGAGAUUUUCAUCCCCCCCUGCAAAAAAAGAAGAAGAAAGAAAAGGAAACUAUUGUCUUAUUGACUAAAGUUCUGCUUGAUCACUCAAAUGUCUGAUGUCGAGUUUGAUUGUUCACUGCUCAGAUUCAUUGCAUGUUAUUCCAGUGUAUGACAAGGACAUGUCCAAGUUGCACCACUAGCGUCUUCUUCACUCCGGGAUAUGCACAUCCUUGUCCACUGGUAUGAUGCCUGCUUAAAUGCUUCUAUCUACAUACUCGAUGACAAUGUGCUAGUCUCACUUGAAGUUUCCACACAAGACUUUGCGCAUUCCUUGACCCGUUCUUCUUUGAGAUCUCUUACCUCGCCCUCAUUCCGAGCACAAACGGGUAUAUAUACUUUUCCUUGUGAAUCUUGUUUCUACACUUGUCUGCUCGAACCCUAUAUGAUACAACCAUUACACCUUUUUCUUUUCCUUUCUCCUAUACACAAUUCUUUAAAUACUUUCGAUAUGAUGUGUUGUUUCACUUUUCUUGCGGCAAUUAUUUUACUCUUAUCGUUAAUCCUUCUUAGGUGGGGAAAAACACCAAAAAAGUCAUAAAUAUAUUGCAUUGGUACCGAUUUAAUGUCAAACCCUUUCAUAUUAGUAUUAAUUCAGUUAAUCAAUCCGGCCAAUUUUGGCCAGCCAAUGUUGAUGUGCACACCAGCCAAAAUUGGGCUGAUGGAUUGAAUUAGUACUAAUGUAAAAAAAAAAUUAGGAUUGAAUUGGUCUAAUUGAAAGAUUUAGAACUGAAUUGGUAUCAAUACAAUAGGUUUAUGACUUUUUUGAUAUUUUUCCCUUCUCAGGUGUUAGAGGUGCUAUUAUAAUAUCUUAACUUCCUUUAGCAAUAAAAAGACGGUGUAAUCUGCUUAAAUCUUUAUUUAGUUGUGCUUCUACAAAAAUCAACCCUCUCUAUGAUUAUUUAUGUUAAAAUUAUAUCUUGAAUUUGAAUUCGUGAAAGAAAUCCGACUAGAGAUGAAUUGAAUUGUAAGAAACUAGGUCAAUUAAGGAAAAUCCUAAAGCCGAAUAUUUCUGGACGUCGGUAAUGGAAAUCUAGAUUUCAUAUUUGGCGUCAGAGUCCAAAGUGCAGAUUUGGACCUUAAGCUGCCAAUUCGCUAACUCCAACAAAAGGCCAAAACUUGUGGAUUACAAAAAUCAAUUUCCGCAUGGGAGUUGGUCAACACAACAACCGAACAAGAAAGAUCGGAGUUGGACUGGGUUUCCUUCUUCAAUCGGUCAACUUGGCUAUAUUAUGUACGGAGUAACACCUUGAAAAAUCCAAAAUUGACAUUUUUAUAACAAAUUUACCAAAAUUUAAAUUUUUUGACCAUAAAAAAAUCCAAAUUUGUACACCUAUGAUAAAUUCACCUUAAAGAAAUUUUUAACCAUACAAAAUCUUAAACUAGCACAUCCGUUACAAAUAGAGAGUAAAACCCCAAACCGAUACAACAUUAAUUGCCAAAUGUCAUUCAAUUCAAUAAUUUGAUGAGAAAAUUUGAAGGAAAUUAAUGGAGGCUAAAUUUGUUAUGAGUAUAUCAAAGUAUUAGAUAAAUUUAUUACAAGUGUAUCGGUUCAUGAUUUAUUAUGAAAUUACCCUAAAUAUAAAUAUACAAUUGUGGAUUGCUCGUUGGUUAUGAAGAAAUAUUAAAGUGUAGUUUUUGGUGAAUGUCGAGGGAAGUUCUAUAUUUGUUAGUGACGGCCAAUUGGCACUGGAGGUUUGGUAGUGGAUUCUUCAUGGAAUAACAUUAAUAGCUUAUGUGUUGGACUCAAUUAAAUCUUGUGAGGAUUUAUUUAAUUCGUUUUUUGAGAUUGAGGGAUCAUUUCGUGAGGAAUUGUAAGACUAAAUGCUGCAUGAAUUAUUGAGUAUAAUUGGAGGUUGGAAAACAUGAGAGUGUUUGAGUAACUUGAGUAUGGUUGUAAUUUUCAUUGGAUUGCUUGAUCUAGAGUGGAAUUCUUUACUACUCUCCCUAUGGACAUAUGUCACAUCGACAUAAUCAUUUAAAUUUGAUGUUCAAUUUAUUUUCUUAGUUUGUCUAUUUUAUUGUUUGAUCAGUUAGAUUCCACAAUAAUUUAAAAGAUCAAGGCAUUGGUAAAUGGUCUCUCUACUUUUGCUCAACAAUCAAAGUCAUUCUUUUAAUUUCUUUUAAGGAAAAAAAUCACAAAAACUCCAAAUUUUGUCGACUGUGGUACAUUUAUUCUAAACCAUUUUUGGUGACACCAAAAACUCUAAAUUUAUACCCGUAUGACACAUUUACCCUAAAUUUUUUUUCUAUAACACCAAAUUUUUUGGGGUUAAUAUGUCACAUCAUACAAAUUUGAAGUUUUAGGUGUCACAUUAUAUAAGAUUAGAGUAAAUAUGCAAAAUAAGUAUGAAUUUGGAGUUUUUGGUGUCAUAAAAUAAGUUUGGGAUAAAUAUAUUAUAGUAAAUAUAAUUUAGAGUUUUCGGUGAUUUUACAUUUCUUUUUAUUCGAAACCAUUCUUGCACUUAAGUGCCAUUGGUCGUCCCUGUGUUGGAACACUAUUAGCUAUUUUCUAACGUGGAUUUGUAUUUUAUUUGUUGGGGAUUUUUCUUUCUUUCUCCAAAUGUAGACUCUCUCUCUCUCUCCUUUUUAGGUUCUUCAUUUUAUGAAACCAAAAACCCACAACCUUACCAAAAAAAAAAAAAAAAAAAAACCAAAAACCAAAACCCACAAAAUAUAUUGCCUAUACUAAUGCAAAAACACUAUUAUUUGUAUCGACUCACGACAAGCAAUUGAGUAGCUAUGGGUCGUGAGCUCUAUGGCUCAUGACUUGAGCAAAUAUGACUGCUACAAGAUCAAAGCUCAUGCGGCAAUGCCACGAGCUCAAAGAUCAAGUAGCCAUGGCUCAAGCUUUUUGACUCAAAUAGACAUCGUGGAUGGCCAUUUGCGAGCUUGAGCUUGAAUAGCCAUGGCCAAUGCUAUAGAGUUGGAGCUCAUGGUAAUGGUGGGUCAUAAUGGAGCUCACUUGUAAUUGUGCCCAUUUUUUUUUAAUGUUUAUGUUGCCUAAUUUAGCAUCUGUUUUUCCUAAAAUAAUUAUAUGAGCAGAGUACCACAUAAUAGGUAUGCUGGCAUCUUGUUCAUAAAAAUCGAAUGGCAAGAGGAAAAAGUAUAAUAGAAUGAUUAAUGGUGAUACUUCUAAGGGAAAAAGCCACAAAAAAAAAAUCUUAAACUUUAUCAAUUGUGACACAUUUAUUCCAAUUUUUUCUAACAUCAAAAAUCCCAAACUUGUACACAUGUAGUAAUAUAUUUGCCAAAAAAAAAAAUUUUACACCAAAAAACCCAAACUUAUACUUUUGUGACAGCAAAACCCUAAACUUUUGUUUUGUAACACCAAAAACCUCAGACUUAUAGUCAAGUCACACAUCUACCCCCAAAUUUGGUGUCAUAGAAAAAUGUUUUAGGUAUUUUGUGUCACAAAAGAAAAGUUCGGGGUUUUUUAUGUCAUAAAAAGAAGUUUGGAAUAAAUGUGCGACACUACAACAUUUUGAGAUAAAUGUGUCACGUAGAUAAAAGUUAGGAUUUUUUAUAUUACAAAAAAAAAAGUUUGGGGUAAAUAUUUCACAAUGGUCAUAAUUUAAGGUUUUUGGUGGCUUUUUCCAUACUUUUAAAUAGUAGAGAGAUGCUUUAAAAAAAGUAGAGGGGAUUUUGAUUUUCUGGCAAAAACAUAAGGGCCACCGAUAAAUCUAAUCCCAUAAAGAAAGUGGCAUAUGUAUAGGAAUUGAUAAAACAGUAAAAAAAUUAUAAUGGACACAGUGCCAAGUACCAAUCGCUCCAAGUCCAACCAGAGAGGUCUCUUCACACCAACAUCUAUGGCCAGGACAAAGUCUAUAAGGUUUUUCCAAUAAAGGCAGCGACCAUGAUGUUACGUAAAUAUGAAUUGGGGGAAUGAAUCAAUGCGUCGCUCUAGAGUUUAGUCCCUCGACAAACAGGUCAACUCAGCAUGCGUGGAACGAGCACAUUUUGUUGAAGAUACUGACCUCAAGUCUACCUUAGACAAGAGUAGGGACCACAAGAAUAAUGGACAAUGCUACAUGAAAAUCAAAUCUUAUCGGUCUAGCUUUUCAAAUAUAUGAAUGACUUUGACACUUGGAUUUGUUCCUUUGUUGUUGACUAAUGCUGGUAAAACUAUGUUUUAAGUCCUGCUUGAUCGUUCAAAUGUCCGAUGUCAAGUUUGAGUGUUUAGAUUCAUUGUAUGUUAUUCCAGCGUAUGACAAGGACAUGUCCAAGUUGCACCACUAACGUCUUCUUCACUCUGGGAUAUGCCCAUCCUUGUCCAUUGGUAUGAUGCCUGCUUAGAUGCUUCUAUCUACGUACUCGAUGACAAUGCACUAGUCUCAGUUGAAGUUUCCACACGAUACUUUACGCGUUUAUUGACCCGUUCUUCUUUGAGAUCUCUUACCUCGCCCUCGCUCUGAGCACAAACGGGUAUAUAUACUUUUCCCUGUGAAUUUUGUUUCUACACCUAUCCACUCGAACCCUAUACGGUACAGCCAUGGAUAGCAAAAACAGUAGUCCGUGGUCGUUCAUACUCCCAAUUUUCUUGCUUUGCUCAUCUCUGUACACCCACCUCUGUCUUGGCACAGACAAGCUCGACGCGAAUCGAUCUAUAUCUGGUGAUCAAAUCUUAACCUCCUCGGGUGGCCACUUUACGGUUUCAAACGAAAAAAAUGAAAGCCAAGCAAGAGCAGAACGGUUGAAGUCUUUAGCUGAAGCGAGAAUCGCUCGACGAAGAUAAAGACCAGCAGAGGCGUGCACGGGAAGCUUGGCAAAAAGGGGGAAAAGUCAGCAAAUUUUAUCUCUUCCAUUGAUGGCUUUGUCUCCUAAUACUUUCCAACAUAAUUUCCACCAAUUAAUCACACUUUGAUGCAAAUGUUGCACCCCCUCAUCCUAAACUCCAAAUUUAGCUCAUAUUGAACUUCAAUUUCCUCAUUCAAUUCCUCAAAUCGACGUCCAAAUUUUCCAAGAAAAGAGCCCAUACAAUUUUUUGCAAGUCCCCAACACCCAAAGGCUCGGUAUAGAAGCCAAAAUUCCCUUCAAAUGAGCCCAUCCAAAUUUCCGUUAUUUUCUGAUUCGUCCAAAACGAUUUUCCGUAAAAAUCUCGGAAUCUCCGAAAAUUCUUCAGAAGAUGAGUCGACGUUCCUAAAAUGAAUCAUGACACGGCAUAACUUUCAAUUUCUAAAAUUGGGUUCAAAUUCGCGGUUAAUUUCAAUUCGACGCGAUUUUAUCAUAACCUAAUCUACCAUGUAGCUUUUAGGAAUUUUUGGUGCAAUUGUCCUAUGGUCAAUUACUUUUUAGCCAUAUUGUACAUCUUCGACUCAUGGCAACUCUCGGUUGUCGUGGAAAUCUCGAGGUUUCAAAUGCGGACACAUGGUACAUAAAUGACAAAAAAAAAUCAGUCUAGUGCCGUUUGAUGAGAAUUUUGCAAUUAGGUGGAAUCACCCACGCACUAAUCACAUAUCUCCAUUGAAUCGACCUAUCUCCGGUCUCUGAUCGUUUUUUACGGUGCCGUAAUGACCCUUGCAAAUUAGCAUUGUCAAACAAUCGAUUCAUGAUCGAAUUCUUAAGUCCAUUGCGUUAAAAUCCCUUAAUGACUUCCCUAGAUAGUCUAGUUAUUUCAUGAGUGAUCAGUUCAGAGAAUAACACUAUAGACGCGUCGAUGAAAUGUCCGAUUUAUUUAAUUGAAAACAAAAUUUGAAAAUUCAGGCUGUCAUAGUUUUUGGGCUUUUCCAAGGUAAGUGACACUAUUUCUUCUUUGUGUUUUAAACUCAUGUUUUGAAAAAAAAAAAAACAUUAUGGAUUAUAUAUGAGUUGAUAAAUAGCAUCUUUUGUUGCAUAAAACAAGAUCGAGCUUUUGCUGCCAUUUUGUUGUUGAAAGAGAUAAUUAUCCUUUUAAUUAGGUUUGAAUGAUUGUCUAAACCAUUUUAUGAAUGAAUUUCAAAAUGUUUGUGGUUCUUUAAGAACGCUUUGAUAUUUAUAAAUUAAAUGCUUGAAUUAUGAGAUGACUCUCAUUCUAAAGUUGGAUUACUGGAUAUUUGUGAUUGAUGGUUAAUACUUAAUGUCUCUAUGGACCCUAAGGAGUUCUAUGGACCCUAAGGAGUUUAUGGGUAUAUCAUAUUAGUCUAGGAUAUCCUUGUGAGCCGAGCCACCGGCUAAUAAUAGAUGGAGAGCUAAUCAAUGGGGGAAUCUUGGUCGUCCUUUCAUGGGCGUUACGCGUGACCAUGGAUAGACAUUUGAGCAUGAAAUGGAGUGGACCAUUGAUAGGUGAUCUGAGUUUGGUCGAUGAAAUGGACCAUCGACUUAUGGUUUGAUGAGAUUAAUCAAUGGAACAAACUAUCGGUACAGGUUUUUAUGAGAUUGACCAAUGAACUGGACCAUUGAUGUAUUCAGUAUUUGUGUUAUGAAUAUAUAUUAUUUUAAAGUGAGUUAUGGUUGCCUUUUAAGUGUGCAUAGUGAUUUUUCGAUCCGUUUAAAAGAAAUGUGUUACUCCUUGAGCCGUGGUAGCUCACUUCUCUCAUCUAUUUGUUUUGUUUUGUUUUGUUUUUUUCCAGGUUCUUCAGCGAGGCACAAGUAGGCCUGAGCGUUCAUUAUUAGGGAGGACUUUUUAUGGUGGGGAUUUUUUGGUAUGAGUUAUAUAUAAUUGAUAAGUUUGUGAAAUAGCUUUUGGUGGAGGUGUAUAUAUUAAUUUGGUGGUGUAUAGAAAACUCUGAUAUUGUAACCAAAUGCUCUAUUUGUCAUAUAUAAAUAUGUUGAUUUAUAUAUGUUGACCGACGCGCGGACCACUGGAGUGCCUUAACUUUGGCCAAAGGGACACUUAAGUGCCAUAACUUACAAAAGGUACACUUAAGUGCCAAAAUCGGAGUAAAAUGGAUCACUUAAGUGCCAAUCCGGCGAAAAUCCGGCCAAAAUGUGACGUGGCACUUUUCCGGCGAACGGAGCUCAAAAUAACAUCGUUUUUCACACUGACAUGGCCAAAACGGCGUUGUUUUGGCUGACGUGGCAAAAAAAAAUUAAUUAAAUUAAAUUUAUUUAAAAUAUUUAAAAAUAAUAAUUUUAAAAUUAAAUUUAGUUAAAAUAUUUUAAAUUAAUAAUUUUGAAAUUAAAUUUAGUUGAAAUAUUAAAAAAUUAAUAAUUUAAAAUUAAAAAAAAAAAGUUGGGGAGGCUCUCUCAGCCGCCCCCAUCCCCCCCCCCCCCCUAACUCUGGGAUCGUAGACGCAUGUCGCCACCUCUAGUCAAUGCACAUGGAAGAUGGCACAGAUUGAUCAUCNNNNNNNNNNNNNNNNNNNNNNNNNNNNNNNNNNNNNNNNNNNNNNNNNNNNNNNNNNNNNNNNNNNNNNNNNNNNNNNNNNNNNNNNNNNNNNNNNNNNNNNNNNNNNNNNNNNNNNNNNNNNNNNNNNNNNNNNNNNNNNNNNNNNNNNNNNNNNNNNNNNNNNNNNNNNNNNNNNNNNNNNNNNNNNNNNNNNNNNNNNNNNNNNNNNNNNNNNNNNNNNNNNNNNNNNNNNNNNNNNNNNNNNNNNNNNNNNNNNNNNNNNNNNNNNNNNNNNNNNNNNNNNNNNNNNNNNNNNNNNNNNNNNNNNNNNNNNNNNNNNNNNNNNNNNNNNNNNNNNNNNNNNNNNNNNNNNNNNNNNNNNNNNNNNNNNNNNNNNNNNNNNNNNNNNNNNNNNNNNNNNNNNNNNNNNNNNNNNNNNNNNNNNNNNNNNNNNNNNNNNNNNNNNNNNNNNNNNNNNNNNNNNNNNNNNNNNNNNNNNNNNNNNNNNNNNNNNNNNNNNNNNNNNNNNNNNNNNNNNNNNNNNNNNNNNNNNNNNNNNNNNNNNNNNNNNNNNNNNNNNNNNNNNNNNNNNNNNNNNNNNNNNNNNNNNNNNNNNNNNNNNNNNNNNNNNNNNNNNNNNNNNNNNNNNNNNNNNNNNNNNNNNNNNNNNNNNNNNNNNNNNNNNNNNNNNNNNNNNNNNNNNNNNNNNNNNNNNNNNNNNNNNNNNNNNNNNNNNNNNNNNNNNNNNNNNNNNNNNNNNNNNNNNNNNNNNNNNNNNNNNNNNNNNNNNNNNNNNNNNNNNNNNNNNNNNNNNNNNNNNNNNNNNNNNNNNNNNNNNNNNNNNNNNNNNNNNNNNNNNNNNNNNNNNNNNNNNNNNNNNNNNNNNNNNNNNNNNNNNNNNNNNNNNNNNNNNNNNNNNNNNNNNNNNNNNNNNNNNNNNNNNNNNNNNNNNNNNNNNNNNNNNNNNNNNNNNNNNNNNNNNNNNNNNNNNNNNNNNNNNNNNNNNNNNNNNNNNNNNNNNNNNNNNNNNNNNNNNNNNNNNNNNNNNNNNNNNNNNNNNNNNNNNNNNNNNNNNNNNNNNNNNNNNNNNNNNNNNNNNNNNNNNNNNNNNNNNNNNNNNNNNNNNNNNNNNNNNNNNNNNNNNNNNNNNNNNNNNNNNNNNNNNNNNNNNNNNNNNNNNNNNNNNNNNNNNNNNNNNNNNNNNNNNNNNNNNNNNNNNNNNNNNNNNNNNNNNNNNNNNNNNNNNNNNNNNNNNNNNNNNNNNNNNNNNNNNNNNNNNNNNNNNNNNNNNNNNNNNNNNNNNNNNNNNNNNNNNNNNNNNNNNNNNNNNNNNNNNNNNNNNNNNNNNNNNNNNNNNNNNNNNNNNNNNNNNNNNNNNNNNNNNNNNNNNNNNNNNNNNNNNNNNNNNNNNNNNNNNNNNNNNNNNNNNNNNNNNNNNNNNNNNNNNNNNNNNNNNNNNNNNNNNNNNNNNNNNNNNNNNNNNNNNNNNNNNNNNNNNNNNNNNNNNNNNNNNNNNNNNNNNNNNNNNNNNNNNNNNNNNNNNNNNNNNNNNNNNNNNNNNNNNNNNNNNNNNNNNNNNNNNNNNNNNNNNNNNNNNNNNNNNNNNNNNNNNNNNNNNNNNNNNNNNNNNNNNNNNNNNNNNNNNNNNNNNNNNNNNNNNNNNNNNNNNNNNNNNNNNNNNNNNNNNNNNNNNNNNNNNNNNNNNNNNNNNNNNNNNNNNNNNNNNNNNNNNNNNNNNNNNNNNNNNNNNNNNNNNNNNNNNNNNNNNNNNNNNNNNNNNNNNNNNNNNNNNNNNNNNNNNNNNNNNNNNNNNNNNNNNNNNNNNNNNNNNNNNNNNNNNNNNNNNNNNNNNNNNNNNNNNNNNNNNNNNNNNNNNNNNNNNNNNNNNNNNNNNNNNNNNNNNNNNNNNNNNNNNNNNNNNNNNNNNNNNNNNNNNNNNNNNNNNNNNNNNNNNNNNNNNNNNNNNNNNNNNNNNNNNNNNNNNNNNNNNNNNNNNNNNNNNNNNNNNNNNNNNNNNNNNNNNNNNNNNNNNNNNNNNNNNNNNNNNNNNNNNNNNNNNNNNNNNNNNNNNNNNNNNNNNNNNNNNNNNNNNNNNNNNNNNNNNNNNNNNNNNNNNNNNNNNNNNNNNNNNNNNNNNNNNNNNNNNNNNNNNNNNNNNNNNNNNNNNNNNNNNNNNNNNNNNNNNNNNNNNNNNNNNNNNNNNNNNNNNNNNNNNNNNNNNNNNNNNNNNNNNNNNNNNNNNNNNNNNNNNNNNNNNNNNNNNNNNNNNNNNNNNNNNNNNNNNNNNNNNNNNNNNNNNNNNNNNNNNNNNNNNNNNNNNNNNNNNNNNNNNNNNNNNNNNNNNNNNNNNNNNNNNNNNNNNNNNNNNNNNNNNNNNNNNNNNNNNNNNNNNNNNNNNNNNNNNNNNNNNNNNNNNNNNNNNNNNNNNNNNNNNNNNNNNNNNNNNNNNNNNNNNNNNNNNNNNNNNNNNNNNNNNNNNNNNNNNNNNNNNNNNNNNNNNNNNNNNNNNNNNNCCGCAGUUGCCGGCCCUUCCCGGCGGCGGCGGGGCGGCGGCGGAGGCAGCUGAGGGAUCCCUCAGCCGCCUCCCCCACUUUUUUUUUUUUAAUUAUUAAUUUUUUAAUAUUUCAACUAAAUUUAAUUUUAAAAUUAUUAUUUUUAAAUAUUUUAACUAAAUUUAAUUUUAAAAUUAUUAUUUUAAAAUAUUUUAACUAAAUUUAAUUUUAAAAUUAAUUUUUUAAUUUUUUUUUACCACGUCAGCCCAAAACGACGCCAUUUUGGCCACGUCAGCGUGCAAAACGACGUCGUUUUGGGCGCGCUUCGCCGGAAAAACGCCACGUUGGUGUUUUGGCUGGAUUUUGGCCGGAGUGGCACUCAAGUGAUCCGUUUUUCUUCGAAUGUGGCACUUAAGUGUACCUUUCGCAAGUUAUGGCACUUAAGUGUCCCUUUGGCCAAAGUUAUGGCACUUGAAGUGUUCUUUUGCCUAUGUUGACCUUAGGCUGAAUUUUGGUUAUGUUGAGGCUGCGUCCUUUGAUGAAAGUACGGCAGUGUCAUGCUCUUAUUAUGUUGAAUCGGGGUGUGACAUUCUAAAUAUAAAGAGAUGCUUUAUAAAAGAUAGAGGGAGAUUUUUAUUUUCGGGUGAACAUAUAAGGAUUGCGGGGACUCUGUUCCUGAAAAAAGUUGCAUAUGGAUGGAAAUUGAUAAAACAGUAAAAGGUUAUAAUGGAGCUCCACUACCAAUCACUUUCAACCAAAAAAAAAAGAGGUAUCAAUCGCUUCAAGUCCACGUAGAGGUCUCUUCAGGUCAUCUAGGCAGAGGUCUAUUCACCCAUCAAGACUAACUUAGACAUGAACAGGGACAACAAGAGUAUUGGAACAUGAAUCAUGAAAUUCAAAUCUUGUUGGUCCAUCUUUCCAACUUAUGAAUGACUUUGACACUUGGUUUUCUUCCUCUAUUGUUCACUAUAACUGGUAAAAUUGUCUUCUUGCUUUGCCCAUGUCCGAGUCUGCCUGUGUUUUUAGUCUUGCUUGACCACUCAAAUGCCCAAUUUUGACUGCUCAAAUUCAUUCGUUGAUGAGGACAUCUCCAAGUUGCACCUCUAGCGUCUUCUUCACUCUAGGAUAUGCCCGUCCUUCUCCACUGGUUUCAGCAUUCAAGCUUAAAUGCGACCUGCGGAUGAGGCCAGUGAAAAUGCACAAGUCCCAGUUGAAGUUUCCACAUAUUACUCUGCGCGUUUCUUGACCCUUUCUUCUUUGAGAUCUCUUACCUCACCCUCACUCUUGAGCACAAACAGGUAUAUAUACUUCCUCCUGUGCAUUAUGUUUCUAAACCUGUCCGCUCGAACCUCGUUUGGUACAGCCAUGGAUAGCAACAAAAGCAGUCCAUGGUCGUUCAUCCUCCCAAGUUUCUUGCUUUGCUUAUCUCUCUGCAUCCACCUCUGUCUUGGCACAGACAAGCUCGAUGCAAAUCAGUCUCUAUCUGGUAAUGAAACCUUAACUUCCUCGGGUGGCGACUUUGUGCUUGGCUUCUUUACACCAGGCAAGUCGUCUUACUCCUACAUAGGCAUCUGGUACAACAAAGUUCGCGAGCCGACCAUUGUCUGGGUCGCCAACAGAGACAACCCUGUCACCGACAGGUACUCCACUGAAUUGAAGAUCUUGGAUGGCAAUCUUAUAAUUGUCAACGGCUCCCAAGUCCCUGUUUGGUCCACGAAUCUGCGUAUUUCUUCAUCUGGGUCGAGCUCCAUGGUAGCGGUUCUUGGGGACGAUGGCAACUUCGCUCUCAAAGACGGGCCAAAUUCUUCCGUGACCCUCUGGCAGAGCUUUGAUCACAUGACACACACGUGGCUUCCUGGUGCGAAAUUAGAGAUCAACAAGCGCAAAAACACGGUCUUGACAUCAUGGAAGAAUGCCGAGGAUCCUUCGACAGGUUUGUUCUCUCUCCAGCUGCAGCCAUCCAAUGAGUACUUCAUAUUGUGGAACAUGUCGUUUCGUUAUUAUACCACCGGGAAGUGGGAUAGUAAGAAUAAAGUGUAUGAAAACGUGCCUGAGUUGAAAGCGAACACUAUUUUCGAUUUCAUCUUUGUGGACAAUGAAAAUGAGAGCUACUUCACUUAUAGAAGGAAAGAUGGCAGCACUACCCCAUCAAGAUUCGUGAUGGAUCUUUCUGGACAAAUGCAGAUGCUUUCCUGGUUGCCCUCACAGCAGUGGAACAUGUUCUGGUCCCAGCCCCCGAAAAAAUGUCAAGUCCGCAAUUUUUGUGGGCCUUUUGGUGUUUGCAGCGAGAGCACAGAUAACUUUUGCAGUUGCUUGCCAGGGUUUAGUAUAACCUCACUAAGAGAUUGGAAUCUGGGUGAUAUGUCUAGUGGUUGUAAGAGGAAUUCCAGAUUGAGUUGUGCUUUGAGCACUUUGGAUGGGGAGAAGGACCAAUUCUUGCUUAGUCCUAACAAAUUGCCGACGGAUUCCCAAUCUUUACCUGUAAGAGACGCCAACGAAUGUCACCUCUCUUGUUUGAACAAUUGCUCUUGCACGGCUUAUGUUUUCAAGGAUAAUGCCUGCUCAAUUUGGUUUGGGCAUCUUUUCAACGCGCAACAGCUCGCACAAGGUGAUUCCACUGGAAAUAGCUUCUAUCUCCGGCUUGCCGCUUCCGACGUUGAGGAUCCAAGCAAGAAGAGCAAUGUAACUGCGAUAGUUGCAGGGUCUUUUAGCUCUGCAGUGGCAAUAUUGGCCAUUGUCUUGUUUGGCGUCUGGAGAUGGAGGAGAAGGGCAACUGUAACAACAAAGACAGCGGAGGGUUCACUGAUAGCCUUUGCACACCGGGACUUACAAGUAGCAACAAAGAAUUUCUCAGAGAAGUUGGGUGGGGGUGGGUUCGGUUCAGUUUUCAAAGGAACAUUACCUGAUUCAAUUCACAUAGCGGUCAAGAAGCUUGAAAGCAUAAGCCAAGGAGAGAAGCAAUUCCGAACAGAAGUAAGCACAAUCGGCACCAUCCAGCAUGUGAAUCUUGCUAGGCUUCGCGGGUUUUGCUCUGAAGGUGACAAAAGGCUUUUGGUCUACGAUUUCAUGCCAAAUGGUUCCUUAGACUAUCAUCUCUUUCAUAGAAAGGAGUCGAAGACCCUGGAUUGGAAAAUGAGGUACCAAAUUGCUUUGGGAACGGCUCGAGGUCUGGCUUAUCUCUAUGAGAAGUGUAGAGACUGCAUCAUACAUUGCGACAUCAAGCCAGAGAACAUCCUUCUAGAUGCUGAAUUAUGUCCAACAGUGGCAGAUUUUGGCCUGGCAAAGCUUGUUGGCCGAGAUUUCAGCAGGGUGUUGACAACUAUUAGAGGCACAAGAGGGUAUCUUGCACCGGAGUGGAUCUCUGGAGUGGCCAUAACAGCAAAAGCUGAUGUUUAUAGCUAUGGAAUGAUGCUCUUUGAAUUUGUAUCAGGACGGAGGAACUCAGAGCUAUUGGAAAAUGGGGCUAUCAAGUUCUUCCCAACAUGGGCUGCUAGGAAGGUAUCUGAAGGAGGUGACCUGCUUGAUCUUCUGGACCCAAACUUGGAGGCAAAUGCCGAUACUGAAGAGCUAACUAGGAUUUGCAGAGUUGCUUGCUGGUGUGUCCAAGAUGCAGAAUCUCACAGGCCAUCGAUGGGGCAGGUUGUUCCAAUACUUGAGGGGGUUUUGGAUGUGAACCUGCCCCAGAUACCGAGAGCCCUUCAAAUGAUUCAUGAUAAUCAGGAGCAUGUAGUUUUCUUCACUAAGUCAUCAUCAUCUAACCAGAGUUCCCAGAUGGAGAGAAACACAUUAACUGCAUCCAUGCAGAACCAAAAUAGUACACCUUCAACAAAUUCCAAGUCUUGAGGAUGAUAAGAUAAAUGCCUCUGUACAAGUAGUGCUUCACUUAGAUACUGCAUAUUGUUCUCCCGCUUUUUCUUUGGUCAAGAAAGAGUCAGCAUUUGGGGAUUGGCUUUCUUGGGGCUUUUUCCCCUAGCUAUUUUUGUUAUAUGGAUAAAAGCAAAGCUUGGACAAGUGCCAGGCCAAUCCAUUCGUAAAGACCCUUCAUUCUAUAUAAUGAUCUAGUCUGCUUAUGAGAUCCAAUGUGACAUUAGUAAUUAUUUUCAAAAACUGUCAUCUCCACUUUCUUAUAAUUUUUGCACUGGAAUUGGGAUCUACGUCGUCAAACAUGGGAUUUCUCAUGGGGUCCACGUCUUCAAGCAUGGGUUUGCUCAAUGUGGGUGCAGAAAACCUUUUAUCUGCUUUUAACAGAUUUUAGUCAACACUCACCAGGUUUUUGAUCCACCACAUUCAGAGAAUUAAGGUUCAGCCUUUAGGUUAGAACCCAUGAUUAAAAACUGAUGUAUGCCUCGUUGCUUGGAUGUACUUUUCUGGUGCAGAAUUUGCAACUAGAUUCCAGGUGAAAUGUUCUGAUGUCUUGUCCUUGUUCAGACGAAUAUCAUUUUGACCGUGUUAUUCUCCAUAAAAUGGAAUCACUUAGUUUGAUUUUGACGAGUGCAUCACAGGCUAACUGAAUGCAGCAUUCUUGUUCGUGGUUUGCUUCAUGUAGGCUCUCCCAUUCCCAGUUGAUGUGCCGUGAUUUCCCCAACUUAAUCCUAGCUUACUCUCACAUUCUUCUUCCACACUUCACGCUAUGGUAAAUAACAUUGUCUCACUUUUCUUAAUUACAGUAAUUUUUAUCAGCCAGAUGUUGGCAUCUCCCAGCAAUGUUUAGUUCAGAGAACUUUCAUCUUGGAUUUCAGCUGGUGUCUCACAUUGUUCUCAAAUCUGCCCCCACUGCAUACAAAGCAGGCUAUAAGGCUUGGCAUUUCUCAGUAUCAACUCCACUUACUACUUGCUUUGUUUAUAAUGAUUCAUGGCACCAAAACCGCCCUUAUAACUACAACUUGCUGGGACCAGGAACUAUAUCAUGAAAAUUACACGGUGAUCUAUGCUGUAGGAUGUUAAUGCCCGCCCCCUUUAUGUCAUGGCAUUUACAUCUCUUCUAAAGUUGAAUUUUUGUGGAUUGCUCACUCGCUCUAUGUUUUGAGUGAGUAAUGCCAGAGAUUACUUGACCAUUUUGCAAAACUGACGUGUAAAGUGAUGAAUUGAGACUUCCAUUGGGGUCGAUGUAACCGUUGGUCUCUCUAUUUUCACUUGGAAAUCAAGUUAUCAACAUGCUACUGUCUCACAUGGUUCUCGGAUCUGCCACUUCUCCUAGCCAUUGCAGUGCCACAAUCUCACUAACUUUUCCAAGUUUUCCAUCUUCAGUUUUUUCUUUACACUAUGACUACAUUUUUUCUCCUUUUUCCUAUAAAUGCAAUAUGAUAAAUUCAGAUCUAAUACCGUUUCACUUCUCUUUCUGUAAGUGUUUUCUCAGUACCAUCUGAUUGUUGAUCCUUCUCUGGUGCCAGAGGUGCUGUUAUAAAGUCUAACCUGCUUCUAUCAAUCAGCACCCUCUCUUAGAUGAAGCAACCUUGACUAGAUCUGGAUUUGCUAUGAUCAUUUAAAACUUCAAGCAUUCCACCUGGACUUGGUAAAAUAUGGAAUAAACAGAAAAUUGAACUGCUCCAAACAAAAGAUAAAAAGAAAGUUGCAUGUGUAAGGGAAUCGAUAAAAAAGGAAAAGGUUAUAGUGGAUGCAACCUCAAAUACCAAUCACCCCAAGUCCAUGCAAGGGACUCUUCAAAACUUCAUCUGUCCAUGUCCACACAGUCUAGAUGAUUUUCUUGUAGAAAUUACAUAGAAACUAACCAUGGAUAUUACAAAAAGAUGAAGUGGAGGAAUAGCAAAUCGCAGUAAUCUAGAGCCUAGACCCUUGGGAUUAUUAUUGGAUGAGCUCGCUGCAUUGAAUGCUCAUUCAAAGUACAGAACAGAAACGAAGAUCAGAGAAAAGAAUAUGCACAAGAUGUAGUAGAUUGUUCUCUAUCAAUUGUUUCACAAUGAUCUCCGUGAGGGACAACAAACUUUUUAAAAGCAUGUAAGCAUUUGUCAUAUCUCAUGAGCCUGACCUAAGGACUUCAACAAGAUACUCUCCUUCCAUGGGUUCUGAAGAUCAGAGCAAAGAAUAUGCACAUGAAAAAUUGAUGUUUUGAUCCGUUCUCUAUCAAUUGUUUUGUGAUGAUUUCUGUGAGGGAAAACUGCAAUUGGAAGAUAAAAACAGUGUCACUGUGAUUCGCAGGGAUUUGCAUUCCAGUAGCUUGUGAAGGUAGUUUUUCCAUCAGAUUUGUGAGAGUAGUUGAACUUGGGUAUGAAAGGAGACUAUAUCUGUAGAGGAAAGCGAAGGGCAUCAGAGUAACGCAUAGAGCUGUAACAAAGGAAGUUGGACCGUGCAUCAUGAAUAUCAAAUCGUGUUGGUCCUGCUUCUGGAUGUGCGAUUAGCGUCGACACUCGGUUUUCUUUUACUGUUGACAAGAUCUGGUAAAACUAUCUUUCUUGAUUUGCUAAUGACCGGUCUGCCUAUGGUUUAGUUGCGCUUGAUCAUUCUAACGGAUGAUGUCGUGUUUAAGCGAUGGAUUUCAUUGCAAAGUUCUCUUAUUGGUUGUGACUGAAAGUUAUCUUCAAGCCUCACCACUAAGGUCAUCUUCACUCUUGGAUAUGCCCCUUUUUGUACGUUGGUUCUGGCAUCCAUCACGCAGCAUGCAAAGACAAAAUGUCUUUGCUAGCAUAACAGUCGAGCUACCGUAAAAAUAAUAGUUUGUUGUGAGUCACAAAUUAUUGAUAGAGUAGACCCUACAAAUAUUUUUGAUUUUUUGUUAUUUGAUUUUUUGUGGUCUAUAAUAAUUUGUUGUUUUUACAGUAUAGCUUUUGUCAUACACAUUCAAUGUAUAGAUGAUAUAAUGUGGCAAAAGAAAAAAAAAUCUCCAUAGGAUAAAAUAUAUGAACGAAAUUUGCACAUACUAUUAGUCGACAUAGUAUAUAUUCUCAUCAUUUAUGAAUGGAUAUUACUAGAGAGGUUACAAGAUAGGAACAUUAACUAAAAUUUGUUCUCAAAGAAGCAAUAAAACCUAGGAUAGGUAUUUUCUUUCUUUGUAUAUCGAUUAUGUGGUUUGUUCAGACCACUUUUGGAACACCACAAUUGAUUCACCUCUCCCGAUAGAUUUUAAAGGAACCUCCUUUUUUAGGAAAAGUAUCAAAAAAUUCAUAAACAUAUUAUCUUUGUACUAAUUCAAUUCUAAAUCUUUCAAUUGGAGCAAUUUAAUCCUAAAACUUUUCACAUUGGUACCAAUUCAAUUCAUCAGGCCAAUUUUGGCCGACCGGCACUGACGUGGACACUAGCCGGUGGCCAAACACUAACGUGGCAAUUUUUAAAGUUUAGAAUUAAAUUGAUAUAAUUGAAAAUGUUAUGACUGAAUUUGUAUCAAUGUAAUAGAUUUAGGACUUUUUUGGUACUUUUCUCUCCUUAUUUCAAUCCGAUUCGUUUAGGAUUUUAAUGUGAAGUGCUCUGAAAAAUAGUCGAACCGGAGUCACACACCACAGGGAAUUGAGCAAACUUAUUUUUCAUCUAAACCAACAUCUUAUCGGUUGCCAGUUGUAUUUAAAAAAUGCUUGACUCACUAAGACUGAUUUAUACUAUUGGUUUAUUAAGUGAUGUGCUAAACCGUUAUUAAUUCUUAAACACGACCCACCUUUUUUUAAAAGCUUAUCCACAAUCUCACCCAUUAUUUAGUUUUUUCAAUUCGCUAUUAAAAAGUCCAGCACUGUUAUUUGUAUUUCAAAAGCCUAUCCAAUUUGCGAAAGAAUUCCAUUUCAGAUCUAAACACUCAUGCCAAUCUUACGACAUUCUUAUUACCCUAACAUUUCCCCUUUUCUAUUGAUACCAACCUGACUUCGAAUUCAAAAUGAAUAUAUAUACAAACCAUAAUUUGCCAGAACGAAAUUCUCGUCGCCAAAAGUCUACUAACUAGCUAGACGCUAAUCUCGAUCUAUCACGCGAGACAGCAUUUUCACGUAAAGGAUUUAAUGCAACAGCGGCCCUCUCUUCAUUUUUUGGGACGGUUCCUUUCACGCAUCCUCCCUAGCACUUCCAUAAAUUGCGCUACAGUCUUUCUUCUCUUCUUCUCAUCUGUCUCUACGUGCUAAACCUUCACUCUCUCCUGUCUUCCUGUCCUCACAUCAUCAUCAUUGUCAGUGACGCUCCAGCAAAGCCGGCGAGUUACCACAAGAAGCCACAUCAACGCAAAGACUAUUGCAUAAGCUCUGCCACACAACACCGUCCCCAUCAGACUAAUGAACAGCAGAUAUGUCACACCCCAAACUACAAGGCAUGGGGAUGACAUGGCCAACCUUAUAUAUAUAUAUACACAUAUCAAAUAACUAACAAAUUUGUUGCAACAUUAGAGUUUCUAUAAUCCACAAAAAAGAAAUAUACAUUUAGAACUCAAUCGGUGCAACCACUAGCAAAGAUUAUGUACACCACUUUCUUAAAUCAUACCCAAAAUAGAACUCCCAAAAGUUUUCCAAAAGCGCUCUCGUCCUACUAGUUGCUAACCCUGGGACCUGAAAACAUGGAAGAUGAAUGGAACGAGCAACCAUAGCUCAGUGAGUAGUACAUACCAUAAAAACAUAUCAAACUUCCGCAUUACACAUUUAAAACUCAAGACAUGACUCGUUAUUGCCUAACAAAAUAUGAUAACUUGCAUGAACAAAAUGUGUUAAAUGUUACCUCAACCUAACUAUAUCAAAUAGCCAAAUUCUCCAUUCAUCCAUAAUAACAAAACCAGCAUGGACUCAUCCUAUCUCAUAUCAAUAGUUCAUUCCACGCUCAAUAUCCAAACUCAAAGCCCUAGAGGUGACUUCCACGAAAUUGCAUUAUCAUGUAGCACUUAGCUCUUGAUCACAUAUAACAAUAGUACAAGGCUCUAGAGGUGGCACACACGAAAUUAUGUUAUCAUGUACCACUUAGUCCUUUACUAUGCAUGUCAGUAGUACGAGACCCUAGAGGUGACUCCCAUGUGACUUUAGUCGCCAUGUAGCACUUAGGGCGCGCAUGAUAAAAUUUUUGUUUCUCGAUUUCUCUGUUUCUCUGUUCCCCGGAAUAGGUUUGUAACAGAAAUUCGUUUGGUAACGCAAUUUGAUUUCUCUAUUUCUGAAACAGAUUUCUAUUCCAGAAAUAGAGAAAUCGAAGAAAUCAAAAGCUGAAAUUUUUAACUUUUCAGUUUCUGAAAUAGAAAUAGAAUUUUUUUUCUCAACUUUUCAAUUUAGUUAAUUUAGUCCAAAAUAUUUAAAUGAUUUUUUAAUAUAAUCAUUUCAAUCAAUAUUGAUUGAAAAUCUUAACCAUUGGCCAUAUGAUAGGAAUGGAAUGAACAUGGCUUCAUUUGUUGCACGCAAGAGAUUUCAUGCAUGGUAAUAGUCAACUUGCCAUAUUCAUAUCUAACGAGUCUUUCUUCACCUACUCUUUCGUAGUACGCCAAACAACGGCUCUAUCUGGCUAACUAUUUUUUUAAUCAUAAACUUCAUAUUGAGGCAGUAAAAAUGGGUCAAAUCAUUAGGGUUUCAUUUGAUUUUUCUUUUAUAUAGUGUCAUCACUUAUCAAGACACGGGUAAAAAAAGAUCUAAUAAGGAAUCUGUUGUUCUUGUAAGAGUGUUGAUGAAAAUAUAGAUUUUGAUAAUAAAUUUUUAAAUAAUCCUAGUGUUGAUAAUUUUAAAAAAAAAAACUAGUGACGAUUUUUUAACAUGGUGAGGAUUUUUUUAACAAAAUUUGGAAAGAAAUUGGAAUUAGACUUGAAGUUAGAAUUUCUUUUAGGAGAUUAGACUAUUAUAAUCAUGGCUAUCAUUAGACUUAUUUGAUUAAUGUGAAAUCAAUUUCGGCAAAAACAUAAUGACAUAUUCACUACAAUUGAAUUUCAAUUGAUUUUUUUUCCACGUUUAUUUUUCGAAAGAAAAUAUUACGUAAUAGGAAACGUAAGCACAUGUAAUAGGAAAUUCCAUGAAAUUGUAUUUUCAACUUUUGUAAUGUAUUAGUAUUAUUUUGACUAUUGUUUUGUAUUUGAGGAUUUCUUAUGUUAUUUUAGUAUUAUUUCGACUAUUAUUUUGUAUUUAAUGAUUUCUUAUAUUGUUAUAUAAUCAAUUUCUAUUCCUAGAAAUAGAAAUUUGUAUUCUGUUGGGGUGCGAAUGGUAACGUUUCUGUUCUUUUUUUGUUCUAGGGAACAGAAACAAAAAAAAAUGUUUCUGUUCCGGGGAACAAUUUUUGAACAAAGACACGUUUGGUAACGUUUGUUCUGGGAAUAAAAAAUGAAUAGAAACACGUUUGGUAAAUUUUAUUCUUUUUUUAUUUCUUUUAAUUUUGUAAACAUUUUUAUUUUAUUUUUCAUUUUUUCCUUUCUUUUUUAUUUUUUCUUUUUUCGGCCGGUCCCCGGCCUCCGGCGACCGACCGACUGGGCCGGCAGCCUCGCCCAGCCACGGCGAGCCUCGCCAUGGCUGGGUGAGCUCGAGUUCGCCCAACCAAGGCGAGGCUCGGCCUCGCCCGCGCCAGCGACGCUCGGGCUCGCCAGGGGCCGGCGACGCUCCGGCGAGGUCGCCGACCCUCGAGGGCGUCGCCGGCCCUCGACGGCCGAUCGCCGGCCAUGGCCGAGGCUGGCGACCGGCGAAAGAAAAAAGAAGAAAAAAAGAAGAAGAAAAGAAGAAGAGAAGAAGAAGAGAGAGAAGGGAAAAACGUUUCUUCAUUUUUGUUUUUGGAACAAGAAACAACAAUUUGUUGUUUCUUUUUUUUGUUCUUAUUUUGUUCCGGAAACAAAAAAACAAAAAAAGAACAAAAACGCAACCAAACGCGUUUCUGUUCUUUUUUUGUUCCCGGGAACAAAAUCCGUACAGAAGUGUUCCAGAAACGUUUCUUUGGAACGUUUCCAUGCACGCCCUUAUCAAACAGAUUUCUAUUAUAGAAAUAGAAAUUUUGAGUCAUUAUCAAAUGGGUUUCUUUGCUCAGAAACUUUUCCGGGGAAUAGAAAUUGAGAAUUCAAUUUCUCGCCAGAAAUCAAUUUCUGGAGCAGAAAUUUUGUCAUGCGCGCCCUUAGCCCUUGACUACAAAGCCCUAGAGGUGACUCACACGAAAUUUCAUUAUCGUGUAGCACUUAGUCCUUUACAUAUUCACAACACGUGAUUUUCUCAACAUGACACAUAUCAUGUUUCAAUAGUCAUCACAUAACCACAUAAAUCAAUUGUACCAAAACAGCAUACAUAACCCUUCAAGAGAGAUUUGUCAAAUCAUCCCAUAAUAACUCAAAAUUUCCGAGCACUAUAUCCAUCAAUAUAUAGCAAAUAGAUCAUCACUUCCUCACAAGUAUAUGUCAAUUAAUCUUAUCUUAGUAAAUGAGUUUCACAAAACCAAAGAAGACAUUAGUACUACUCACCUGGGGAUGCCCCAAAAUCAAAUAACGUGUGUUAUUUGAUUCUUCGAUCUCGCGAUCCGGGUGCUGCAUUAUAAAGUUGAGUCAGCUUGACGAGGCAUCCGUGGCAUGCACGUGCCAAAACCCCUUUUCUCUUUUCCCCCUUCUUCUUCCUCUUCUUCUUCUUCUCUCUCUUUUGGUCGAGGGAGCUCUCUGCUGCCCUUUUUAGCUGAGCCCUUCCCUCCCCUCCUUUUUACUUUUUUGACAUUUCAACUUAUCUUUCUUUUUCUUCUUUUGGGCCCCACCAGCCAAAUAUUACAAGAUAUGCCAUAUCAAGUUUGGCUCGUUUCGUUCAUGACUGAUCUUGAUGAUCUGGACUUAGCUCUUGCUUCAUUGAUGAGCCAUUGUACAAGAAUCCACCGUGAGACCACUGUUCGGACACACAAUCCACGUACUCUAAUGCCAAACUUGAACCUGAAGAAAGAGAGGUAGAAGAAAAAUGAUUUGCCUGAUCAUCGAUAAGCUUCUAAUCGUUGUUAUCACAUAACGACCGCCUUGGUUUGGCAUCCAUUGAAGGACAGUGUUUCGUCAACAAUGAGUUUCAAACUGAACUACUUCUUUUCCGGUAGAUAGUCCGAGCCUGCAAAAAAAAAUGGAGAAAAAUGAGUACAUAUGGAAACCACUAAAAUGUUCUCACAUAGUUCUCAUACCAUAAGUGACAUUUUCACGAUAAUAAUAGUUUCUUCCGCAACAUAACAUGUAAUCCUCGCUGGACAUUUCUUUAAUGGCACAAACUAGAAAAACGAAAAAAGUGGGAUAACAAACCAAAGCGGUGUAGAAGAGAGCGGACUUCAACAUGCGCGAAAAGCUAUGCUUUCUCGAUCGAGCAUACGGUGGUUUCACGCUUGCUCUCUCAUUGUCGUCCUCAUCGAUCAAAAGAUGCAUGAGCUGGUUCCGCCUACGCCUGGGCUCGAGCAUCAUGUCCUCGAUGACGGGCCGUCUAAAGCAAUGCAAGAACUUGAUCCUCGACACAUUCUUCAUGGUCUCUCUCUGACGUUUCAUGCGUUGCAGAUCGCAACCCGUGUUUCAGACUCAAUGGAGAAAAGAAACGAGGCAGGAAAAGAUGGGGAGGCACACGUUAUUUUGGGAUGGCUUCGAGUCGGAAGGCCAUAGAUUUAGUGUAGUUUUGGAUCACUUGUUUUCUUUUUCUUUGGUGCAAGUGUAAGUACAUGAAGACAUCUCUCUUUAUGUAAUAUUAGAGAUUUUUGAAAAAGUCAAAGAAAAGGCGGUGGACCCACUUUAAAUAAAGAAAUAAAAAGAAAACAAAAAGGAGAAGAGAUAUAAAGGAAAGGAAAGGAAAGCCCACGUUCGGGGCGGCAGAAGAAAAGAGGAAAGAAGAAGAAAGAAAGAAGAAGAAAAAGAAGAAGAAGAAAGAGAAGAAAGAAGAGAGAGGGCUUUGUGUGUUCACACCGUAGGCAACUCACCGAGCUUAUUUACAAUGCCCGGUAAGUGAUCGCACCUUUCGUUCUUUCAAUUGGAGUAGUUUCGGAGUUAGGGUUUGAAAUUCGGAAUUUGGGAAAAUCGAGCAGCGAAGUCUGAUUUUGGAGUUAUUGAGCCGUGUAUUUUUGUAAGAAUGAUAGUUUAGAGCGUUGUAGAGCCGUGGGAUUUUAUGGAUCAUGAUUUGAGCUUAUGAUUUGUCCGAAACAAAAUUUCAAAAUUUCUUGAGCGCAGUGAAAAGUACAAGUCCAGCAGUUUUGGGCCCGUAUUUUGUCAUUUUUUGGCUUGAUUGGGACGGUCAAGUUUGGAUUCUUGUAAUAUGUUUGAAGGGCUUCUAUUGAUUAUAAGUAUGUUCAGAUCGGGUUCAGAGGAGAAAGUUAAGGCACGAUCAAGUUUUGCGCUUAAACCCCGUGUUGCAAAUGGCUUGAAUAAUCGCUUUGGUUAUGCGAUUUAUUAGCGCAGAGAAAUCGUUUUGUUAACAUUUAGACAUAUUAUAGAUGUUUCAUGGUUAAAGUAGUGUGUUACCCAAAUUUAAUGUUGUUUCUCGCUUAUUCGAUAGGACCGCGAGAUCGAAUGAUCAAAUAAUGUGUGUUAUUUGAUUUUGGGGCAUCCCCGAGUGAGUAGUACUAAUGUCUUCUUUGGUUUUGUGAAACUCAUGUACUAAGGUAAGAUUAAUCAACAUAUACUUGUGAAGAAGUGAUGACCUAUUUGUUAUAUAUUGAUGGAUAUAGUGCUCGGUAAUUUUGAGUUAUUGCGGGAUGAUUCGACAAACCUCUCUUGAAGGGUUAUGUAUGUUGUUUUGGUACAAUUGAUUUAUGUGGUUAUGUGAUGACUAUUGAAACAUGAUAUGUGUUGUGUUGAGGAAAUCAAAUGUGUUGUGAAUAGAUAAAGGACUAAGUGCUACACGACAACGAAAUUUUGUGUACAUGACGACUUGAGUCAUAUGGAAGCCACCUCUAGAGCCUCGUACUACUGGCAAGCAUAAUAAAUGACUAAGUGCUACACGAUAAUGUAACUUCGUGGGAGUCACCUUUAGGGCCUUGUACUAUUGCUAUAUGUGGUCAAGGGCUAAGUGCUACAUGAAAACACAAUUUCGUGAGAGUCACCUCUAGGGCCUUGAGUUUGGAUAUUGAGCGUAGAAUGAACCAUUGAUAUGAGAUAUGAUGAGUCCAAUUAUUGAACAAAAUUGGUGAUGCUGGUUUUGUUAUUAUGGAUGAAUGAGAAAUUUUGUUAUUUGAUAUAGCUAGGUUGAGGUAACAUAUAACGCAUUUUGUUCAUGCAAGUUAUCAUAUUUUUGUUUGGCAAUAAUGAGUCAUGUCUUGAGUUUUAAAUGUGUAAUGUGGAAGUUUGAUAUGCUUUUAUGGUAUGUACUACUCACUGAGCUAUGGUUGCUCAUUCCAUUCAUCUUCCAUGUUUUCAGGUCUCAAGGUUAGCAACUAGUAGGACGAGAGUGCUUUUGGAAAAAUUUUGGGAGUUCUAUUUUGGGUAUGGUUUAAGAGAGUAGUGUACAUAAUCCUUGCUAAUGGUUGAACUAGUUGAGUUCUAAAUGUAUAUUUCUUUUUUGUGGAUUAUAGAAACUCUAAUGUUACAACAAAUUUGUUAGUUUAUCUGAUAUGUAUAUAUAUGGUUUGAGAUAUAUACAUUUCAUGAAAGGACGGCCGUGUCAUCCCCAUUCCUUGUAAUUUUGGGGUGUGACACUUUAUAUAAAUAUUUCUAUUUCCAGAGUGAGAAUUACUAUCGGGUGGUUAAGGAUUUAAAUGCUUGAAUGAGAAGAUCAGAGAAAAGGGCAAAAACGGAUAAUGGCUUAUUGUCACUGAUGGACAGACAGGAAGAAGGAGAGGGUAUGACUACGCUACGGUUUUAGUGAAGAGAAAUGGCUUUAAAUUUGAAUGGUCCUUAUGAUCGUCAAGACAUCUCUAGAUAAUCAAUCUCUGAGUGGGGCUAAUUGUGAUAGUGGUCUUCCAAGAAAUUCUAAAAUUAUUCCUUUUAUUUAGGAGUAUCCAAAAAAAUCGAGAAUCACCCAGAAUCGGACCAAACCCACCUAGAACCAACGGUUCGCGGUUCUCAUGGGAACCGGUCCGGUUCCAAGGAUGGAACCAUCCACCUGAGUUGGACCGGUAUAUAUAUAUAUAUAUACCGGUCAAGUUUUCUAUCAAUUCUAAAGUCCCUAGCCAUGGACUUGCUUCUUUGAUAUCUUAAUGAGGACAUUGAUGCUCCCUUCUUAUUGUCCAAAUUGAGACCCAUCUCAACUAUUGUCAUCGUCCACCCUUCUACAUCUCUUCCUUCAUUAGGAUCACAUGCUAGUUUGGUGUCCAUACAACACACAUUAGAAACAUUUUGGCUUUAUUCCUUCCUCUAGAAGACCGGUUCCAACGAUCCACUUGAGAACCAGAUUGGUAACCAACGGAUGGUUCUUGGUUCUAGGAGGGAAUAGCCCACUGCCCAUCUUGGAACCAAUCACCCUUGCGUUCAAUUCAAGAAAUGUGUUAGCUUCUUCAAAAUCCCGGGGGUGCCUUGCAAAUGCCUGUGCUAAUAAGCAAUUUGCUUGCACGCAUGCUAUAAGCCAAAAGUUCCACCUGCUUACACGAUCGCAAGAAAUCGAAUCAUGUCGUUUCGGUGGGUGAAUAAAUGCAAUGGUGGUUUGUGGCCAUUCGAGCAGAGAAACAGUGGAUGGGAUAUCUAACGAUUUUGCAUAUGUAACAUCUGCCUUUCCUAUCUACACGUCGAACAACCCUCUCGUGUCCGAAAUUUAUGCAUCACCCUUUGAGCAUUAUCAUUAGAGUCUUCUAAAGAAAUAAGUCGGCUAAGCCUAUUAAAUGAGUGAGUUGAAUUGAGUCGAAAAAAAUGUCUGACCCACUUAACCUGCAUUAACCCAUUUUUAUGCUACACAAUUUUAGAGUUCCAUACCCGACCCGAUUAACACCUAACAUAUAACUGAUACAAUCCAUAUUACUAAAAAAAUCCAUAACUAACCCAAUUUAUGCAAACUCGUACCCAUUCGCUCAAACAACUUUAAGCCUUUCCUAUGAAUCUAUCAUUUAUAUAAAGUUUUAUAUCAAUUUAAAAAAUAAUAAACCAAAUAAAAAGUCGCCACUCGUUGUCGCUUGCCUAACCAACUCAACUAACGUUGUCUCUCCUCCGUCCAAGCCCCACACCGCUGCUGUGGAGACCCCAAACAUAGUCGCCUCUCUCUCGCGCACGCGAUAUCGAAUAAGAGGUCGUGAACCUAUGUCUAACUUCACUGAUCGUUGUGGUUGUGGCAUCGCCAUGACCCAAGCCCAUCUAUAUAAUUUCUAUUUUGAAUGCAAUAACAAAGUAACCAAUGACAUUACUCGGUCAUUGUGGCACCCCGAAACACCUAAGGCUGUCACAGGUACUUAUUACUCCACCAAAUGAAUACUAGUUACAUUUCUUAGCAGAAGCACCAUAGUCCAUAGGCAUUUUUUUUUUAAAUGGUCCCAGCGCAACUCAUUAGCGGAAACAUAAACAAAUCUCACUACUCCUCCUUCCAAUAACCAUAAUGCAACGCACACCAAUUACACAUCAUAUGAAAAGAUGAAGCUGAGCCAUUUUUAUUUACAUAUUUUCAUGAUGGAUUUCUUGGGUCGGUACAACCAAAAAGAAAAGUCAAGAUUUUUCAACUAAACUUGGCUACAACCCAAAAGAGAUCUCGACCCCUAUAUCGAUCACAUGUCACCCUCCAUCUACAAGUGUCGGCUAUCCUAAAAAAAAAAUAUUAGCUCCCACUCCUCACGUGGGCCAUCACACCCAUCCUGGCGCAUUGGGCGGUGGCGGCGGCAAAUUCUCGAGGGGGUGUUGGAUGUGAACCUGCCCAGGAUACCGAGAGUCCUUCAACUGUUUCUUAGUAAUCAGGAGCAUGUAGUUUUUUUCACUGAGUCGUCAUCGUCGAACCAGAGUUCCCAGAUGAGGAGUAACAACCUAAAAUGCUUCCUUGCAGAAGCAAAAUAGUUCAUCUUCAACAAAGUCCAAGUCUUGAGGAUGAUAAGAUAAGAGCUUAGUACAAGAAGUGCUUCAGUUAGUGCAUAUACUCUUCUACUUUUUCUGUAGUCAACAAAGAAUCUCAGCAUUUGGGGAUUGGCUUUCUUGGGGCUUUUUUCCCUAGCUAUUUUUGUUACGUAUAACUACAAGCGAGCUUGGAUGAUCGGUUGUAAAGAUCCUUCGCUCUGUAUAAUGAUCUGUUCUCUGCUUUUUGAGAUCCAAGGUGAUAUUGGUAAUUAGCAUCGAAAAAUUUCUGAUAAUUUUGGCACUGGAAUUGGGAUCUAACGUAUUGGUAUCACCUAGCUUGGAUCCCAGCUAGUGUCUCACAUGGUUCUAAAAUCUGCCCCCAUCGCAUGCAAAGCAAGCUGUAAGGCUUGGCAUUUCUAAGUAAUAACUCCUUUUGUUACUUGCAUGGUUUAUAUAAUGAGUCAUGGUAUGAAAACCACCCUUGAAACUACGGCUUGCUAGGACCGGAAUAUUAGAUCAUGAUAAUUUCCAACUGAUCUAUGUAUUACUAGCAGAUCCUAUUGUUGGUGCAGUAGGAUGUUAAUGCCUGCUCCAUUUUUCACAUAGCAUUUAUAUCUCUUCUAAGGUUGAGUUUUGAAAAUGAGUACUCGAACCUUUUAGCAAAACUGAUUUAUAAAGUGAUGGAUGAGAAUUCUGUUGGGUGCUCUUACUCACUUUAUAAGUUCUGUAAAACCAAAUUCAGCAUCUCAAUGUUACUUGUUAAAAAUCUCUAUUGUUUGUUCUAGUGGGAAAUUGGUUGAGUUUCUCUAUUUCAAUCGGGUUGAUCCAAACAGUAUUUUCCAUUGCAAGUGGGGAUUAAAUGCAAGUCCAAGUCCACUUUAAUUUAUCGUUGAAGAAGCCUGUUUUGGAAGGCCUAGCUUUUAUUUUUCAGUUCUUAAUCUAUUCAUAUUAAGGCUAAUCUUGUUCGGCCUUUGCAGUACCAUAGUCCCCUCACUUUUGCAAAGCUUCCCCUCAUUUGUUUUUCCUUUUUGCCAUUACACCUUUUUCUUUUCCUUUCUCCUAUACACAAUUCUUUAAAUACUUUCAAUAUGAUGUGUUUUUUUUUUUUAUAAGGUCGAUAUGAUGUGUUGUUUCACUUUUCUUGUGGUAAUUAUUUUACUCUUAUCGUUGAUCCUUCUCCGGUGGGGAAAAAUACCAAAAAAGUCAUAAAUAUAUUACAUUGAUAUCAAUUUAAUGUUAAACUUUUUCACAUUAGUACUAAUUCGGUACAUCCGGCCAAUUUUGGCUGGCUAGUGUUAAUAUGCACGCCAGCCAAAAUUGGACCGAUGGACUGAAUUAGUACAAAUGUAAAAAAAAAAAAAAAUUAGAAUUAAAUUAGUCUAAUUAAAAUAUUUAAAACUGAAUUGAUACCAAUGCAAUAAGUUUAUGACUUUUUUGAUACUUUUCCCUUCUCGGGUGCUAGAGGUGCUAUUAUAAUAUCUUAACUUCCUUUAGCAAUAAAAAGACGGUGUAAUGUGCUUAAAUCUUUAUUUAAUUGUGCUUCUACAAAAAUCAACCCUCUCUAUGAUCAUUUAUGUUGAAAUUAUAUCUCGAAUUUGAAUUCGUGAAAGAAAUCCGACUAGAGAUGAAUCGUAAGAAACUAGGUCAAUAAACUAGGUCAAUUAAGGAAAGUCCUAAAGCCUCAUAUUUCUGGACGUCGGUAUUGUAAAUCUAGAUUUCAUAUUUGGCGUCAGAGUCCAAAGUGCAGAUUUGGACCUUAAGCUGCCGAUUCGCUAACUCCAACAAAAGGUCAGAACUUGUGGAUUACGAAAAUCAAUUUCCGCAUCGCAGUUGGUCAACACAACAACCGAACAAGAAAGAUCGGAGUUGGACUGGGUUUCCUUCUUCAAUCGGUCAACUUGGCUAUAUUAUAUACGGAGUAACACCUUGAAAAAUCCAAAAUUGACAUUUUUAUAACAAAUUUACCAAAAUUUAAAUUUUUUGACCUAAAAAAUCCAAAUUUGUACACCUAUGAUAAAUUCACCUUAAAGAAAUUUGUAACCAUACAAAAUCUUAAACUAGCACAUCCGUUACAAAUGGAGAGUAAAACCUCAAACCGAUACAACAUUAAUUGCCAAAUGUCAUUCAAUUCAAUAAUUUGAUGAGAAAAUUUGAAGGAAAUUAAUGGAGGCUAAAUUUGUUAUGAGUAUAUCAAAGUUUUAGAUAAAUUUAUUAUAAGUGUAUUGGUUCAUGAUUUAUUAUGAAAUUACCCUAAAUAUAAAUAUACAAUUGAGAUUGCUCGUUGGUUAUGAAGAACUAUUAAAGUGUAGUUUUUGGUGAAUGUCAAGGGAAGUUCUAUAUUUGUUAGUGACGGCCAAUUGGCACUGGAGGUUUGGUAGUGGAUUCUUCAUGGAAUAACAUUAAUAGCUUAUGUGUUGGACUCAAUUAAAUCUUGUGAGGAUUUAUUUAAUUAAUUUUUUGAGAUUGAGGGAUCAUUUCGUGAGGAAUUGUAAGACUAAAUGCUACGUGAAUUAUUGAGUAUAAUUGGAGCUUGGAAAACAUGAGAGUGUUUAAGUAACUUGAGUAUGGUUGUAAUUUUCAUUGGAUUGCUUGAUUUAGAGUGGAAUUCUUUACUACUCUCCCUAUGGACAUAUGUCACAUCGACAGAAUCAUUUAAAUUUGGUGUCCAAUUUAUUUUCUUAUUUUGUCUAUUUUAUUGUUUGAUCAGUUAGAUUCCACAAUAAUUUAAAAGAUCAAGGCAUUGAUAAAUGGUCUCUCUACUUUUGCUCAACAAUCAAAGCCAUUCUUUUAAUUUCUUUUAAGGAAAAAAAUCACAAAAACUCCAAUUUUUGUCGACUAUGGUACAUUUAUUCUAAACCAUUUUUGGUGACACCAAAAACUCUAAAUUUAUACCCGCGUGACACAUUUAUUCUAUUUUUUUUUUCUAUAACACCAAAUUUUUCGGGGUUAAUAUGUCACAUCAUACAAAUUUGAAGUUUUAGGUGGCACAUUAUAUAAGAUUAGAGUAAAUAUGCAAAAUAAGUAUGAAUUUGGAGUUUUUGGUGUCAUAAAAUAAGUUUGGGAUAAAUAUAUUAGAGUAAAUAUAAUUUAGAGUUUUCGGUGAUUUUACAUUUCUUUUUAUUCGAAACCGUUCUUGCACUUAAGUGCCAUUGGUCGUCCCUGUGUUGGAACACUAUUAGUUAUUUUCUAACGUGAAUUUGUAUUUUAUUUGUGGCCAACAACUGAUUUAUUAAUAAAUUUUAGAUAACAAAUAUCAUUACUUCAACCAAUGGCCUAUAAAUUGAGUUAAACCACAAAACUAAAUAUCUAAACUUUUUUGCCUUAUGAACUCAUGAGUGAUAAUGGAUCAGCUGUCAAGCUUGUCAAUUUGGUUCUUUCUCCAAAUGUAGACUCUCUCUGUCCUUUUUAGGUUCUUCAUUUUACGAAACCAAAAACCCACAAAAUAUAUUGCCUAUACUAAUGCAAAAGCACUAUUAUUUGUAUCGACUCACGACAAGCAAUUGAGUAGCUAUGGGUCGUGAGCUCUAUGGCUCAUGACUUGAGCAAAUAUGACUGCUACAAGAUCAAAGCUCAUGCGGCAACGCCACGAGCUCAAUGAUCAAGUAGUCAUGGCUCAAGCUUUGUGACUCAAAUAGACAUCGUGGCCAUGGCCAUUUGCGAGCUUGAAAUUGAAUAGCCAUGGCCAAUGCUAUAGAGUUGGAGCUCAUGGUAAUGGUGGGUCAUAAUGGAGCUCUCUCAUAAUUGUGCCCUUUUUUUUUAAUGUUUAUGUUGCCUAAUUUAGCAUCUGUUUUUCCUAAAAUAAUUAUAUGAGUGGAGUACCACCAAUAGGUAUGCUGGCAUCUUGUUCAUAAAAAUCAAAUGGCAAGAGGAAAAAGUAUAACGGAAUGAUUAAUGGUGAUACUUCUAAGGGAAAAAGCCACAAAAAAAUCUUAAACUUUAUCAAUUAUGACACAUUUAUUCAAAUUUUUUUUAACAUAAAAAAUCCCAAACUUGUAAGCGUGUAGUAAUACAUUUACCCAAAAAAAAAAAUUACACCAAAAAAUCCAAACUUAUACUUUUGUGACGCCAAAACCCUAAACUUUUGUUUUGUAACACCAAAAACCUCAGACUUAUAGUCAAGUCACACAUCUACCCCAAAAUUUGGUUUCCUAGAAAAAUGUCUUAGGUAUUUUGUGUCACAAAAGAAAAGUUUGGUGUUUUUUAUGUCAUAAAAAAAGCUUGGAAUAAAUGUGUGACACCACAACAUUUUGAGAUAAAUGUGUCACGUAGGUAAAAGUUUAGGAUUUUUGAUAUUACAAAAAAAAAAGAAGUUUGGGGUAAAUAUUUCACAAUAGUCAUAAUUUAGGGUUUUUGGUGGCUUUUUCCAUACUUUUAAAUAGUAGAGAGAUGCUUUAAAAAAAGUAGAGGGGAUCUUCAUUUUCUGGCAAAAAUAUAAGGGCCACCGGUAAAUCUAAUCCCAUAAAGAAAGUGGCAUAUGUAUAGGAAUUGAUAAAACAGUAAAAAAUUAUAAUGGACACAGUGCCAAGUACCAAUCGCUCCAAGUCCAACUAGAGAGGUCUCUUCACACCAACAUCUAUGGCCAGGACAAAGUCUAUAAGGUUUUUCCAGUAAAGGCAGCGACCAUGAUGUUACGUAUAUAUGAAUUGGGGGAAUGAAUCAACGCGUCGCUCUAGAGUUUAGUCCCUCAACGAUAGGUCAACUCAGCAUGCGUGGAACGAGCACAUUUUGUUGAAGAUACUGACCUCAAGUCAACCUUAGACAAGAGUAUGGACCACAAGAAUAUUGGACAAUGCUAUAUGAAAAUCAAACCUUGUUGGUCCAGCUUUUCAAAUAUAUGAAUGACUUUGACACUUGGAUUUGUCCCUUUGUUGUUGACUAAUGCUGGUAAAACUAUGUUUGAAGUCCUGCUUGAUCAUUCAAAUGUCUGAUGUCGAGUUUGAGUGUUCACUGCUCAAAUUCAUUGCAUGUUAUUCUAGUGUAUGACGAGGACAUGUCCAAGUUGCACCACUAGGGUCUUCUUCACACUGAGAUAUGCCCAUCCUUGUCCACUAGUAUGAUGCCUACUUAGAUGCUUCUAUCUACGUACUCGAUGACAAUGCACUAGUCUCAAUUGAAGUUUCCACACGACACUUUGCGCGUUUAUUGACCUGUUCUUCUUUGAGAUCUCUUACCUUGCCCUUGCUCCGAGCACAAACGGGUAUAUAUACUUUUCCUUGUGAAUCUUGUUUCUACACUUGUCCGCUCAAACCCUAUAUGUUACAGCCAUGGAUAGCAAAAACAGUAGUCCAUGGUCGUUCAUACUCCCAAUUUUCUUGCUUUGCUCAUCUCUGUACACCCACCUCUGUCUUGGCACAGACAAGCUCGAUGCGAAUCGAUCUAUAUCUGGUGAUCAAACCUUAACUUCCUUGGGUGGCCACUUUACGCUUGGCUUCUUCUCGCUGGAUAACUCCGCGUACUCCUACAUAAGCAUCUGGUACAACAAAAUCAGGGUGCAAACCGUCGUCUGGGUCGCCAACCGAGACAACCCUGUCACUGACAGGCACUCCACUGAACUGAAGGUCUCAGGUGGCAAUCUUGUGAUUGUUAACAACUCCGAAGUCCCCGUUUGGUCCACGAAUCUGACUACUUCUUCAUCUGGAUCGAGCUCCAUGGUGGCGGUUCUUGAGGACGACGGCAACUUCGCUCUCAAAGCGGCGCCGAAUUCUUCCGUGACUCUGUGGCAGAGCUUUGAUUACCCGACACACACAUGGCUUCCCAGUGCCAAAUUAGGGAUCGACAAGCGCAAAAACACGAGUCAGACCUUGACAUCAUGGAAGAACGCCGAGGACCCUUCGACAGGUUUGUUCUCUCUCCAUCUCCAACCAUUUAGUGACGGUGAGUACUACAUACGGUGGAAUGGGUCUAACCAUUACUGGACUGGUGGGAAGUGGGACAAUCAGACGAAAAUUUUCUCUGGUGUCCCUGAAAUGAGAGCGAACUAUAUUUAUGAGUUCAAAUAUGUGGACAAUGAGAACGAGAGCUACUUCACCUAAUCAAUCAAAAGCUCCUUCAACACCAUAUCAAGGUUUGUGAUGGACCUUUCUGGGCAGAUCAAGCAGGAGUCCUGGUUGCCUUCCCAGGCGUGGACCAUGUUCUGGUCUAAGCCCUCGCAACAAUGCGAGGUGUAUAGACUUUGUGGGCCUUUCAGUGUUUGCAGCGAGCAGAGCGAAGUUUUGUGUAGCUGCUUGCCGCGAUUUAGCAUAAGCUCUCCAAUGGAUUGGAAUCGGAGUGAUUGGUCCGGUGGUUGCAAGAGGAAUUCAAACUUAAAUUGUGCAGCGGAUGUGGAGAAAGACCGUUUCUGGCCUAUGUCUAACAUGAAAUUGCAUGAUGAUCCUCAAUCUUUAGUUGCAGGGAGCGAUCAGGAAUGCCGAACUGCUUGUUUGAGCAAUUGCUCUUGCACGGCUUAUGCUUUCAAGGAUAAUAACUGCUCAAUCUGGAUCGGGGAUCUCUUCAAUGUGGAAUGGCUCAAACAAGGCACUACCCCUGGAAGGAGUUUCUAUGUCCGGCUUGCUGCCUCCGAAAUUAAGGAUCCCAGCAAGAAGAGUAAUGUAAUUGCAACAGUGACAGGGUCUGUUGGUGCCGCGGUAGUGAUAUUAGCCAUUGUCUUGUUUGCCGUUUGGAGAUGGAGGAGAGGGGCAACCGUAACAACAAAAAUAGUGGAGGGUUCACUGAUAGCCUUUGCAUACCGGGACUUGCAAGUAGCAACAAAGAAUUUCUCAGAGAAGUUGGGUGGGGGUGGGUUCGGUUCAGUUUUCAAAGGAACAUUACCUGAUUCAAGUCACAUAGCGGUUAAGAAGCUUGAAAGCAUAAGCCAAGGUGAGAAGCAAUUCCGAAUGGAAGUAAGCACAAUCGGCACCAUCCAGCAUGUGAAUCUUGUCAGGCUUCGUGGAUUCUGCUCUGAAGGUGACAAGAGGCUGUUGGUCUACGAUUUCAUGCCAAAUGGUUCCUUAGACUAUCAUCUCUCUCAUAGAAAGGACUCGAAGACCUUGGAUUGGAAAAUGAGGUACCAAAUUGCUUUGGGAACGGCUCGAGGUCUGGCUUAUCUCCAUGAGAAGUGUAGAGACUGCAUCAUACAUUGCGACAUCAAGCCAGAGAACAUCCUUCUAGAUGCUGAAUUCUGUCCAAAAGUGGCAGAUUUUGGCCUGGCAAAGCUUGUUGGCCGAGAUUUCAGCAGGGUGUUGACGACCAUGAGAGGCACAAGAGGGUAUCUUGCGCCGGAGUGGAUCUCUGGAGUGGCCAUAACAGCAAAAGCUGAUGUUUAUAGCUAUGGAAUGAUGCUCUUUGAGUUUGUGUCAGGAAGGAGGAACUCAGAGCUUUCGGAAAAUGGGGCCAUUAAGUUCUUCCCAACAUGGGCUGCUAGUAAGAUAGCUGAAGGAGGUGACCUGCUUGAUCUUUUGGACCCAAACUUGGAGACAAACGCUCAUACUGAAGAGUUAACUAGAAUAUGCAGAGUUGCUUGCUGGUGUGUACAAGAUGAGGAAACUCACAGGCCAUCGAUGGGAAAGGUUGUUCAAAUACUCGAGGGGGUGUUGGAUGUGAACCUGCCCAGGAUACCGAGAACCCUUCAACUGCUUCUUGGUAAUCAGGAGCAUAUAGUUUUCUUCACUGAGUCAUCAUCAUCGAACCAGAAUUCCCAGACGAAGAGUAAUACCUCAACUGCUUCCUUGCAGAACCCAAAUAGUUCAUCUUCGACGAAGUCCGAGUCUUGAGGAUGAUAAGAUAAAUGCCUCUGUACAAGAAGUGCUUCAGUUAGAUAGAUUGUUCUCUUCCGCUUUUUCUGUAGUCGAGUAGGAAUCUCAGCAUUUGGGGAUUGGCUUUCUUGGGGCUUUUUCCCCUAGCUAUUUUUGUUAUAUGGAUAAAAGCAAAGCUUGGACAAGUGCCAGGCCAACCCAUUCGUAAAGACCUUUCAUUCUAUAUAAUGAUCUAGUCCGCUUUAUGAGAUCCAAUGUGACAUUAGUAAUUAUUAUCAAAAACUGUCAUCUCCACUUUCUUAUAAUUUAUGCACUGGAAUUGGGAUCUACGUCUUCAAACAUGGGUUUCCUCAAUGUGGGUGCAGAAAACCUUUUAUCUGCUUUUAACAGAUUUUAGUCAACACUCACCAGGUUUUUGAUCCACAACACUCAGAAAAUGGCUUCAUGCCAGUACUUGAGAGCGAUGCUGAACGGGCAUUGGGAAGGAGGCAUUCUUCCCUCGGAGGGCAAAAGAUGUUCCAUUUCCCUCAGAGGCUAAAAGAUGUUCCACCCAUGGCUUCUUAAUCUGAUCCAAAUGAAUCGAGAAGAAACAAAAUCGAAGUCUCAUCAAAAGGGUAUUGGGAAGGAGGCAUUAUACAAAAUCAUUGCAUUGGUUUGCUACUACAGUGACAUAAAUGUUGUGAAAAUUUUGAAUACAUGGGGUCUAAAUAGUUAGAUUCCUACGCCGCUUGGCAUUCGAAUUCUCUUUUUAUGUUUUUAUUUUUUGUGAUUAAAGGGAAAGUCAAUUGAAACUACUAAUCAGAGUUGGUUUGCAAUGCCUAUCCUAACCAACUUAAGGAAUUUGAAGGCCCAUAUUGCAGCAACCUGACAAUCUCCAUGAGCAUAUGGUUUUUGGUGUUAAAUGCAAAGCAAUGUCAUCGUAAAGUUGCAUAUUAACUUGCAAAUCUCACAUCAUAGGAUAUUAGAUCUUCUAGCUCAUAUCAGGUGAAAUAGCCGCAAGUUUGAAUACAGAACACAGGAUAUAUUGUAAAACUCAGCCACAUCUGUCAAUUUCAUGAAGUGAAUUCACCUCUUGAGCCCCUCCAUAGAUCAUAGUUCAGAUAGAAUAUGUUGAAUGAUUUCAUCUAGGUGUGUAUAUCAUAUAUAUUUGACCAAACGAAGCAUUAGAUAUUUACUCAUAUAAAUCAAAAUUUCAAAUCACAACUUGAAUAUUGCAAAUAAACUAAACAAAUUGAGCUCAUCCAUCAAUACCAGGAAUCUAUUAAAAUUAAGAUAUAUAGCUCUUUAUGCUUCGCAACAUUCAAAGCAGCUAUUGCUGUUGUCCACAAACGUGUCAUGUUCCCAUUAAACGUACAUUGCUUUUUCAUGUAAUAAAUGACUGAACCCAUGUGUUCGUGUUGAUUGUGCACGUUCAUGUGAGAACUGUAAUUAUACUUCAGAAAAAUUCUCUGUUUGAAGCACAUCAUACACAAGCAGAAUCAUCCUUUCGGUUUUCCGAACCGUUAGAGCGCCCCCAUGCAUCCAACAGAAUACAAACUCCGAAGUAAUUCCUUUCAAAAUAAGGAUCAGAUGAGCUCCAAUAGACAAAGUAAUAUGCAAAAUAUAAGACAAACAGAGUAUAUUUGCCUCUUCCAGCAGCAAAUAGAUGAAAUAUUAAAUGUUUGGUGACAGUCACUAUUUCUUUUUCUUUGCCAAAUUAGUACGAUACCGACAAUGAAACCCUACAGCGUAUAUACAUGGGCCAGCAUUAUAGGCCACCACCCUCAACACACAACAAGGGUAAACACAGGCCGAAAGCUGCUGCUGCUCGUGCUUGAAUCAGUCAGCACACCACACCAACAGUUAAGCCUCCUAAUAAUUGAUAUGUCACUGGGAACUUGAACGAUUCAUACCAAUAAUCCUUUUAUAGGACACUGCCCAUGCGCUUGAACUGGUUCCUUGUCCAUGAAAGUCAUGUUUCUGGAGAAAACCAUCCUUCUUUGUAAAUUUUCCCGUCACUGCCCUCAUUUGCAAUGCUGGCACAUCUGGCAAGUGGUUGCAGAUUUAACAUUAACAUACGUCGGUUCAGCUGGAACCAGCUCGAGUGCUGGUAGUUCCUUUUCCCCUUCCACCUCCUCUACUUGCCUUGCUGCUCCCUCCAUUCUUAGAGCUCGCUGCCCUGCUACAACCACCAUGGGAAUUCACAUCUGAUAGCCCAUUCUCCAAUGCUCUCACGAGGUUGUCAAAGUAGUUUCUGGUCACACUGUAGCAACAAAAACAGAUGUAAGAAAGUCAAAAUGCAUGUCUAUGUGCACACAUGGGUGCUACUUCUGGAAGUCACAACAGAGGCUAUUAAGAAAGUGUCUAUGUAAACUACAUUGCAGCUGAAGUAGAGAGGGCCACCGAUCUUUUAAUAAAAGGAGAGAUGUGUUUGUGAUGGAAAAACAGCUCCAAGAAUUAUUGUUUCCCACGGAUACUCUAUGAACUUAAAUAAAUAAACAAGUAACGGUCCAACAGCCUUAUAACAACCAACCAAUGCCAUAUGCACUGGAAAAUCAUAUUCUUGGUAAGUCCACUGUCCAGGUUUGACUUUCGAAUCAACAAUCUUUUUAGCAUAAAAAUCCAGUCAAAAGAACUAGUGAGAAUGCUUUUGGCUCGAAUCAGCUUUUAAGUUAACAAUAAACUGCAGAGUCAAUAUUAUUCCAUAAAGUAAACUUUGAAAGCUUGACAAUAAAGAGCAGGAUUAGAAAUAGGAAUGCUAUGCUCAGGAUGAGUCAUGAGCUUCACCAGAACUUUUUUACAUAAUAUAAGAAGCCAAAAAGAAGAUUCCGCAGGAAUAUUACAUACACUAAUUUAUCAGGAAGAAGCUGCUCAUUGGUACAUAUCAUGCUCUCUCCAGGAACAAUAAAGCACAUUUUUUUGCGAAAGGAAUGUAAUCACCAAUUCCAAUAUUAGUAUUUUCAUGUGCUAUUCAGAAUAAAAAUGGGCAGGCAUUCGCCUAUAUGACAGAAUGCCUAUCCCCCCUCCUUUACGAGACACUUUUUUUUUAAUCGUAGCCUAACUAUUUCCCAUUUCAUAGAUGGAUAUCUAGGGACUCAAGUCUAAAUAAAAUUGACUGUACACAAUUAUAAUUUGUACCAGACAUAUUUUACUCGACUAAUUAUGAAAAUUGAAUCUGACAAGAAGAUACCUGGUAAGUCCAGCUAACUUGGUGCGGAAGUCAUUAAAGUUACUAGAAGGAUUCUCAUCACUAAGGAACUGGUGAAGUUCCUUCUCUGCACACUAAUGAAGCCUUUCCAAUCCGAACUCUGCCUCACCUGGUAAAGAAACCAUUUCAUGUAAGUAAAUAGGAAAACAAGAAGGAUAUGCAUGGCCAUUGUCUAUCCACAAUCCUACUCUCCAAUACAAACCUUGCAAAUACUCAAAAAAUUGUUUCUUAGCAUGAUCAUAUUCUGGUAGAUAAUAACCAUAUGCAUAUGUCCACUUGAGCACUCGCCUACACUCAACUAUCUGCAAACAUCAAAGAAGCCUAAUUUAGUUUCACAGAAGCAAGUCAGGAUAAUAAAUCAAAAACACUCCAUCAGAUUUUAACCUAUAUAACAGCCGUAUUUACAUUCCAAACUGAAAAUCACAAAUUAUAUUUAAGUUGAAUUAAGUAAUAAAACCUGCUGCCAGGCCUCUAUGAUGAACUUCAACUGUGACUCCGGCUGGCAUUGUGUGUCACUAAGCUUAUUGAGCUGACAAGAAGAAAAGACAAAACCUUAUUUAAUCAAUAGCAAAGGUCAGGAAGCAUCAGCAGCACAACAUAAUUAAACCAGAUGAAUAGAAAAGCCAUGCGUCUUGCUUCCUAUCACAAGAAAACAAAGAUCAAUUUGUUAAUUUAACAUCAUAAGCAGUUUAUCACAACUCAACCUGCCCAGUUGCCACUUAGCAUCAACACAUUUACCCAGUAUAGAUUCUUCAGACACAACUGCAAUCCUUAGUGUACUCAAUACCCAUGACUGUCAGACUAAAAUGUUAGCCCAAGUACAGAGAGGCAAACACAUACAGAAACAAAGAUCUUCCUGGUCUUGUAGCACUCCUUAAUACAGUAAUGUGAACCUAAGAUCUAUUUCUGCAGAAGUUACAACCAGAAUACAUUUGUCACAAAGACUCUUAAGUAAUAUUAUUAAUUAAUAGAAAAUUUGGCUGUUAGUGAUGCAAAAUGCUGUGAAAUUAAAUAACUGAUAUGGAAUACUAUUGAUUUAGUAAGCGCUUCAUCCUCUUCCUCCAAUUUCCUUUCAUGUCACGGCAACAAUUGAAAAUGUUGCCACAAGAAAACAAAAACCAUAUACACACAGCAAUCGCAAAUCAAAGUAUGUUCUACUCCAGAGAGAACAAAAUACUGAUGAAGAAAACGUCAUAAAGAAAGUUUCCUCUUGAUGCUGCAUGUAAAAACUGAGAAAAGAAGGACAAGUUGGGCAUCGCUGAUUCAAUUCACCCUAAAAAUAGAUACAUAUUCACGUGACAGGAUAUGUGCUGACUGCUGAGUAGUUAUGAUGAAUUCGCUUGUAACUGCGGAAAAGCUUUCCUCGAGUCCUACAAGCGAAAUGUAAUCCUGUAUUCUGAUUGGUCUGCCUAUUAAAUACGCUAUAUCUAUAUUACAAGACCACACCCCAAAUUGAAAUUAUUACUGAUGAUGUACCAAUAAAACCUCCCUAUUUUCACGCUCUCUGGUACACCAAUCAACAUCUCUUCCCUCGUAUUCCUUCUAUCCUUCAAAUUCUCUCACAUACCAAACGAGUCAACACGUACCCUCCGCGAAAAGUCGCUCCUUUACAACAAAUCUCAAACAUCAAAGCAACAAGCUCUCCUUCAUUCUUCAGAUAGAUCCCAGGACUACCCCCAAACAGUAAGACAAAGAAGAUCAGAGCCCAGAAAUCCUCUCCAUUUCCACUACCCACUAGAACGACCAAAACAGAGGCAGCCGGAAAAAUCGCUCCUUUACAACAUAUCUCAAACUUCGAAACAACAAGCUCUCCUUCAUCCGACAGAUAGAUCCCAGGAAUACCCCUAUACAGCAAAACAAAAGAAGAGCAGAGCCCAGAAACCCUCUCCAUUUCCACUACCCGCUAGACCGACCAAAACAGAGGCGGCUGGGAAAAGCCCCACGAAUCAAAUCGACACGAGAGGGACCAACUCACCAGUUCCGACCAAGGACCUCGUCGGCCCUGUAGGAAGUGAAGCGGGGAUUGUCGUCGCAGAUCUAGGGCUUCUCGGGAGAGACGGCUUUGACCAUAGCGGAGAGAGCGCGGUCCUCGUCGGAGAAGGCCCAGCGUCAGGAGAGAGCGCGAUUCGGGAAGAAAGAGGUCAGGAGGAGGAGGCCGUCGAGUAGAGAGAGGGGCCGUAGUCGGCAGGGAGAGUCGCCGUCGUCGGAGAGCGAAGAGGCCGUGGAGUAGAGAGAGAGGCCGUCGUCAGGAGGGAGCGUCGCCGUCGUCGAAGAGAGCACGGCCGUCGUCGGGAGGGAGCGUCGCCGUCGUCGAAGAGAGCACGGCCGUCGUCGGAGAGCGAAGAGGCCGGCGAGUAGAGAGACAGGCCGUCGUCGGCAGGGAGCGUUGCCGUCGUCGGAGAGAGCGCGGCCGUCGUCGUCGGAGAGCGAGCGCUAUUUGGGAGAGAGUCGUCGGGUCAGGAAAGAAGGGAUAGAGUGAGAGAGAGGAGAGAGAGGAGAGAGGAGAGAGAGAGAGAAUGCCCGCGCGUUGGUUUGAAUUGGAACGACGUGGGAGAGAAGAGGAGGAGAGACAGCAAGGGCCCACACUUCCACGUGGCGUCGCGUGAGUGGUCCGGGACCACGCUGAUGCGGAGGUCCCGGACCACCCAAUAUUUUCUUGGCUCCCCCCUCUUUCCCUAUUUAUAGGAACACUCCACCGACUUAGCCCAUAUUCUAGGAGUUUCUUUUACAAUUUUUUUCUAGAAAAAUAGGCCUUUUUAAGGCAAAUAUCUCUGCCAUUUGCUAAGAUAAUUCCAUAGAUUCUUCUAUGAUUUUCUUGUAUUUUCUAGCUCAAAUAUUUCAAUAAGUUUCUAGAAAUUGGCUCAAUAAUUUAACAUUCCUCCUUGAUCCAAUUUCGUGUUACUCCAAGCAUUUCCCGCAAUGUCUCGAACUUGGUUAGCGGUAGUGCUUUAGUGAAGAUGUCCGCUACUUGUUCCUCGGUUUUGCAAUAUUUCAGCUCAAUCUCUUUGUUAUUUUGCGACUCUCGUAUGAAGUGAUAUUUGAUGUCGAUAUGUUCUUUCAUGGAAUACUGGAUUCUUUGAUAUUUGAUGUCGAUAUUUGAUUACCGACUUAUUGUCGCAAAGUAUCGGAGUUGAUUCCAUCUGUGUUUCUCCAAUGUCUUCUAUAAUUCUUCGAAGCCAUAUUGCUUGACUAGUAGUUGUAGUAGCUGCGAUGUAUUCAGCUUCUGCAGUAGACUGUGCCACCGAGUCUUGUUUUUUGGAUGCCCAUGAGAAUAUUCCAGAACCCAAAGUGAAUGCAUAGCCAGUUGUACUUUUCCUAUCAUUAGUUGAAUCAGCCCAGUCGCUAUCAGUGUAGUCAAUGAGCUUGGAGCUAGCACUUGGGCAAUACCGAAUGCUGUAAUCUAUAGUUCAUUGUAAAUAUCUAAGAAUUCUCUUGGCAGCUCCAAAGUGUAUUUGACUCGGACUUUACAUGAAUCGUGAUAGUAGACUUGUUACAUACAUAAUAUCCGGUCGUGUAGCAGUGAGAUAUAACAAACUGCCAAUCAGACUUUUGUAGAGAGAGGCAUCGACUUUUUCUACUCCAUCUUCCUUCAAUAGUUUCUCAUUUGUCAUGAGCGGAGUUGAAACUGCUUUGCAAUAGUUCAUCUUGAAUUUCUUCAGGAGGUUCAUGGUAUAUUUCUUUUGCGAGAUAAAAACUCCUUCAUUUUGGUUGAUCUCGAUGCCAAGGAAGUAAUGCAUCAAGCCCAAGUCUGUCAUCUCAAAUGUUUUCAUCAUUUCUUUUUUGAAUUCUUGGAUCAUUGUCUCAUGGUUUCCUAUAUAUAUAAGAUCAUCUACAUAUAGAGAGACAAUGAGAGUGUUAUACUUACCUUGGGUCUUGAUGUAGAGUGUCGGCUCACUCAUACUCCUCCUGAAUCCUUGCUUGAUGAGGUACUCAUCAAUUCUACUAUACCAUGCACGUGGUGCUUGUUUUAACCCAUACAAGGCUUUCUUGAGUUUGAGAACUUUUUCUUCUUGGCCUUUGAGGAUAAAGCCUUGUGGUUGUUCUAUGUAUAUUUCUUUUUCAAGAUAUCCAUUUAGGAAUGCUGACUUCACAUCUAGUUAAUGGAUCUUCCAUUCUUUUUGUGCUGCUAGGGUUAUGAGUGCUCAAAUAGUAUCAAGGCGAGCGACGGGAGCAAAAGUUUCAGUAUAGUCGAUACCUGGUUGUUGCAAUUAUCCUUUCACCACAAGCCUUGCUUUAUGCUUUUGGAUUGAUCCAUCUGCGUUGAGCUUCGUCUUGUAGACCCACUUGACGCCAAUGAUCUCUUUGUCUUCGGGUUGAUCGACAAGCUCUCAAGUUUCAUUUUUCUCAAUCAUCUUGAUCUCUUCCUCCAUGGCUUUUAUCCAGACUUCAUCUUUGGAUGCUUGUUCAUAGUUUUCUGGUUCCAAAAUAGCAAAGUUGCAUGUGUCGUAAAUUCUUCUAAGGGCUUUUACCCUUAGCACUAGAGACUCUGGAGUAGAUUCUUCUUGCGUUACUCUUGGAGAGCUUGGUGGAGUUAUGUCAUGAGUGGCGGAAUCCGGUACAUCUUCUUCUUGUGACGUUGACUCCUCUUGAGCAGGUGGUAUGUCUGGCAAGGUGAUGUACUUUUUCUCGAUCUUCUCGUCCUCCUAAUUCUAGGUAGCAUUCUCGUCGAACUCGACGUCUUUACUAAUCAUUAGCUUUUUAGUUCUUAGGUUGUAAAUCCGAUAGCCUUUUGAUUGGUCACCGUAGCCAAGGAAUAUUCCUUUUUAUGUCUUUUCAUCUAGCUUACUCCUUUUCUGAGCAAGGAUGUGGACGUAGCAAAUGCAUCCAAACACUUUGAGAUGCUUUGCUGAAGGCUUCCGUCCACUCCAUGCUUCGACUGGUGUUUUAUUUUGAACAGCUUUAGUUGGACACCUGUUUAACAGGUAUACUAUAGUAUAAACUGCUUCUGCCCAAAAAGUGUUGGGAAGGCCUUUCUCCUUUAGUAUAGACCUUGCCAUCUCCAUGACGGUUCUAUUUUUUCUUUCAGCUACUCCAUUUUGUUCUAGGGCGUAGCCAACCGUUAGUUGAUGAUGGACUCCUUCAUCUUCACAAAAUUUAUUAAACUCAUUUGAAUUGUAUUAUGUGCCUCUAUCACUCCUUAGGACUUUGAUUCUUUGGCCACUUUGAUUCUCGACGUGGUUCUUGAAUUUUUUGAAGAUAGAGAAAACCUCUGAUCUUUCUCGAAGAAAGUAUACCCAUGUCAUUCUUGUGUAAUCGUCAAUGAAUAGGAUGAAAUAUUUAUUUUGACUGGGUGUAGGUGUCCUCAUCGGACCGCACACGUCCAUGUGAACAAGUUCCAAUGGCUUCUUAGCUCUCCAUGCACCUCCAGAUGGGAAGGACUGUCUCUGUUGUUUUCCAAGAAGACAGCCUUCACAAACAUCUGAAAUUUCUGAAAUAGCUGGAAAGUCUCUCAUCAUAUUUUUUUGAUGGAGAGUUUUUAGCCCAGCAAAAUUGAAGUGGCCAAAUCUUCGAUGCCAUAGCCAUGAAUCAUCAAGUUGAGCUUUCAUGGCUAUAUCUUUGACAUAUUUCCAUCGAAUAGGAAAAUUAUUGUUUUCCAUCUUAACAGAGGUAAUGACAUUUUUAUAUUUAUCAUAGAUAAUGCAGGCAUAUCUAUUAAAAUAUAGAGAAUACCUACUUUGUAUCAUUUGGCCCACACUUAAGAGAUUUUGUGCAAGACGAGGGACUAGAUAUACAUUAUGUAUAUAUUUUGGGCCUUUAUUCGUUUCCACGGUGAUGGUGCCUUUUCCUUUGACAUCUACUAAUGCACCAUUGCCCAACUUUACUUGGGAUUUCACCGACUUAUCAAUAUCAGUGAAUAUAGAUUCGUCCCCCGUCAUAUGAUUGCUACACCUACUAUCAAUGUACCAUGUUUCACUUUUAUUAUUAUUUGCCGCUUGGCCUGCGUAGAAUGUAUUCUCUUCACUUUCUUUUUUUACUACAUAGUUUGCUCGAUUAUUUGUUUUCGAGCGACAAUCUUUUUCUACGUGGCCAUAUCUUUUACAAAAGCGGCAUUGUUUUUUAUUUUUAAACCAAAAAUCAUUCUCCAAAUGAUUUGUUUUCUUGCAAAUACCACAAGCUGGAUAAUUUUCCUUUUUUUUAUAAUUUCUCAUUCUCUUUUGUUUUUCCAUGAGCUCCUUCCACCAUUUUUAGUUUGAUGAGACCGUAUAUUUACUUUAGACUGAAAGGCGUUUUCAACUGAAUCUUCAUCUUGUGCCAUUAGUCUUUUCUCAUGUGCUUCUAGAGAGCCAAUUAAUUCACUCACUAAUAGGGUCGUCAAGUCUUUAGUUCCUUCUAUAGUUGUAACUAUGGAGUUGUAUUUUUUGGUAAGUGACACCAAUAUUUUCUCAACAACCUUUGAUCAGUUAUUCCAUCUCCAUAGGCUCUCAUUUGAUUAAUGAGUUCCUUUAAUUUCCACAAUAUUCUUGUACGGUCUCAUAAUUUUUCAUUUUAGAAUUCUCAAAAUCUCUUCUCAGAGUUUGAAGGCGAAUAGUGCGUACCUUUUCCGAUCCUUGAAAUUAUUCUCGUAGUAUAUCCCAAGCCCCUUUUGCAGUCCUUACUCCAAUUAUUCUCGGAAAUAUGGUUUUCGAGAGUGCUUGCUGGAUAAAGUAUAGCGCUCUUGCAUCAAGUUGAUCCUUCGAAACACUUGCACCUUCUGGCGGAGCCUCGCAACCUUUUUCCACGAUGUCCCAUAAGUCUUGGGCCAUCAAGAAUGUAGUCAUUUUUUUGCUCCAAAAGUCAUAGUUGUUCCCAUCAAAAAUGAGAAUGGGAAAUGAUGAUGAGGUAGAGUUGGCCAUGGUUUAGUUAGUGGGUAUUUGGAAAGGGUAGUUUUAGGAAUGGGUAGGUAGGACAAAUGCCCAAUACCAACCAAAGACGUGGCUCUGAUACCACUGUUGGUAUUUGCAGAGGCGUGUGUUUGAUGUGUGUGCAAGUGUGUUUUGUGUGAGAACUUUCAAGAGGGCUAAGGAAAGAACAAUGUGGGUAAGAAAAUAAUUUGCAGCAAGGGAGCACAAGGGAACAAAAUAAAACCUUUUAUUUAUUUAUUUGUAGUACAAAGUACAAAGGAAGGGGAGGAGCUUACCUUUUUGCUCCGCCUUUUUUCUACGCUCCCCCCUCCUUCCCUAUUUAUAGGAACGCUCCACCAACUUAGCCCAUCUUCUAGGAGUUUCUUUUACAAUUUUUUUUUCUAGAAAAAUAGGCUUUUUUAAGGCAAAUAUCUCUGCCAUUUGCAGAGAUAAUUCCAUAGAUUCUUCUAGGAUUUUCUUGUAUUUUCUAGCUCAAAUCUUUCAAGAAGUUUCUAGAAAUUGGCUCAAUAAUUUAGCAGAAAUGUUCUGAUGUCUGGUCCUUGUUCAGACGAGUAUCAUUUUGACCGUGUUAUUCUCCAUAAAAUGGAAUCACUUAGUUUGAUUUUGACGAGUGCAUCACAGGCUAACUGAACGCAGCAUUCUUGUUCGUGGUUUGCUUCAUGUAGGCUCUCCCAUUCCCAGUUGAUGUGCCAUGAUUUCCCCAACUUAAUCCUAGCUUACUCUCACAUUCUUCUUCCACAGUAUUACUUCACGCUAUGGUUAAUGACAUUGUCUCACUUUUCUUAAUUACAGUAAUUUUCAUCAGCCAGAUGUUGGCAUCUCCCGCCAAUGUUUAGUUCAGAGAACUUUCAUCUUGGAUUUCAGCUGGUGUCUCACAUUGUUCUCAAAUCUGCCCCCACUGCAUACAAAGCAGGCUAUAAGGCUUGGCAUUUCUCAGUAUCAAUUCCACUUACUACUUGCUUUGUUUAUAAUGAUUCAUGGAACCAAAACCGCCCUUAUAACUACGACUUGCUGGGACCAGGAAGUAUAUCAUGACAAUUACCAGGUGAUCUAUGCUGUAGGAUGUUGAUGCCCGCGCCCUUCAUGUCAGGGCAUUUACAUCUCUUCUAAAGUUGAAUUUUUGUGGAUUGCUUACUCGCUCUAUGUUUUGAGUGAGUAAUGCGAGAGAUUACUUGACCAUUUUGCAAAACUGACGUGUAAAGUGAUGAAUUGAGACUUCCAUUGGGGUCGAUGUCACCGUUGGUCUCUCUAUUUUUACUUGGAAAUCAAGUUAUCAACAUGCUACUGUCUCGCAUGGUUCUCGGAUCUGCCGCUUCUCCUAGCCAUUGCAGUGCCACAAUCUCACUAACUUUUCCAAGUUUUCCAUCAUCAGUUUUUUCUUUACACUAUGACUACAUUUUUUCUCCUUUUUCCUAUCAAUGCAGUAUGAUAAAUUCAGAUCUAAUAUCAUUUCACUUCUCUUUCUGUAAUUGUUUUCUCAGUACCAUCUGAUUGUUGAUCCUUCCCUGGUGCCAGAGGUGCUGUUAUAAAGUCUAACCUGCUUCUAUCAAUAUUAUGUCGUGCUACAGCAAAGUCAGCACCCUCUCUUAGAUGAAGCAACCUUGACUAGAUCUGGAUUUGCUAUAAUCAUUUAAAACUUCAAGCAUUUCACCUGGACUAGGUAAAAUAUGGAAUAAACAGAAAAUUGAACUGCUCCAAACAAAAGAUAAAAAGAAAGUUGCAUGUGUAAGUGAAUUGAUAAAAAAGAAACAGGUUAUGAUGGACGCAACCUCAAAUACCAAUCACCCCAAGUCCAUGCGAGGGACUCUUCAAAACUUCAUCUGUCCAUGUCCACACAGUCUAGAUGAUUUUCUUGUAGAAAUUACAUAGAAACUAACCAUGGAUAUUACAAAUAGAUGAAGUGGAGGAAUAGCAAAUUGCAGUAAUCUAGAGCCUAGACCCUUGGGAUUAUUAUCGGAUGAGCUCGCUGCAUUGAAUGCUCAUUCAAAGUACAGAACAGAAACCGAAGAUCAGAGAAAAUAAUAUGCACAAGAUGUUGAAGAUUGUUCUCUAUCAAUUGUUUCACAAUGAUCUCCGUGAGGGACAACAAACUUUUUAAAAGCUUGUAAGCAUUUGUCAUAUCUCAUGAGCCUAACCUAAUGACUUCAACAAGAUACUCUCCUUCCAUGGGUUCUGAAGAUCAGAGCAAAGAAUAUGCACAUGAAAAAUCGAUGUUUUGAUCCAUUCUCUAUCAAUUGUUUUGUGAUGAUUUCUGUGAGGGAAAACUGCAUUUGGAAAAUAAAAACAGUGUCACUGUGAUUCGCAGGGAUUUGCAUUCCAGUAGCUUGUGAAGGUAGUUUUUCCAUCAGAUUUGUGAGAGUAGUUGAACUUAGGUAUGAAAGGAGACUAUAUCUGUAGAGGAAAGCAAAGGGCAUCAGAGUAACGCAUAGAGCUGUAACAAAGGAAGUUGGACCGGGCAUCAUGAAUAUCAAAUCGUGUUGGUCCUGCUUCUGGAUGUGCGGUUAGCGUCGACACUCGGUUGUCUUCUUUUACUGUUGACGAGAUCUGGUAAAACUAUCUUUCUUGAUUUGCUAAUUACCGGUCUGCCUAUGGUUUAGUUGCGCCUGAUCAUUCUAACGGAUGAUGUUGUGUUCAAGCGAUGGAUUUCAUUGCAAAGUUCUCUUCUCGGUUGUGACCGAAAGUCAUCUUCAAGCCUCACCACUAAGGUCAUCUUCACACUUGGAUAUGCCCCUUUUUGUACGUUGGUUCUGGCAUCCAUCACGCAGCAUGCAAAGACAAAAUGUCUUUGCUAGCAUAACAGUCGAGCUACCGUAAAAAUAAUAGUUUGUUGCGAGCCACAAAUUAUUGAUGAAGUGGACCCUGCAAAUAUUUAUGAUUUUUUGUUAUUUGAUUUUUUGUGGUCUAUAAUAAUGUGUUGUUUUUACGGUAUGGCUUUUGUCAUACACAUUCAAUGCAUAGAUGAUAUAAUGUGGCAAAAGAAAAAAAAAUCUCCAUAGGAUAAAAUAUAUGAACGAAAUUUGCACAUACUAUUAGUCAACAUAGUAUAUAUUCUCAUCAUUUAUGAAUGAAUAUUACUAGAGAGGUUACAAGAUAGGAACAUUAACUAAAAUUUGUUCUCAAAGAAGCAAUAAAACCUAGGAUAGGUAUUUUCUUUCUUUGUAUAUCGAUUAUGUGCUUUGUUCAGACCACUUUUGGAACACCACAAUUGAUUCACCUCUCCGAUAGAUUUUAAGGGAACCUUCCUUAUUAGGAAAAGUACCAAAAAAGUCAUAAACAUAUUACAUUGGUACUAAUUCAGUUCUAAACCUUUCUAUUGGAGCAAUUUAAUCCUAGAACUUUUCACAUUGAUAUCAAUUCAAUUCAUUCGGCCAAUUUUGGCCGAUCGGCACUGACGUGGACACCAGCUGGUGGCCAAACACUAACAUGGUAAUUUUUAAAGUUUAGAAUUAAAUUGAUCUAAUUGAAAAUGUUAUGACUGAAUUUGUAUCAAUGUAAUAGAUUUAUGACUUUUUUGGUACUUUUCCCUUUUUAUUUCAAUCUAAUUCGUUCAGGAUUUUAAUGUGAAGUGCUCUGAAAAAUAGUCGAAUCGGAGUCCCACACCACAGGGAAUUGAGCAAACUUAUUUGUCAUCUAAACCAACAUCUUUUUUUUUUUUUUAUUAUUUUUUUUUGGUGCUGGAGGAACCGGCUUGCAGCCGACAGUCGCGCCGUAAACCCCCAGGUGACACUUAAGCAGGAGGACCCACCACCCUUGAGUCACACUUGAUACACCUAGUGCCUCCCCUGGGUUUUGAACCUUUCACCUCUGGGUUGAGGAUCAACAAGGCCUUAUUCAGCGGAGCCACCGCGGCCGGUGGUAAACCAACAUCUUAUUGGUUGCUAUUUGUAUUUAAAAAAUGCUUGACUCACUAAGAUUGAUUUAUACUAUCGGUUUAUUAAGUGAUGUGCUAAACCGUCAUUAAUUCUUAAACACGACCCACUUUUUUUAAAAAGCUUAUCCACAAUCUCACCCAUUAUUUAGUUUUUUUAAUUCGCUAUUAAAAAGUCCAGCACUGUUAUUUGUAUUUCAAAAGCCUAUCCAAUUUGCGAAGGAAUUCCAUUUCAGAUCUAAACACUCAUGCCAAUCUCACGACAUUCUUAGUACCCCUAACAUUUCCCCUUUUCUAUUGAUACCAACCUGACUUCGAAUUCAAAAUGAAUAUAUAUACAAACCAUAAUUUGCCAGAACGAAAUUCUCGUCGCCAAAAGUCUACUAACUAGCUAGACGCUAAGCUCGAUCUAUCACGCGAGACAGCAUUUUCACGUAAAAGAUUUAAUGCAAGAGCGGCCCUCUCUUCAUUUUUUGGGACGGUUCCUUUCACGCAUCCUCCCUAGCACAUCCAUAAUUAACUGCGCUACAGUCUUUCUUCACUUCUUCUCAUCUGUCUCUGCCUGCGAAACCUUCACUUUCUCCUGUCUUCCUGUCCUCACAUCAUCAUCAUUGUCAGUGACGCUCCAGCAAAGCCGGCGAGUCACCACAAGAAGCCACAUCAAUGCAAAGACCAUUGCAUAAGCUCUGCCACACAACACUGUCCCCAUCAGACUAAUGAACAGCAGAUAUGCCAUAUCAAGUUUGGCUCGUUUCGUUCGUGACUGAUCUUGAUGAUCUGGGCUUUGCUCUUGCUUCAUUGAUGAGCCAUUGUACAAGAAUCCACCGUGAGACCACUGUUUGGACACACAGUCCACGUACUCUAAUGCCGAACUUGAAACUGAAGAAAGAGAGGUAGAAGAAAAAUGAUUUGCCUGAUCAUCGAUAAGCUUCUGAUCGUUGUUAUCACAUAACGACCCCCUUGGUUCGGCAUCCAUUGAAGGACAGUGUUUCGUCAACAAUGAGUUUCGAAAUGAACUACUUCUUUUCCGGCGGAUAGUCCGAGCCUGCGGAAAAAAAAUGGAGAAAAAUGAGUACAUAUGGAAACCACUAAAAUGUUCUCACAUAGUUCUCAGACCUAAAGUGACAUUUUCACGAUAGUUUCUUCCGCAACAUAAUAUGUAAUCCUCGUUGGACAUUUCUUUAAUGGCACAAACUAGAAAAACGAAAAAAGUGGGAUAACAAACCAAAGCGGUGUAGAAGAGAGCGGACUUCAACAUGCGCGAAAAGCUAUGCUUUCUCGAUCGAGCAUACGGUGGUUUCACGCUUGCUCUCUCAUUGUCGUCCUCAUCGAUCAAAAGAUGCAUGAGCUGGCUCCGCCUACGCCUGGGCUCGAGCAUCAUGUCCUCGAUGACGGGUCGUCUAAAGCAAUGCAAGAACUUGAUCCUCGACACAUUCUUCAUGGUCUCUCUCUGACGUUUCAUGCGUUGCAGAUCGCAACCCUUGUUUCGGACUCAAUGGAGAAAAGAAACGAGGCAGGAAAAGAUGGGGAGGCCACACGUUAUUUUUGAAUGGCUUCGAGUCGAAAGGCCAUAGAUUUAGCGUAGUUUUGGAUCACUUGUUUUCUUUUCCUCUGGUGCAAGUGUAAGUACAUGAAGACAUCUCUCUAUAUAUAAAUAUUUAUAUUUCCAGAGUGAGAAUUACUAUCGGGUGGUUAAGGAUUUAAAUGCUUGAAUGAGAAGGUCAGAGAAAAGGGCAAAAGGGGAUAAUGGCUUACUGACGCCGAUGGACAGACAGGUAGGAGGAGAGGGUAUGACUACGCACGUCUUGGCUUAUGGUUUUAGUGAAGAGAAAUGACUUUAAAUUUGAAUGGUCCUCGUUAUGAUCGUCAAGACAUCUCUAGAUAAUCAAUCUCUGAGUGGGGUUAACCGUGAUAGUUGUCCUCCAAGAAAUUCUAAACUUAUUCCUUUUAUUUAGGAGUAUUCAAAAAAAUCGAGAAUCGCCCAAAAUCGGACCAAACCCACCUAGAACCAACGGUUCUCAUGAGAACAAUCCGGUUCCAAGGAUAGAAUCAUCCACCUGAACUGGACCAAUAUAUAUAUACUGGUCAAGUUUUCUAUCAAUUCUAAAGUCCCUAGCAAUGGACUUGUUUCUUUGAUAUCUUAAUGAGGACAUUGAUGCUCUCUUCUUGUUGUCCAAAUUGAGACUCAUCUCAACUAUUGUCAUCGUCCUCCCUUCUAUAUCUUUUCCUUCAUUAGGAUCACAUGCUAGUUUGGUGUCCAUACAACACACAUUAGAAACAUUUUGGCUUUAUUCCUUCCUCUAGAAAACCGGUUCCAAGGAUCCACCCGAGAACUAGAUUGGUAACCAACGAAUGGUUCUUGGUUCUAGGGGGGAAUAGUCCACUGCCCAUCUUGGAACCAAUCACCCUUGCAUUCAAUUUGAGAAAUGUAUUGCUUCUUCAAAAUCCCAGGGGUGCCUUGCAAAUGCUUGUGCUAAUAAGCAUUUUGCUUGCAUGCAUGCUACAAGCCAAAAGUUCCGCCUGCUUACACGAUCGCAAGAAAUCGAAUCAUGCUGUUUUAGUGGGUGAAUAAAUGCAGUGGUGGUCUGUGGUCAUUCGAGCAGAGAAACAGUGGAUGGGAAAUCUAACGAUUUUGCAUAUGUAACAUCUGCCUUUCCUAUCUACACGUCGAACAACCCUCUUGUGUCCGAAAUUUAUGCAUCACCCUUUGAGCAUUAUCAUUAGAGUCUUCUAAACAAAUAAGUCGGCUAAGCCUAUUAAAUGAGUGGGCAGAAUUGAGUCGAAAAAAAUGUCUGAUCCACUUAACCCGCAUUAACCCAUUUUUAUGCUAUACAAUUUUAGAGUUCCAUACCUGACCUGAUUAACACCUAACAUAUAACCGAUACAAUCCAUAUUACUAAAAAAAUCCAUAUCUAACCCAAUUUAUGCAAACUCGUACCCGUUCGCUCAAACAACUUUAAGCCUUUCAUAUGAAUCUAUCAUUUAGAUAAAAUUUUAUAUCAAUUUAAAAAAUAAUAAACCAAAUAAAAAGUCGCCACUCGUUGUCGCUUGCCUAACCAACUCAGUUAACGUUGUCUCUCCUCCGUCCAAGCCCCACACCGCUGCUGUGGAGACCCCAAACAUAGUUGCCUCUCUCUCUCGUGCGCGCGAUAUCGAAUAAGAGGUCGUGAACCUAUGUCUAACUUCACUGAUCAUUGUGGUUGUGGCAUCGCCAUGACCCAAGCCCAUCUAUAUAAUUUCUAUUUUGAAUGCAAUAACAAAGUAACCAAUGACAUUACUUGGUCAUCAUCAUAGCCAUUGUCAGCACAAUCACAUUAAUGUUGUUGGAAACUUUUGUAAAUUAAAAUUUUGAAUCUUAAGGUAAACAUUAAAUUAAGAAAAGAUCUAAAUUGUUUCCACCAAACGAUCUCCAAAGUUUGAUAAAAAUAAAAAUAAAGUAAAUUAUAUUAAAGUUGCGCUCCAACUUCUCUUUAGAUGUGCAACAAUCAAUGUAAAUCACUGCAGAUAUGUACCGUGGGCCACAAGGGAGUACAAUGUGCUUGUUGUUCAUAUUUAUUCGCUUCAGUUUUUGAACAAAAGCGAUCCAACCGAAUAUAUUAAUAAAUUUGGACUUGCACUCUAUUCUCGGCCUGGUCUUUGGGCUUUUUUAUGCAAAGAAUGAAGAUGCAUUAUAUUCAGUGAAAUAUUGUUUGAUGCAGUGUAUAUUUUAUUCCGACCUGGAAAAAUGAUAAUAAUCCCCUGUAAAAUUUCAUUAUUUCUAUUUAAACUCGGCCCAUACACUAGACAUUAAUACAAACCAAAUAUCCUCCCAAGCGCACAUUCCUCCUAUCAAUUUUAUGAAAAACUUACAAUAUUUCCCAUCGUAGUUCAUCUCUCCAAGAGCUGUGCGUUUUGCAGAUUUUCCUUUCCAGUUUUCCUUUGAGUUAAGUCCCCAAGCCUGUUUUAGUCUUGGAAGUCCAAGCGAGUUGAAAUAUGGAUCGUUUAAGCGACCCAUCAUCUAUGUAGCACGGACACUCUCCAGAAGCCUUUAUGUCGUGUCCGACAUGCUCCGACACGCGGUCAACGAGUAUUGAAAAAUCCGACACGUGGUCAACUCUCUCCGACACGCUCCGACACGUGAGUCCAGAAUUUUGACAUGCGAUUCCGAUACGCACAGGGUCAAUUUCUAAUACUUGAGGGGUCAAAAUAUAAAUAUACACAAAAAAAGUAAUAAAAAAAGUAAUAAAAUUGCUAUAAAUAUACACGCACGGGGUCAGUUUUUUUUUUUCAGUUUUGUUUUUUUAGAAUUGUUUUAUUUUUUUUAAAAGUCUUUUACUAUGAAAGAAGUAAUAAAAAAUGCUAUAUAUGAUAAAUUAAUAAAUUUAAAAAUAUCAUUUCAGCAUUUUUCUUUAAACAAUGUUUUUUUCCUCUAAGUUUUGUGUAUUAUUGUAACAAAUUAAAAUAAUGAAGAUAUUAUUUAAUAUUUUUCGUGUAAAUUAAUUAUAUGCUAUUAUUUAUUUAUGUAUUUAUAUAUAAAAAUAUAUUUAAUAUAUAACGUGUCGGAACGUGUCUAAAUUCUCUAUUUUUAAGAAAUGACGUGUCGGCGUGUCGUGUCGUGUUGUGUCGUGUGUCGUGUGUUCGUGUCGGUGCUACAUAACCCAUCAUGACCCAUUUUACUGAAUCUUAACCCAUUUUGCCCCGACUUUGUUGCCAAACAACUUACCCAUUCUACAAGGGGCCAUUAAAUAUGGGUUGCAAAAUCAGUUUGUGAUUCAUUUUACCAGCUUUAGUGACCACACGGAUAAUUCUGAUCUAUGACCAAAGAUUUCGAUUUAUGGGUUUAUCAAUAUAGUUUCCUUUAAGACGCAAAAUAAAGCAAUUUAACACGUAGUCACUUUUACCGUUUCCUAACUAGUAAGCUAAAGACCCUUUUUCUGAUUUUAUUUGUAUCACCUUUUCUAAUGUAUAAAAUAAGUGACAGAAUCAUGUAAUCUCGUCCCGAAGCCAAUGUUUUGCUAUAUCAGGCUCAAUGUUAUAUGAUCUGACAGUGCCUAUAUCAUUGGGCUUCGCUUGGAUUCUGAUUAAUUUAAUACAUUGGCCCGUAGUCCUAAAUGGAUCCUACCAUCAUCAAAGGACGGAACAAUAAAUGUUUAUUCCCAUGGAUUAAUGAGAUUUAAACAACGAUUUUUGGAACGGGCCAGCAACGACAGCCAUAUUUCUUUAUGACCGAUAUCUAUUGUUUUCACAAAAAAAAAAAAAAAUACAAAUUGAAACCUUUCAAAAUAUCCAAACAUUGAAAAUUUAGAAUCAUAUGGAAUCUUUUCAAAAUAUUUUCGCAUUUAAAGUAAUUUGUUUUCAGUUUGAAAAUAUAGAAGUAGGGUCACGAAGACAAGUUAGAAGUAGGUGAAUAACACCACCAAAUAGCCCCUGCCUUCAUGAUACAAAACUUAAAUAUUGCUAGACUUUCAUCAAAGGUCAUUGCAAUUUCCAUCUUGAUAUACCAGAUUGGAAAUGAAAUCGAAGCCGAGCUGCAAUUCUAGUGGUCCACUUGAAAGUGAGGAUAUAUGAUGUCAAGGAUGAUGUGAAGUACUUUCUCCAAGAUAAAAAUACCUUAAAUGAAAAAAAAAAGAAAUUCAGACGCAAGGGUUAGGACAAAAACAGAAAAUAGGAACUUGCAAAGAUAUCAGGUUAACCUGUCUGGUCUUCAAUUUCCAUUCGGAAAGAACAAAAAGGAAAGAGAUUUUCCACAAAUAUAGGGUCAAAUUAACCUAAAUCUAUCAUUAGCACCAACCAAAAUUGAUAGUCAAGUGUAGCGAUGAAGCCGCCAUAGUAAUGUUCCAAGCACCAAGAGGACUACAUUGACACUAGUCCUGCAGAGAAAGUUACAUAUGUACGGAAAUUGAUAAAACCGUCAAAGCCUAUAAUGGACGCUACGCCAAGUACCAAUAGCUCCAAAUCCGGGAGGAGGUCUCUUCACGCCAUCACCCGUAGCCAAGGGCCUAGGACCCACCGACAUAGUCGAUAAGGCUUUUUUUGAUAAAGACAUACAACCAAUGUGAUUCGUAUAUAUAGGGAAUAAAUCAACGCGGUAAUCUAGAGUUUAGUCCCUUGACUAACAAGUCGGUUCAGCAUCUGUGUGGAAUGAGGGCAUUUUGUUGAAGAUACUAACCUCAAGAUUAGCUUAGACAAGAGUAGGAAUAUCAAGAAAAUUGGACCAAGCAUCGUGAAAAUAAAAUCUUGUUGGUUCAGCUUUCCAAUGUAUGAAUGACUUUGACACUUGGUUUCUUCCUUUGUUGUUGAAUAGAGCAGUUAAAACUGUGUUCUUGCUUUACCAAUGUCCAGUCCGCCUAUGUUUCAAGUCUAGCUUGAUCACUCAACAUACGAUCUUGAGUUGGAGUGCUCACUGCUCAGAUUCAUUGCAUGUUAUUUAGUUGGACUAGUAGCGUCUUCUUCACUCUAGGGUAUGCCCGUACUCGUCCAUUGGUCUUGGCAUUCGAACUUAAAUAAGACCUAUUGUAUGAUGCCGGCCUAAAUGCUUCUAUCUGCGUAUUCCAUGAAAAUGCCCUGGUCUCAGUAAGUUUCCACAUAUUACUCUGCGCGUUUUUUGACGACUUCUUUGAGAUCUCUUACCUCACCCUCACUCCAAGCACACCCAUAUAUAUACUUCCCCUGUGAAUUAUGUUUCUAAACCUGUCCGCUCGAACCUUGUUUGGUACAGCCAUGGAUAGCAACAACGGUAGUCCAUGAUCGUUCACACGCCCAAUUUUCUUGCUUUGCUUAUCUCUCUGCACCACCCACCUCUGUCUUGGCUCCAACACCAUCUCCACCAACCAGUCCCUCUCCGGCAACCAAACCUUAAUCUCCUCUGGCGGCAACUUCAAGCUCGGCUUCUUCACACCAGGUAACUCCUCGUACUCCUACAUAGGCAUCUGGUACAACAGAAUCAGCGUGCAAACGGUUGUCUGGGUCUCCAACAGAGACAACCCCGACAGGUACUCCACUGGACUUAAGAUCUCGGGUGGCAAUCUUGUAUUGGUCAACGACUCUGAAGUCCUCGUUUGGUCCACAAAUCUGACUCCUUCAUCUGGGUCGAGCUCCAUGGUGGCAGUUCUUGGGGAUGAUGGCAACUUCGCUCUCAAAGACGGGCUGAAUUCUUCCGUGACUCUGUGGCGAGCUUCGAUCACCUGACGCGCACGUGGCUUCGGGGUGCGAAAAUGGGAAUCGACAAGCGCACGAGCACGAGUCAGCUAUUGACAUCAUAGAAGAACGCCGAGGAUCCUUUGACAGGUUUGUUCUCUUUCCAGCUCGAGCCAUCUAGUGAGUACUACAUAUGGUGGAAUAGGAAUGAGCAUUACUGGACCACUGGGGUGUGUGACGAAAAUUUUCUCUUUGGUCCCUGAAAUGAGAUUGAACUAUAUUUACGAUUUCAAAGUUGUGGACAACGAGAACGAGAGCUACUUCACCUAAGUGUACACCAAUGCCAACACCAUAUCAAGGUUUGUGAGGGAUCUUUCUGGGCAGAACAAGAUGGUGUCCUGGUUGCCUUCUUCACUAGCGUGGAACUUGUUCUGGUCUCUGAGAUAGCUAGUAUAAUCACCUAGAGGGGGGUGAAUAGGUGCACAAACAAAUUUUCGAGAUACGAAAGCGAUUUUAGGCAAUCGAUAGAAAAGAAAAUACGAUCAAAGUAAAGUAAAGGUUAGGGAAGAGAGAAAUGAACACAAGAUUUAUAGUGGUUCGGCUUAUUCCAAGCCUACGUCCACUCUUCCGCACUGACAGCCCACCGGCUAGAUUUCACUAUGAACAAAAGAGAAGUUACAGCACCGCUUUUCCUUGAUUCCACAGUGUAGAUGUUUUACCACACUUCCUCAAGGUUUCUCACGAAUAUAGACUCUCUUUUGUUUACACGAUUUUGCUCAACAAAUGAAUUGACUAGGAACAAGAAGCUUCAGACUUUGGAAUUCUUCUAUCGUGCACACUUUCGAACAACUAGAACGUCUUCCUUAUAUACUCCUUCAUGCCAUCAUACCCGUUGGCACUUACCAAAGGAAUUCCUCCAAUCUACCCAUUGGACGGAAUCAAUUAGGAAGAUCAUUCGAGCUAUUAAAGGAACACGUCGAUAGCCCAUCAAUCAUGUUCGCCCAUACAAUCAGGAUCUCGGUUUCCAUAAGUAGAACAUUCCAAGUAUACUUCGUCAAUCAUCGGAUCCUUAAUUUUCGAAUCAAUUAUGAUCAAAUAAAGAAUUCCGUUAUGUUAUAUCCAGCCAAGAGAUCUUUUCCAGUCGAUAAGGCCUCAUCCUUAAUGAAACAUCCAGUUCUGGAUAGCCUUUCUACAACGGAUUAGAAACUGUCAAUGAGGAUAGACUUUGAGUCUUGAGUCUGGCUGUCCGGAGGUCUUCAGACUUUAAAUAGCAGAGUCUGCAAGCCUUCAGACUAGACUGAUGGAAACGUUUUGUCAACUUCAAAACACUUCAAGAGGAAUUUCUCCAACAAUCUCCCCCUUUUUGAUGGUGACAAAACUUUCCUGCAGAUUUGGAAAACUUUGACCUGCAAAACAUUUCUUAAACACAUAUGCAUAUCUUAUAGAUAAAUGGCUAAAUGAAUAACACUAGAAUCUGCAACCACAGAAAAUAGGUUAGUCCAGUAUGCAAUAAAGCCAUCCAUAAGACAUCAAUAGUAGUUAAUAAUAAUCAGUCAAAUCCAAAUCCCAGAUUUAGUCCACAUCCAGACACAAGUCAAGUCAAAACAAACCACAAACCAAACAAGCCAAAAGUUCGACAAAUUUAAGUUCAAAUUUAAGUUCAAAGUUUUUCAAGUCUCGCAACUCUCCCCCUUUUUGUCAGCAUAAAAAAAAUUGAGAUGAAAAUGAAGUCAAGGAUUUUUGGGAACACGAACAAGCUGGAAAUCUCCCAUUGACUGAACGAUGCCUUCCAGCCUUUUAAAGUCUUCCUUUAGCUGAGCAACAUCCUCACCCUUAGCAUUAGCCUGAAUCUAAAGAGAAAGGGCUUGGAUUUGAUCAUUUAAUGAACCCGAAGAGACUUGUCAUGCAUUCUGCAAGUUCUGAACUUCACAUCCCAAUGCAUAUAUCUGACAUUGCAUCUCCAAGAGAAUAUCCAUCACUCUGCGAAAGUCUGCUGAAUUUUCGGUCUGCGUACUGGCAUUAGCACGAUCUGAUGGAGUAAAUGCAGAUGAUGGUAGAUCAGCAUAAUCACGCAGAUUUGGAGAAGAAACCUCAUGACCUUCCUUAGGAAACUGAGAGGCAAAAACUUCCUCUGGAUCUGCUGGGGAUCGAUUGACUCCCUCACUGGUUGCAGGAUUUGAGGUCAUUCCUCUUUUCUCUUGGUCUCCCCCUGUGUCCAUGCCUUCAGGUGGAGAGUGCUCCUCAUGUUCUCCUUCUUCUUGAUCUCUUUUAUCUUCUUCUUAUUUUUCAACUCUCUCUUGCUCAGCAUCUCUUUCUUCUUCUUCUCCUCUUUCCUCUGUUUCUUUUUCCUCUGCUUCUUUCUCUGCUCUUUCUUCUGUCUGCUGUUUUGACUCUUUCUUUGGAACAGAUCGACUGAGAUUCUUCAAAGCAAAAAUAGUGAUGUUUUCCUCAUCAUCUUCAUCCUCAACGAGGAGAGCUCUUCUUCUCUUAGAUGGAGCAUCCAUGGGUUCCUUCCCUUUCCUUUUUCUUGCAGAAGAGAAUUGAUGAGAUUUGACUGGAGUCUUCUCCUUAAAUUUCUCCAAUGCCUUACUUAGUUCCUUCAGACGCAUCUUGGUCACCAUUUUCAGUCCUACCACCAUAUGAUCGCACGAUCGAGCACAAAGAAUUUGCGGAGGCUGAAUGUUCAGAUGUCUGAAUAACUUCGUCACAAGACCUGGAUAAGGAAGUUGUCCUCUGUCCUUCAUCAUAGCUCUAUACAUGUGGAACAUAAUAGUGUGAGGAAGAGAAAACAUUUUCCCAGUGAUGAUAGCAUACAUUAGCUUUGCCUCUGAACUUGAGACAUCAGUCUUGGAAGUUGAUUUCGGUCUGAGGCAAUUUAUUACAAUUUUGUGCAGCAAGAUGUUAAAUGCACUCAUUCUUGAAUAGGAAAUCUUUCCCUCUGUUCUCCUGUCCUUAACCAGUUCCAGAGUAGUACGAGCAAUAGAAACUUUGAUCCGUUGAUAUCUUCCUCUCUCAACUCCUAACACAUCUACCAGCAUAUCCAUAUCCACAACAAAGUCUUGAUCUUUGACACUGAAGGAGAAUCUAUUCGCAUCCAAGAAACUAAGAUUUGAAUAGAAAUAUGCAGUUAGUUGAGGAUAGGCCUCUGUGGAGUCAGAGCAGAAUUUCUCAAGUUGAAGAUGACCUAAUUUUUCCCUCAAGUUCACAUUUACAGCAUCCAGAAAGUCAAAAUCCACACUCCUAGGGUUUAUCACCUCACGCUUCAGCAAUUUUGAGUAUAGAUCCAUCUGUUCCUUCGAUCUAAACAAAUCUCCCAUUUUUCCUUGAUUUUCCGCUGCAAUUCCCAUUCUUGGCUGAAAUUCGCUGUAUAAUUUGUCAUCAUCAUUUCCAUCCACUGGAUUAACUCCCCAAUCACGAGGGUCACUUGGGAUAUUCGCAAGGGAUUCUUCUGCCACACCUUUACGAGCAAUUCCCAAACUUUCCAUUUUAUGCAAAAAGAUAUAUUCAUUUCCAUAUCCUUUGUCCUUAAGAAAAUCAUCCACAUAGUUCAAUGGAGUACCAGUCCCUUUUAAAGCACGAUACAUCUUAUAAAUAAAAGAGGGCCUUUAAACUCUUACAGGGUCUGCAUCCUCAAUGAUUUCUUCAUUUUGAUGAUGAUCAACAUCUUGAGGACUAGAUGGAGGAGAAUGACGCUGCUGAGAAUGUUGUGGGCUCUGCUGCUGAUUUGGAGACACUUCUUCUUCAGUGAGAUCGAAGUGCGUAGGCCCCUCACUCAUUCGCCGUGGUCCCCUGCUUGCGAUCCUUGAUGACUUUCUUGAAAACGACAUCUUUCUUAGUCUUUGAGAGAUUCCUUGCUUGACUUUCCCAAGAAAGAUGACAACUUUUUCGAAGAUUAAACAAGAGAAGAAAACAGGAAUGGAAGAUUGGUGCUUUUUAGGGUUUUGGAGUUAAGCGAGGAGAAAACGACUAUAUAUAAGACAGUCGUAAGGAGAGGAUACCAAUCGUCGUAAUGGUAAGUGAAAAGAUGCCUUUUUAAAAAAAAUAACUGCCUUUUUCAAAAAAUGGUCACAUCAAAAUAACUUCUUUUUAUAAAAGAAAUGAUGCAAUAAUUUCGUCAAUUAAAGAUAGCGAUUGAGAUAACAUACCCUUUUUCAUUUUGAACCUUUUUAGCAAACUUUUCAAAGUAAGAGAAGGUUUCAGACUUACUUGCCAAGAAAUAUACCCAAGUGAAUCGUGAGUAAUCAUCCACAAUUACCAGGCAGUAUUUCUUACCUCCAAUGCUUUGCGUUCUGGUUGGUCUAAAAAGAUCCAUAUGCAGAAGCUGCAAUAUACGGUUAGUGGAAACUUGAUUUAUUGGCUUAAAGAAAUUUCUUACCUGUUUUCCCAAUAUACAUGGUGUACAUAGAUCAGACUUUUGAUACGAUAAAUUAGGUAGACCACGAACAAGCUUCUUUGCUGAGAUUUUGGCUAUUUGCUUCAUAUUGACGUGCCCAAGCUUUCUGUGCCAUAAGUUUGCUUCGUCUUGGAUUGAGAUUAGACAUUGUGAUUCAUCUGGUUUCACAUCCAAGAGGUAGAUAUUUCCAUGUCUUCGACCCAUGAAUGACUGAGUAGAAUCUUUACUAAUUCCAGAACAUAUUCCCUCUUGAAAGUUGAUUUUGAAACCAAUAUCACAUAGCUAACUAAUACUGAGCAAAUUGUAAUUGAGCCCUUCCACUAAGGAAACAUUGCUGAUUUUGAGAUUUCCAAUCUUUACAGUUCCAAAUCCCACAAUUUUUCCUUUGCUGUUUCCUCCAAAAGAAACUUUUCCACCAAUUACUCGAACAAGCUUUAUGAAGAAAUUUGAGUCUCCUGUCAUGUGUCUUGAGCAUCCACUAUCCAGAUACCACUUUACCUUUUUUCUUGAUAGUGGCCUGCAUUUAAAAAAGAAACUCAAGCCUUCUUUGGAACCCAUAUUUUCUUGGGUCCAUUGGUGUUAGUAUGAUAUGCGGUUUUUGCCUAUACAUUUUUAACAGGUUUCCAAAUCAUAGGACAUUCUUUUUCAAAAUGAUCUGCACUAUUGCACUUUGAGCAUCUGAGAGCAUUGCGACCUACUGGUUUUACAAAGAUUCUUUUAAAAUGAUUUUUGUAAGCAUCUCUUGUGGGUCUUUGUUUGAUUCUUUCCUUCACCUUAGGAAAAUCAAUUAAAGGAAUGGUUUCAUCAGUCAUUCCCAAACCAGAUUUAUUAAAAUAAGGUCUUUGAACAGAAAGAAUUUUUUCUAGUUUCUCAGAUCCUAUAGAAAAUCUUUUGGAAAUAUUUGAGAUAUCUCUUUUCAAGAAUGCAUUUUCUUUUAACAAAUUAUCUUCACUUUCUUUAAGAGAAGAAACAUUCUUGUCUAAACUUUUCACUUUUUCUUUCAAAAUAUUUUCCUGUUGUUUUAGAGCAGAAUUUUCUUUCUUGAGUUCGGAAAUCCUUUUAAGAGAAGUCUUAAGACUGAAACACAAUUCAUCAAUAUACUUUGAAACCUUAAUAGGGAUUUUGAAGUUACUUACCUCAAAUUCGCUUUCUGAGUCUGAAUCUGUCUCGGAAUUUGAAUCUGAAUCCGAUUAUGCCAUCAGACAUAUAUUGGCAUAAUCAUCAUCACUUUCUUCACACUCUGUAUCACUCCAUGUUUUAGCUUUAAGAGUUUUUCGGUACUUUUCAGUUUUUCCUUUCUUCUUCCUCAGAAGAGGACAGUUGGGUCUGAUGUGUCCCUUUUUCUUACAUUCAAAGCAUACUACAUCUUUGUUUGAUUCAUCAUCUUCAACAGACUUAGUCUGUUGCUUUUGAAAACUUUGUUUCUUUGGAUUGAAUCUUCUUCAUUUUCUGUUCAGCUUUCUGAAUCUUCUUAUCAUGAGAGCAAGUUCCUCAUCAUCCAUAUCGUUUUCAGAAUCUGUAACAUCAGAAUCAUCAUUAGAUUUUAAUGCAAUGGAUUUCUUACCUUUAGGGUCUUCGUCUUCAUUGAUUCGUUCCACUUCAUAAGACUGAAGAGUCCCAACCAACUCAUCAACAGAUAGAGGCAUGAUUCUUUGGGUCUCUCUGAUUGAGGUCUUUAUGUGAUUCCAAUCAUUGGAAAGUCCACACAGUAGCUUGUUUACUUUCAUGGGAUCAGAAAUUGGUUGACCUUGAUUUUCAAGACCAUUCACAAUUUCAGUAAAGCGACUGAACAUAUCCGUUAUAGAUUCUCCUGGUUUCAUUUUGAAGGCUUCAUAUUGACCGAGGAGAAUGUUGAUUCUGGUCUCUUUCACUCGAUCGCUUCCUUCAUAGGUAAUAUGUAAUCUAUCCCAUACUUCUUUAGCUGUAACAUAAGAAGAUAUUCUAUUAUAUUCAGUAGGGGAUAAAACACAAUAUAAAAAAUAAAUUGCUUUUACAUCAAGAGCUUGUCUCUUGAUUUUCUCUUCCUGAGUCAUUUUGCUAGACUCAACAGCAUCUUUUCCUCUUUCUGAGACAGAUGCAGCUUUAGGAAUGAUUCCUUUUUCUGCAACGUCCCAUUCCAAAGGAUCCUUUGAUCUUAGGAAUGCUUUCAUCUUGUUUUUCCAUAUGUUGUAAUCCUUUCCAUCAAAGUAAGGUAGUCUAGUAUUGCUUUGCCCUUCUACCAACCCUGGAGCCAACAUACUAGCCAUGGAUCUUUAACUCUGAAGUAAAACACUUCAAACAAAGUGAGUACACAGGCUCUGAUACCAAUUAAGAUAGCUAGUAUAAUCACCUAGAGGGGGUGAAUAGGUGCACAAACAAAUUUUCGAGAUACGGAAGCGAUUUUAGGGAAUCGAUAGAAAAGAAAAUACGAUCAAAGUAAAGUAAAGGUUAGGGAAGAGAGAAAUGAACACAAGAUUUAUAGUGGUUUGGCUUAUUCCAAGCCUACGUCUACUCUUCCGCAUUGACAGCCCAGCGGCUGGAUUUCACUAUGAACAAAAGAGAAGUUACAGCACAGCUUUUCCUUGAUUCCACAGUGUAAAUGUUCUACCACACUUUCUCAAGGUUUCUCACGAAUAUAGACUCUUUUUUGUUUACACGAUUUUGCUCAUCAAAUGAAUUGACUAGGAACAAGGAGCUUCAGACUUUGGAAUUCUUCUAUCGUGCACACUUUCGAACAACUAGAACGUCUUCCUUAUAUACUCCUUCAUGCCAUCAUACCCGUUGGCACUUACCAAAAGAAUUCCUCCAAUCUACCCGUUGGACGGAAUCAAUUAGGAAGAUCAUUCGAGCUAUUAAAGGAACAUGUCGAUAGCCCAUUAAUCCUGUUCGCCCAUACAAUUAGGAUCUCGGUUUCCAUAAGUAGAACCUUCCAAGUAUACUUCGCCAAUCAUCGGAUCCUUAAUCUUCGAAUCAAUUAUGAUCAAAUAAAGAAUUCCGUUAUGUUAUAUCCAGCAAAGAGAUCUUCUCCAGUCGAUAAGGCCUCAUCCUUAAUGAAACAUCCAGUUCUGGAUAGCCUUUCUACAACAGAUUAGAAACUGUCAAUGAGGAUAGACUUUGAGUCUUGAGUCUGGCUGUCCGGAGGUCUUCAAACUUUAAAUAGCAGAGUUUGCAAGCCUUCAGACUAGACUGAUGGAAACGUUUUGUCAACUUCAAAACACUUCAAGAGGAAUUUCUCCAACAGUCUCAGCCCCAGCAACAAUGCGAGGUGUACAAACUUUGCGGGCCUUUUGGUGUUUGCAGCGAGGGUACUGACAAUUUCUGCAACUUCUUGCCAGGGUUUAGCAUAAGCUCUUUGAGUGAUUGGUCUGGCAGCUGCAAGAGGGAUUCGGACUUGAAUUGUGCGGCAAAUGCUUCAAAUGCGGAGAAAGACCAUUUCUUGCUAAGGUCGAAAAUGAAAUUGCCUGAUGAUCCCCAAUCUUUAGUUGUUAGGAGCAAUCAGGAAUGCUGAGCUGCUUGUUUGAGCAAUUGCUCUUGCACGGCUUAUGCUUUCAAGGAUAAUGCCUGCUCAAUUUGGAUUGGAGAUCUCUUCAAUGCACAACAACUCGCACAAGGCGAUACCACUGGAAGUAGCUCCUAUCUCGGGCUUGUUGCCUCCACUGUUGAGGAUCCAAGCAAGAAGAGCAAUGUGAGUGCCGUGGUUGCUGGGUCUGUUAGCACCACGAUAGCCAUAUUAGCCAUUGUCUUGUUCGGCAUUUGGAGAUGGAGGAGAAGGGCAAUUGUAACUACAAAGACAGUGGAGGGUUCACUGAUAGCUUUUGCAUACAGGGACUUGCCAGUAGCAACAAAGAAUUUCUCAGAGAAGUUGGGUGGCGGCAGGUUCGGUUCAGAUUUUAAAGGAACAUUCCCGAUUCAAUUCACAUAGUGGUCAAGAAGCUUGAAAGCAUAAGCCAAGGAGAGAAGAAAUUCCAAACAGAAGUAAUCACAAUCGGCACCAUCCAGCAUGUGAAUCUUGUAAGAAUUAUUGUGACCCACAUGAUAUGAUUUAUUAUAUGGUUUAAUAAUUAUUGAAAUGCUAUAAAAUAAAUAAUUAUUGGUUACGAGAAGUUGCGACUUUAAUAAACGAAAUUGUAUAUUGCUUUGAUGGAAGGCACAUUUUCAAUGAACGUAUAUAUAGAGUCCGGUCCUCUCUCCACUCACAAUAAACAACAAUAACUGAAAAGGAAUUUGGUAUUCUCUCCUCCAUCGAUUGAAUACAUUAAGGAAUAGUGGGUUAAGGGAGAGAAAUUGGAUUUCUUCAUUUGGUUCGAGUUCUUUGGAUUUACUACAAUGAUCAUCAUCAAGCAUAGCGCUAUGGAUAAAGGUAUGUCUUCAUCUAAUUGUGAAAAUCAUGAAGAUCAAAAGAUCAUUGUUUAUUUUGAAUUUCCGCAUCAAGUAUUAUAUGAAUUAUCUAACAGUUGGUAUCAGAGAGUUUGGUUUAUGAUAUCAUGAUUUUUCCGUUUAAAGAAAUAUUAUAGUUUAUGUUUGAUGAUUCGUUGAACGAUCCUGUUCGUAUUGUUUAUUGUUGUUAAAAUGUUUUCAGAUGAUUAUGGAUAAAGAAAAUCCGAAUGAUGGAAUGUUCUUCAUGGACGAAAAUGGCAAAUAAAAGUUACUGUGCGCGAGUGGAAAAGGACGAAAAUGGAAAAAUUCGGAAUUUUGAGGGCAAGUAAGAAACUCGCCGAUUUCGGGGAAAAUCCAGUCACCCACCGCUUGAUUUCGGACUCACACCGUCGCACUACCAUGAGGAACAUUAGCCAUGAGUUUUUCCAGUAUAUCGGUGUUCGCCGGAGGCUAAUCGAGUGGCGGAAGCCGUGUUGGUGGACUUUUUGUGUUCUGAAAAUUUUGGUUUGUUUUGGGGCCAAUUUUUUGUCAUUUUCUCCGAAACUUGGACCCAUGUGGUCAUGCCGGCAUGCUCUUCAAAACCCAUUAUUUAUUUGUGUCUGGGAUGGGCUACCGAAGAAGAAACGGCCGGCGAAACCGCGGCGGAACGGCGAAAAACGGCGAAGAAUCGUGUCUGUGCACGAGGAAGAGGGCGUGUGGGCUCCACGCGCGCGCUGCGGUUGUAGGCGCGUGGGACCCACGCGUCACGCGCCGUCACGUGCGCGCAAGCGCUGCGCGCGUGGGAUCCACGCGCGCGGGGCUUCCCGUGCGGUUGCAGGCGCGUGCAACGCAAGCGCCUACGCAUUGGGCACGCGCGUGCCCCGCACGCGCCCGCGGCGGAUGAAGGCGCAUGCUCGGUAUGCGCCUGACGUCCCCGCGCGCCCUUUUUACGUUUUUGCCCCUAUGUCAUUUUUAAAAUUUCCAUUUUGUCCUUCUUGCAAUUUAUUUACUGUUCUGCCCUUGCUUAAUUUAUAAUUACGAUUCUUCCAUUGCUGAUUAUUUACCAUUUUGCCCCUGGAUUAUAAUUUUAUGAUUUUGCCCUUAUGGAAUUAUGAUUUUACAAUUUUACCCUUAUGCUUUAAUUACUGUUUUGUCCUUAUGUGCAAUUUGGUAAAUAUUUGUAUUUUACAAUAUUAAAAAUCCAUAUUAUGAAUGGUUUAUUAGUCACCAAAGUGGCCGAACCUUGAAGUCUUUUGAUAUUUUGAUAUUGUAAAUUAUUUUAUUCAAUUACCCAUGAUUAAUUGAUGCUAUAUAUGAAAUUGAUAUGUUUUAUAUUAUUAUUAUUGGAGUUAUGGGUAUAUUGAAGUUCAUUUAUUAUAAGAAUUUAGUGAUUAACCCAAAGGUUAAUUAUUUUCUUAUAAUUCAUGAACAUGAUGGUUGAUAAUUAAUGUGACUUGUUAAAUUUGUUUAUAUAUCCAAAGAUAACAAAUAAAUUUUAAUAAGAUAUAUUUACAAUUAUCAAAUAAAAGUUAUUAGCAUCAUUAUGGUAUAUAUAUCCUUGUUUAUCAUAGGAUCGGCCAAAGGAGAACUAUGAUGUACAUGUGUCGUUUAGUUUGAAUUUGAUUAUGUGAUAUUCUCAAAGCAUUAAUGUAUGAGUAUUUUCUUGCACAUUUGCAGUAUCUGUACCUAUUUCACUCCAUUCGCACGCCUCAUCUGUUCCUUUAUUCAAUGGGAUAAAUUUUCCUAAUUGGAGUGAACAAGUCUAGUUUCACUUAGGUGUCCUGGAUCUUGAUUUAGCACUUCAAGCUGAGAAACCAGCUGCUAUUACUGAUGAAAGUAGCAAUGAUAAAAAGUCUUUCCAUAAAGCUUGGGAAAGAUCGAACAGACUGAACUUAAUGUUCAUGCGAAUGACAGUUGCUAACAACUUAAAGACUUCUCUUCCCAAGACUAACAAUGCUAAGGAAUUCAUGAAGUUUGUGGAAGAGCGUUCUCAAACUGCUGAUAAGUCACUUGCUGGUACAUUGAUGAGCACACUAACCACCAUGAAAUAUGAUGGUUCGCGUACCAUGCAUGAGCAUAUACUUGAGAUGACGAAUUUAGCAGCAAAGUUAAAGACUUUGGGAAUGAACGUGGAUUAGUACUUUUUAGUACAAUUUAUACUUAAUUCCUUGCCUCAUGAGCAAUAUGGGCCAUUUCAAAUGAAUUACAACACUAUAAAGGAUAAGUGGAAUGUAAAUGAAUUGGCCAGUAUGUUAGUUCAAGAGGAAACAAGGAUAAAAAAUCAAAAGGCUCAUUCUAUUCAUCUCUCAAGUCAUCAAGAAGUUCGAAAGAAUUUCAAGAGGAAAGGUGGAAGGAGCAAGAAGAAAGGACUACACGUCCUGAAUGACUCUUUAAAGGCUUCUCAAAUCCACAAGAAGGAACACAAUCUUAUUAAGUGUCAUUUUUGCAACAAAAUUGGACACUUGAAGAAAGAUUGUCUGAAAUGUAAGGCUUGGUUCGAAAAGAAAGGUAAGCCUUGUGCUUUAGUAUGUUUUGAAUCAAACUUUACUGAAGUUCCUCAUAAUACUUGGUGGAUUAAUUCUGGUGCCAGCACUCAUGUGUCAAAUACAAUGUAGGGAUUUCUUACGAUCCAAACUAUAAAGCCAAAUGAAAGUUAUGUGAUUACGGGGAACAGAAACAAAGCUCCAGUUGAAGGCAUUGGCACUUAUCGUUUGAUCUUAGAUACUAGGCAUUAUUUAGAUUUGUUUCGAACCCUUUAUGUACCUACAUUUUCUCGCAAUUUAGUUUCUUUGCCAAGACUUGAUGUGGCGGGAUUUUAUUGUAAGUUUGGAUAUGAAUGUGGCGGGAUUUUAUUGUAAGUUUGGAUAUGAAUCUUUCAGUCUAUUUAAGAGUGAUAAUCAUAUUGGAACUAGAACUUUAUGUGAUGGUCUCUACAAAUUUAGACUUGAUAAUACUUUUGUUGAGAUAUUAAUGACCUUGCAUCAUAAUGUUGGCACUAAACGAAGUUUGGUGAAUGAAAAUUCUGCUUACUUGUGGCAUAAACGUUUGGGUCAUAUAUCCAAAGAAAGGAUGCAAAGAUUAGUGAAGAAUGAAAUUCUUCCAAAUUUGGAUUUUACUGACCUUGGAGUGUGUACUGAUUGUAUUAAAGGUAAACAAACAAAACAUACUAAGAAAGGUGCCACAAGAAGCAUAGAGCUUCUUGAAAUUAUACAUACUAACAUAUGUGGUCCUUUUGAUGUUCCAUCUUUUGGUAAGGAAAGCUAUUUCAUAACCUUUAUUGAUGAUUUUUCACGUUAUGAUUACAUUUGUCUAUUGCAUGAUAAGUCUCAAUCAGUGAAUGCACUUGAAGUGUAUAUUAAAGAGGUUGAGAGGCAAUUAGAUAGAAAUGUGAAAAUAGUAAGAUCGGAUAGAGGCGGUUAAUAUUAUGGAAAGUAUGAUGAAUCGGGACAAUGUCCAGGUCCAUUUGCUAAAUUCCUUGAAAGACAUGGCAUUUUUGCUCAAUACACAAUGCCAGGUACACCACAACAAAAUUGUGUAGCAGAAAGGCGUAACAGUACUUUAAUGGAAAUGGUUAGGAGUAUGAUGAGUCAUUCAUCUUUACCCUUGUCUUUGUGGAGGUAUGCUUUAAAGACUUCUAUGUACUUAUUAAAUAGGGUUCCCAGUAAAGCAGUUCCAAAGACUCCAUUUGAACUGUGGACGGGAAGGAAACCUAAUUUACGACACCUGCAUGUUUGGGGUUGUCAAGCAGAAGUAAGAAUUUAUAAUCCACAUGAAAGAAAAUUGGAUUCAAGAACGACCAGUGGUUAUUUCAUUGGUUAUGCAGAGAAAUUCAAAGGGUAUAAAUUUUAUUAUCUAAAUCGUAGUACAAGAAUUGUUGAAUCUGGAAAUGUUAGGUUCAUUGAGAAUAGUGACAUCAAUGGGAGUGAAAGAAUGCGUGAUGCUUGCAUUCAAGAAGUAAGGGUAGAAGUUCAUAUGCCUAAAGCUUAUAAAGUUGUUGUUCCUGAUAUUGUAGUACAAUCUAACAAUAAUCAAGAACAACAAAUUAAUGAACAAACACUCGAUAAUGGAGAUGUCAAUAAUGAACCUCCAAUAGCCGAGUCACAAGAAAUAGCAUUAAGGAGAUCUCAAAGAGAAAGGAGGUCAGCUAUUUCUGAUGACUAUAUGGUUUAUCUACAAGAGUCAGAAAUUGACUUAGGAAUUGGAAAUGAUCCAGAUUCAUUUUCCCAAGCCAUGGAAUGUGAAGAUUCUAAUGAAUGGUUUAAUGCCAUGGAAGAAGAGUUAAAAUCCAUGCAUCAAAAUCAAGUUUGGGAUAUUGUUGAAUUGCCUAAAGGAUGUAAGAAGGUCGGGUGUAAAUGGGUUUUUAAGACCAAGCGCGACUCAAAAGGCAAUAUUGAACGACAUAAAGCUAGACUUGUUGCAAAGGGUUUUACUCAGAAAGAAGGCAUUGACUAUAAAGAGACAUUUUCACCAGUCUCUAAGAAGGACUCACUUAGAAUUAUUAUGGCUUUGGUAGCUCAUUAUGACUUGGAGUUACACAAAAUGGAUGUAAAAACCGUCUUUCUUAAUGGGAAUUUAGAAGAAGAGAUUUAUAUGGACCAACCCAAAGGCUUUUCAGUUAAAGGAAAGGAACACAUGGUAUGUAAAUUAAAGAAGUCAAUAUAUGGACUUAAACAAGCUUCCCAACAAUGGUAUCUUAAGUUUAAUGAUACCAUAACUUCAUUUGGAUUUAAGGAAAACACCGUUGAUCGGUGUAUAUAUAUGAAGAUUAGUGGGAGCAAGUUUAUUUUUCUAGUUCUGUAUGUUGAUGAUAAUUUUGCUUGCUGCUAAUGAUCUUGGUUUGUUACACGAAACCAAGAAAUUUCUCUCUAAAAAUUUUGAAAUGAAGGAUAUGGGAAAGGCAACAUAUGUGAUAGGAAUAGAAAUAUUCCGUGAUAGAUCACGAGGAUUAUUAGGAUUGUCUCAGAAAGCCUACAUUGAGAAAAUUCUAGAGAGAUUUAAUAUGAGUAAAUGUUCAGCAGGAAUAGUUCCAAUUCAGAAAGGUGAUAAAUUUAGCCUUAUGCAAUGUCCGAAAAGUGAAUUGGAAUGAGAACAAAUUAAUAAUAUUCCUUAUGCAUCUGUUGUGGGGAGCUUAAUGUAUGCACAAACUUGCACCAGACCAGACAUCAGUUUUGCUGUCGGAAUGCUGGGCAGGUAUCAAAGUAAUCCUGGAAUGAAUCAUUGGAAAGCUGCAAAGAAAGUUCUUAGAUACUUGCAAGGAACGGAGAAUCAUAUGCUCACUUAUAAAAGAUCUGAUCAUCUCGAGGUGAUUGGAUAUUCAUAUUCAGAUUUAGUCGAAUGUGUCGAUACAAGAAAAUCAACAUUUGGUUACUUGUUUCUUCUAGCUGGAGGGGCAAUUUCAUGGAAGAGUGCGAAGCAGUCAGUUAUUGCUACAUCCACUAUGGAAGCUGAAUUUGUGGCAUGUUUUGAGGCCACAAUUCAUGGAUUAUGGCUGCAGAAUUUUAUUUAAGGGCUUGUGAUUGUUGACAGUAUUGCCAAGCCGCUGAAAAUUUAUUGUGAUAACUCUGCAGCAGUUUUCUUCUCUAAGAAUGAUAAGUAUUCUAAUGGUGCUAAGCAUAUGGAGAUCAAAUACUUGUCUAUCAAAGAAGAAGUUCAGAAACAAAGAGUGUCAAUUGAGCACAUUAGCACUAAUCUUAUGAUAGCAAAUCCCUUAACAAAAGGACUGCCGCCCAAAACAUUUAAUGAGCAUGUUGAAAAGAUGGGCGUUAUUGGACGUCAUUAAUGUUUGUAUUAUGAUUGAAUUGAGUUUAUGUAUUUGACACUUUGAGCUCACUUACGUGUUUCUGAUAUUUCCUGUUUUUUAUUUAGUAUACAAUAUGGAAAUAGAUGAAUGUUAAACAGGAUAGUUUCUAAAGAAACAUUAUGGUUGGACUAUUACUGUACUUCUCAUUUAUGGAUCAUGUUAAGUAAAGUGCUAUAGUUGUAGUACAUAGAAGGGACUAUGUCGAUUAAUGACAUACAACCGCUAUGACUCGCAUUAGUUUUCUUUACUUAAUUCUGAUUAUUAUGUGAUUGCCAAUUUAAUGAAAUUUUAUAGCAUAAUCUUAUUGUGCACAUUAUAGUCUUUAUUAAACCAUGAAAGGAGAAUCAUAUGGGCCAAGUGGGAGAAUGUAAGAAUUAUUGUGACCCACAUGAUAUGAUUUAUUAUAUGGUUUAAUAAUUAUUGAAAUGCUAUAAAAUAAAUAAUUAUUGGUUACGAGAAGUUGCGACUUUAAUAAACGAAAGGGUAUAUUGCUUUGAUGGAAGGCACCUUUUCAAUGAACGUAUAAAUAGAGUCCGGUCCUCUCUCAACCCACAAUGAACAACAAUAAUUGAAAAGGAACUUUGUCACGCCCCGACCCUCAGGCACGCACACAUCCCUUACUUUUGGUCGAUUUAAAAAUGCGAUAUCCCAGGACUAUGUAUCGCCGACCCUUUCAUUUAUAUAUGCACAUGCGGAAGCAGUUAUAAUUCCCUAGACAAUAAAGCAAUGGGAUAGAAAAGCAGGCCAUACAUUUUUCAUACUAAAAGUUCACAACUACAACUUUUUACAUGCAAACAAGGUCUGACAAUACUGGACGGGAUCUUAGUCCUCAUCCGGGUCGUACUCGGGGUCCUCCUCCACGUACUCCUCUUCGGGUUCCUCAUCAGGGACCUCCUCAUCAGAUUCAUGCUCCUUAGGCUCCUCAUCCAGGUCCUGAAAUGGUUAUUCAAUAACCACUGAGACCACGUCUCAGCAAGUUCUACUCCCUAAGACCCGAUUAGUAAACUAAUACACCUUAGGGCUGCCUACGCACAACAUGAGUCAGAGGACGUACCUUAGCCUCAGAUUCCACCUGCAUAUUAGUACAGAUUAAAUAGGCACACAAGCAAGCACAUCACAGAUCGAAGCAUCGAUCUAAUCGACUUAGUCGAUUUCACAUCAGGAAGACCACUCACGAUCAUCUCCCUUCAAUCAUUCAAUUCAACACAUCGAACCAAGGCAAUGAAUCAUAUCAAGACAUUCUCAGAUCGAAUCAUCGAUCAAUUGACCUAGUCAAAUCAUUUCUAGGUCAUUCAUCCAACACCAAGCAAUUCCUUAGAUUUAGUGGCUUUACGGUCCCACCCGACCCUCUCGAGAACUAGUGGCUUUACGGUCCCACCCGACCCUCUCGAGAACUAGUGGCUUUACGGUCCCACCCGACCCUCUCGAGAACUAGUGGCUUUACGGUCCCACCCGACCCUCUCGAGAACUAGUGGCUUUUCGGUCCCACCCGACCCUCUCAAGAACUAGUGGCUUUACGGUCCCACCCGACCCUCUCGAGAACUAGUGGCUUUUCGGUCCCACCCGACCCUCUCAAGAUGUCAUACUAUGUCACCGAGCCACGUGCAUUCUCCAGGAAGACAUACCGAGUCUCCGAGCCACGUGCAUUCUCUAAGGCUAUCUUUUCGCCAAGAUGACAUAUCAAAUCACCGAGCCACGUGUCCUUCCCAAGUGAUAUUCCAAUUCACUGGGCCACGUGCAUCCUCAAGGUGAUUUACCAACUCACUUUCGAUACUAACAACCGAUAUCCGACCAAUUCUCAAUCACAAGGCCAAAAUUGCAUUAUUGAAUAACAUACUUAAAAAUGCACCAUUAAAUCAAUUCGACACGAAUUAAAGCUCAAAUAAGUAAACGGACUGCUCCACGACAAUCAGCACGAAAUUCCGGUCACUGGCCAUCCCAGUUGAAUUUCCGGAAAAUAAAUAAUUAAACAAUUAAUUUCGAAAAUUAAAUAAAUAAAUACAAUAAAUUCAAUUUAGCACAAUAUAAAGCUCAAUUAAAUAAACGGACUGCGCCACGAUCAUCAGCAUAAAAUCCUGGUCACUGGCCAUCCCAGUUGAAUUUCCGGGAAAUAAAUAAUUAAAUAAUUAAUUUCGAAAAUUAAUAUUUAAUUCCUAAAAAUACGACAUAAGCCCAAAUCGCUUAAUUAACACCCGAUAAGGGACGGGAAAAAUCCCAAGAAGCAUCCAAUAAAUACUACAAGCAAUUCUCUAUCUAAUUACACUAAUCACACAACUAAUAUGCAAACCAAUUAACUAAUAAUCACUAAUCAAUUCUAAUCUAACAACCUAAUUACACUUAAUUAACACUAAUCAACCUUUAAGUAUAAUUAGCGCACUAAGAAGGCAUUAGUGAGUAAAACUCACUCAAAACGACGGGCUCGACGCGAGGAUCGACUUUCCUCAAAGCGGGCCGAGCAUCCGGGCUCGGGAAGGCGGCCAAAACGGGCCAAACAGUUGCUGCAAACCCAUUUCUGCAGUCCUCUGAUCGCUGCUGGUUGGAGGCGAAGGUGGGCGGAUCCGAGGCUGGUUGAGCUCGGGAAUGGGCGGAGGAGCUGAACAAGACCAAGGCGAGUCUUCACGGUGGCCGGAGGUGGUCGGAGGAAGCUCCGGCGGGUCUUGCACGAGCUGGACAGAGGCGGAACAGGGGUUGGACAGCAGCUCUGGAACAGCGAGCUGGGCGAGAGGGAGACCGAGCUGAGCGAUGCAGCGGCGGAGCGCACGGCGUCGCGCGGGCGGCGGUGCGGCAGCUCCGGUCCAGCAACGCCAGCUGCUGCCUCAACUCCGGUGUCCUCCAAGAUCUGGAACCCCGAGCAGCAAACGGAGAGGAAGACAGAGGGUGGACGGCGUUCAAGCGGGCGGGCAGGAGACGGACGGCAGCAGCGUUCCGGCACGACGGCGAAGGCAGCUCUGGCGUGACGGUGAUGGCGGCUCCUGCUUCGAACAACAUAGCUACUGUCCCUGCUUCUGCUUCGUUCGAACCAGAGGAGGGAGAGGGGGCGGAGAUGUGCAGACAGCAGCACGGCAGCGGGCUUGGGUGCACGGGAGCAGCUCCGGUGGCUUGCGGGCGUGCGACGGCGGCGGCGAGAGGCGGCGACGGGCGAAGCUGCUGUUGCUGCUUCGGCUGCUCUGGUCUUCGCACAGCCAUGGCACGAGCAGCAAGAAGGGGGAGAGAGGGUGUCGACGGAAGAGAGAAGAGAAGAAGAGAAAACCAAAUUUUCUUUCUCUUUCUCUCACUCUCUCUCUCUCUUAGGUCAGCCAUACGUGGGCCACCAUGGCUGUCAUCCACCCACAUUUCUAGCCCAAAACUACCCCUUCUAGAAGCAUUUAGGUAGGCCAAAGUUUGGGGUAGAGGUGGCAUACGAAUUUUGCCAAGUUCUCUUCCCAAUUGGACCUUAAUCCCUCUUGAUUCAAUUUAAAUUGACUCCUAUAAUUUCAUUUAACACCUCGUCAUUCCAAUUGGUAUUUUUCCUUACCAAUAUAGCCCACUUGCAUCCCAAUUCCACAAUCCUUAGCUUCAACUGAACCAAAGCGGCCCUAUUUAUCCAGUCGAAAUUAGGACCCGAAAAUCUGGAUGUCACAAACUUGGUAUUCUCUCUUCUAUCGAUUGAAUACAUUAAGGAAUAGUGGGUUAAGGGAGAGAAAUUGGAUUUCUUCAUUUGGUUCGAGUUCUUUGGAUUUGCUACAACAAUCAUCAUCAAGCAUAGCGUUAUGGAUAAAGGUAUGUCUUCAUCUAAUUGUGAAAAUCAUGAAGAUCAAAAGAUCACUGUUUAUUUUGAAUUUCCGCAUCAAGUAUUAUAUGAAUUGUCUAACAAAUCUUGUCAGGCUUCGUGGGUUCUGCUCUGAAGGUUACACAAGGCUGUUGGUCUACGAUUUCAUGCCAAAUGGUUCUUUAGACUAUCAUGUCUUUCAUAGAAAGGACUUGAAGACCUUGGAUUGGAAAACGAGGUACCAAAUUGCUUUGGGAACGGCUCGAGGUCUGGCUUAUCUCCAUGAAAAGUGCAGAGACUGCAUCAUACAUUGUGACAUCAAGCCAGAGAACAUCCUUCUAGAUGCUGAUGUAUGUCCAAAAGUGGCAGAUUUUGGCAUGGCAAAGCUUGUUGGCCGAGAUUUCAGCAGGGUGUUGACAACCAUGAGAGGCACAAGAGGGCAUCUUGCGCCGGAGUGGAUCUCUGGAGUGGCCAUAACAGUAAAAUCUGAUGUUUAUAGCUAUGGGAUGAUGCUUUUUGAGUUUGUGUUGGGAAGGAGGAAAUUAGAGCUAUCGGAAAAUGGGGCCAUCAAGUUCUUCCCAACAUGGGCUGCUAGUAAAUUAGCCGAAGGAGGUGACCUGCUUAAUCUUUUGGACCCAAACUUGACGGCAAAUGCCAAUACUGAAGAGCUAACUAGGAUUAGCAGAGUUGCUUGUCGGUGUGUCCAAGAUGGGGAAACUCACAGGCCAUCGAUGGGGCAGGUUGUUCAAAUACUCGAGGGGGUGUUGGAUGUGAUCCUGCCCAGGAUACCGAGUCCUUCAACUGUUUCUUAGUAAUCAGGAGCAUGUAGUUUUUUUCACUGAGUCGUCAUCGUCGAACCAGAGUUCCCAGAUGAGGAGUAACAACCUAAAAUGCUUCCUUGCAGAAGCAAAAUAGUUCAUCUUCAACAAAGUCCAAGUCUUGAGGAUGAUAAGAUAAGAGCUUAGUACAAGAAGUGCUUCCGUUAGUGCAUAUACUCUUCUACUUUUUCUGUAGUCAACAAAGAAUCUCAGCAUUUGGGGAUUGGCUUUCUUGGGGCUUUUUUCCCUAGCUAUUUUUGUUACGUAUAACUACAAGCGAGCUUGGAUGAUCGGUUGUAAAGAUCCUUCGCUCUGUAUAAUGAUCUGUUCUCUGCUUUUUGAGAUCCAAGGUGAUAUUGGUAAUUAGCAUCGAAAAAUUUCUGAUAAUUUUGGCACUGGAAUUGGGAUCUAACGUAUUGGUAUCACCUAGCUUGGAUCCCAGCUAGUGUCUCACAUGGUUCUAAAAUCUGCCCCCAUCGCAUGCAAAGCAAGCUGUAAGGUUUGGCAUUUCUAAUUUAUAACUCCUUUUGCUACUUGCUUGGUUUAUACAAUGAGUCAUGGUAUGAAAAUCACCCUUGAAACUACGGCUUGCUAGGACCGGAAUAUUAGAUCAUGAUAAUUUCCAACUGAUCUAUGUAUUACUAGCAGAUCCUAUUGUUGAAGCUGUAGGAUGUUAAUGCCCGCUCCAUUUUUCACAUAGCAUUUAUAUCUCUUCUAAGGUUGAGUUUUUUUAAUCACCUCAUUGCUUUAUGUUUCGAAUAUGAGUACUCGAACCUUUUAGCAAAACUGAUUUAUAACGUGUGGAUGAGACUUUUGUUGGGUGCUCUUACUCAAUUUAUAAGUUCUGUAAAACCAAAUUCAGUAUCUCAAUGUUAUUUGUUAAAAAUCUCUAUUGUUUGUUCUGGUGGGAAAUUGGUUGAGUUUCUCGUUUCAAUCGGGUUGAUCCAAACAGUAUUUUCCAUUGCAAGUGGGGAUUAAAUGCAAGUCCAAGUCCACUUUAAUUUAUCGUUGAAGAAGCCUGUUUUGGAAGGCCUAGCUUUUAUUUUUCAGUUCAUAAUCUAUUCAGAUCAAGGCUAAUCUUGUUCGGCCUUCACAAUACCAUAGUCCCCUCACUUUUGCCAAGCUUCCCCUCAUUUGUUUUUCCUUUUUGCCAUUACACCUUUUUCUUUUCCUUUCUCCUAUACACAAUUCUUUAAAUACUUUCAAUAUGAUGUGUUGUUUUUUUUUUUGGUAAGGGUCGAUAUGAUGUGUUGUUUCACUUUUCUUGUGGUAAUUAUUUUACUAUUAUCGUUGAUCCUUCUCUAGUGAGGAAAAAAAUACCAAAAAAGUCAUAAAUAUAUUACAUUAGUACCAAUUUAAUGUUAAAAUUUUUCACAUUAGUACUAAUUCGGUCCAUCUGGCCAAUUUUGGCUGGCCAGUGUUGAUGUGCACGUCAGCCAAAAUUGGGCUGAUGGACUGAAUUGGUACCAAUAUAAAAAAAUUUAGGAUUGAAUUGGUCUAAUUAAAAGAUUUAGAACUGAAUUGAUAUCAAUGCAAUAGGUUUAUGACUUUUUUUUAUACUUUUCCCUUCCAGAUGCUAGAGGUGCUAUUAUAAUAUCUUAACUUCCUUUAGCAAUAAAAAGACGUGUAAUCUGCUUAAAUCUUUAUUUAGUUGUGCUUCUACAAAAAUCAACCCUCUUUAUGAUCAUUUAUUUUAAAGUUAUAUCUCAAAUUUGAAUUCGUGAAAGAAAUCUAACUAGAGAUGAAUUGUAAGAAACUAGGUCAAUUAAGGAAAAUCCUAAAGGCGAAUAUUUCUGGACGUCGGUAAUGGAAAUCUAGAUUUCAUAUUUGGCGUCAGAGUCCAAAGUGCAAAUUUGGACAUUAAGUUGCUGAUUCGUUAACUCCAACAAAAGGCCAGAACUUGUAGAUUAUGAAAAUCAAUUUCCGCAUGGGAGUUGGUCAACACAACAACCGAACAAGAAAGAUCGGAGUUGGACUGGGUUUCUUCUUCAAUCGGUCAACUUGGCUAUUAUAUACGGAAUAACACCUUGAAAAAUCCAAAAUUGACAUAUUUAUAACAAAUUUACCAAAAUCUAAAUUUAUCCAAAUUUGUACACCUACGAUAAAUUCACCUUAAAUAAUUUUUUUAACUAUAAAAAAUCUCAAACUAGCACAUUUGUCACAAAUAGAGAGUAAAAUCCAAAAUUGAUACAACAUUAAUUGUCAAAUGUCAUUCAAUUCAACAAUUUGAUAAUAAAAUUUGAAGGAAAUUAAUGGACGGUAAAUUUGUUACAAGUAUAUCAAAGUUUUAGAUAAAUUUUAUUACCGGUUCAUGAUUUAUUAUGAAAUUACCAUAAAUAUAAAUAUACAAUUGUGGAUUGCUCAGUUGGUUAUGAAGAAAUAUUAAAGUGUAGUUCUUAGUGAAUGUCAAGGGAAGUUCUAUAUUUGUUAGUGACGGCCAAUUGGCACUGCAGGUUUGGUAGUGGGUUCUUCAUGGAAUAACAUUAAUAGCUUAUGUGUUGGACUCAAUUAAAUCUUGUGAGGAUUUAUUUAAUUCAUUUUUGAGAUUGAGAUAUUAUUUCGUGAAGAAUUGUAAGUUUAAAUACUACGUGAAUUAUUGAGUAUAAUUGGAUCUUGGAAAACAUAAGAAUGUUUGAGUAAUUUGAGUUUGGUUGUACUUUUCAUUGGAUUGCUCGAUCUAGAGUGAAUUCUUUGCUGCUCUCUCCAUUGACAUAUGUCACAUCAAUAGAAUCAUUUAAAUUUGGUGUCCAAUUUAUUUUCUUAUUUUGUCUAUUUCAUUGUUCGAUCAAUUAGAUUCCACAAUAAUUUAAAAGAUCAAGGCAUUGAUAAACGGUCUCUCUACUUUUGCUCAAUAAUCAAAGUCAUUCUUUUAAUAUCUUUUAAGAAAAAAAAUCACAAAAACUCCAUAUUUUGUCGAUUGUGAUAUGUUUACUCUAAACUAUUUUUGGUGACACCAAAAACUCUAAAUUUAUACUUGUAUGACACAUUUAUCCUAAUUUUUUUUCUAUAACACCAAAUUUUUUGGGGUUAAUAUGUCACAUCAUACAAAUUUGAAGUUUUAGGUGGCACAUUAUAUAAGUUUAGAGUAAAUAUGCAAUAUAAGUAUGAAUUUGAAGUUUUUGAUGUCAUAAAAUAAGUUUGGGAUAUAUAUAUAAUUUAGAGUUUUCGGUGAUUUUACAUUUCUUUGGAUUUGAAACCGUUCUUGCACUUAAGUGCCAUUGGUCGUCCCUGUGUUGGAACACUAUUAGCUAUCUUUUGACGUCAAAUUUUAUUUUAUUUGUUGAGGAUUUUUCUUUCUUUCUCCAAAUGUAGGCUGUCUCUCUCCUUUUUAGGUUAUUCAUUUUACGAAAACUAAAACCCACAAAAUAUAUUGCCUACACUAAUGCAAAAACACGAUUAUUUGUAUAGACUCAAGACAAGCAAUUGAGUAGCUAUGGGCCGUGAGCUCUGUGGCUCAUGACUUGAGCAAAUAUGACUGCUACAAGAUCAAAGCUCAUGCGGCAAUGCCAUGAGCUCAAAGAUUAAGUAGCCAUGGCUUAAGCUUUGUGACUCAAAUAGACAUCAUGGCCAUGGCCAUCUGCGAGCUUGAGCUUGAAUAGCCAUGGCCAAUGCUAACUUAGAGUUGGAGCUCAUGGUAAUAGUGGGGUCAUAAUGGAGCUCUCUCGUAAUUGUGCCCAUUUUUUUUAAUGUUUAUGUUGCCUAAUUUAGCACCUGUUUUUCCUAAAAUAAUUAUAUGAGCGGAGUACCACACAAUAGGUAUGCUGGCAUCUUGUUCAUAAAAAUUGAAUGGCAAAGUAUAACGGAAUGACUAGUGGUGAUACUUCAAGCCACAAAAAAAUCUUAAGCUUUAUCAACUGUGACACAUUUAUUUCAAUUUUUUUUUUUGUAACAUCAAAAAUCCCAAACUCGUACACGUGUAGUAAUACAUUUACCCAAAACUUUUUUUUUCGACACCAAAAAACCCAAACUUAUACUUUUGUAACAUCAAAACCCUAAACUUUUGUUUUGUAACACCAAAAACCCGAGAUUAAUAGUCAAGUCACACAUCUACCCCAAAAAUUUGGUGUCAUAGAAAAAAGUUUGAGGUAUUUGGUGUCACAAAAAGAAAAGUUUGAGGUUUUUUAUGUCACAAAAUAAAAGUAUGGAGUAAAUGUGUGACACUGCAAUAUUUUGAGAUAAAUGAGUCACAUAGGUAAAAGUUUGAAAUUUUUAAUAUUACAAAAAAAAAUAGUUUGGGGUAAAUAUUUCACAAUGGUCAUAAUUUAAGGUUUUUGGUGGCUUUUACCAUACUUUUAAAUAGUGGAGAGAUGCUUUAAAAAAAGUAGAGGGGAUUUUGAUUUUCAGGCUAAAAUAUAAGGGCCACCGGUAAAUCGAAUCCAUAAAGAAAGUGGCAUAUGUAUAGGAAUUGAUAAAAUAGUAAAAGAUUAUAAUGGACACAUCGCCAAGUACCAUCGCUCCAAGUCCAACCAGAGAGGCCUCUUCAUGCCAACACGUAUGGCCAUGACAAAGUCUAUAAGGUUUUUCUAGUAAAGGCACACAACCAUGAUGUUACAUAUAUAUAAAUUGGGGAAAAAAAAUCAAUGUGUCGCUCUAGAGUUUUCCCUCGACAAACAGGUCAGCUCAGCAUGUGUGGAACAAGCACAUUUUGUUGAAGAUAUUGGCCUCAAGUCUACCUUAGACAAUAGUAGGGACCAUAAGAAUAUUGGACAAUGCUACAUGAAAAUCAAACCUUGUCGGUCCAGCUUUUCAAAUAUAUGAAUGACUUUGACACUUGGAUUUGUUCCUUUGUUGUUGACUGAUGCUGGUAAAACUAUGUUUAAAGUCCUGCUUGAUCACUCAAAUGUUUGAUGUUGAGUUUGAGUGUUCUCAUUGCAUGUUAUUCCAAUUUAUGACGAGGACAUGUCCAAGUUGCACCACUAGCGUCUUCUUCACUCUGGGAUAUGCUCAUCCUUGUCCACUGGUAUGAUGCUUGCUUAAAUGCUUCUAUCUAGGUACUCCAUGACAAUGCGCUAGUCUCAGUUGAAGUUUCCCCACGGCACUUUGCGCGUUUCUUGACCCAUUCUUCUUUGAGAUCUCUUUCCUCACCCUUGCUCCGAGCACAAACGAGUAUAUAUACUUUUCCCUAUGAAUCUUGUUUCUACACAUGUCCGCUCGAAUCCUAUAUGGUACAGCCAUGGAUAGCAAAAACAGUAGUCCAUGGUCGUUCAUACUCCCAAUUUUCUUGCUUUGCUCAUCUCUGUACACCUACCUCUGUCUUGGCACAGACAAGCUCGAUGCGAAUCGAUCUAUAUCUGGUAAUCAAACCUUAACCUCCUCAGGUGGCCACUUUACACUUGGCUUCUUCUCGCCGGGUAACUCCACGUACUCCUACAUAGGCAUCUGGUACAACAAAAUCAGCGUGCAAACCGUCGUCUGGGUCGCCAACCGAGACAACCCUAUCACUGACAGGCAAUCCACUGAGCUGAAGGUCUCGGGUGGCAAUCUUGUGAUUCUUAACAACUCCGAAGUCCCCGUUUGGUCCACGAAUCUGACUGCUUCUUCAUCUGGAUCGAGCUCCAUGGUGGCGGUUCUUGAGGACGACGGCAACUUCGCUCUCAAAGCGGCUCCGACUUCUUCUGUGACUCUGUGGCAGAGCUUCGAUUACCCAACGCACAUGUGGCUUCCCGGUGCCAAAUUAGGGAUCGACAAGCGCAAAAAUAGGAGUCAGCUCUUGACAUCAUGGAAGAACGCUGAGGACCCUUCGACAGGUUUGUUCUCUCUCGGUCUCCAGCCAUCCAGUGAGUACUACGUAAGGUGGAAUAAGUCUGAGCAUUACUGGGAGCAGUGGGGCGUGGGACAAUCAGACGAAAAGUUCUCUUGGGUCCCUGAAAUGAGAUUGAACUAUAUUUAUGAUUUCAAGGUAUGUGGGACAAUGAGAACGAGAGCUACUUCACCUAUUCAAUCAAAGGCUCCUUCAACACCAUAUCAAGGUGUGUCGAUGGACCUUUCUGGGCAGGUCAAGAUGGGUCCUGGUUGCCUUCCAAGGUGUGGACCUUGUUCUGGUCUCAGCCCCCGCAACAAUGCAUGGUGUAUAGACUUUGUGGGCCUUUCAGUGUUUGCAGCGAGCAGAGUGAAGAUUCGUGCAGCUGC